rnacentral:lncRNA from 1 species
UUAAUUAAUGCACUAGGUUGCGCUUGUGACCAGGCAAGACAAACUUAUGAACUUGCAAGGAUGGCAAUCAGAUCGACAUCCGCACAAUGCUGAUAUGAACAUUGUCUUGAUACAACUUUAUUUGUAUUUUAUUUCAGAAUUUAAACAACUAGUUUGGGCGGGUCACACAUGGUGUUGUGUGACACUUUAUUUGUCACCGCUACAUCGACAUAUCCAUCGACUAAACAACGGUGAUCCAACUAUAUAUUAAUAGAGAUCUUUUCUUAUCAGUAGGCACCAACUCCAGUGCCAACGCCGAAUGGCGCACUAGUGGUGGUUCCGUACAACGGCACGUUGACAUUGCACAUCGUUGGCAAGGUACGGAGUGCAAUGGAAGUCAUCACCUCAAAUUGAGCUAUCUGGUGUGGCUGCAAAAAGGUACCCUGUGCCAAUUGUUGUUGUUGAGGUUGUUGCCCGAGUUGCUGCUGCGAUUGUUGUUGGGGUUGGGAGACACAUUGGCCCAACUGUUGGGGUUGUUGUUGCUGAGCUUGGAUGAUACUCUGAACUUGUUGUUGUUGUUGUUGUUGUUGCUGCAGGAUGAUAGAGUAGAUGAUAGCACGGAUUGACUCAUGGCGGGAUUGCCCGGGGAUUUGCCGCAACUGUUGGCAACAUUGUUGCUGCAUCACAUGGCAAAUCCUCUGCUGCAACAUUUGUGACCUAGCAAGACAUCGCUGCAUUGCCACAGGGAUGCACUGCUGCUGGAGGAAUACCUUGCAUGGGUUUAGUUGCUGCAAAACAGAUGGAUGAAUAACUGGUAUUUGUUGUUGCUGUGAAAAUGGUGGUUGUUGUUGCUGCGAAAAUGGUGGUUGUUGUUGCUGUGAAAUUGGUGGCUGUUGUGAAAACGGUGGUUGUUGUUGUUGUGAAAAUGGUGGUUGUUGUUGUUGCUGCUGCGAAAAUGGUNNNNNNNNNNNNNNNNNNNNNNNNNNNNNNNNNNNNNNNNNNNNNNNNNNNNNNNNNNNNNNNNNNNNNNNNNNNNNNNNNNNNNNNNNNNNNNNNNNNNNNNNNNNNNNNNNNNNNNNNNNNNNNNNNNNNNNNNNNNNNNNNNNNNNNNNNNNNNNNNNNNNNAAUUGGUGGCUGUUGUGAAAACGGUGGUUGGUGUUGCUGCAAAAAUGGUGGUUGUUGUUGUUGUUGCUGCGAAAAUGGUGAUUGUUGUUGUUGCGAAAAUGGUGGUUGCUAUUGCUGUGAAUAUGGUGGCUCUUGUUGCUGCGAAAAUGGUGGUUGUUGUUGCUGCGGAAAUGGUUGUUGUUGUUGUUGUUGCUGUGAAAUUUGCGCAACGGCACUUGCCGCCGCAAGAGCGAGGAGGGAAAAGACGAGGAAUGUCUUCAUUGUGGAUUGAUGUCAACUAGUGUUGCUUGGUUUUGAUGCUUGUGCUUGUGAUGAUCUUUAUACUUCAUGCCUAUUUAUAGUAGCCCGGGCACCACCUCUUUUCUUCUUUGCAUCAGCUUUAAUAAAUUUGUUUGGCUGCAUCUGAAAUGAAUUUUUUUGGUACAUUGUGUUUGGUUGCGCUAGCUACAAGCGUACUUUUGGAUUAAUCAUCAAAGUUGCUUUUUAGUUGUGCAUAUGAUCACACACGAAGUACAGAAACCCUGAUGUUUGUUAUAUAUGACUCAUCUUAUUCACUUUACAUGUCACACACUUAUCAAGAUAGUAUCACUUUUGCAACCGAGUUUGGAACCUUGUAUAGGCUAUCAACCAUAAACUAAAAAGGCAAAACUUUUGUAGGACUAAGUUGCAAUCGUGUGUGGGCUGUUAAGAUAUGCUCGAUUAUUAAAGCCUUGCGUGUGGAGGGUUCUUCUAGAGUUGGUUGCUUUUUAUAACUAAUUUUGUAUUUUCCACUAAGAUGAUAAGAUGAACCGACGCCUAUAGAGCAUGACAUGACUCAUCGAAUUCCCUUUAUAUGAAAAGGAUGAUAAUUGCUUACAAGAUACUCCUACUAGCAUAUAUUCGGUCCUAAGUCUAGACAUGUCAUCAUUAGUUCCGUGUUUUUGUUUAGAUAAAUCAUCAGUUCCAUCUAUUUGUGAAAGCUUUUGGGGGGGGGUGACAGUUUUUUUUGGCGCUAGGGGAAAAAUCUUUUUUGAUCUAGGGGGAAAUGAUAGAUGGGGCUGGAACAGAGGCCCGCAGCCUAGAGCGAGAGAUUAGGCCCAACAUAAGCGCUGUGUGUUAGGGCACCAAUUCGAAUUGGGCUAUAGUUUUCGUAGGCCCCAAUGUCACAAGCCGAACUCACACUCCGCAGAUCUGCGUCAUCUCCUUGCUCGUCCUCCUCGCCGGUCAGACCUCUCGUCGGCGUAGCCUCUCCUGGAUCCCACCGCCUGCGGCCGGUCACAUACGUCUGAGGCAGCGGAGGCGGAAGCCUCCCUCCUGCCCUCCGCACCCGCUACCACCACCAUUGGUCGACAAAAAGGUCACUUUUGAAGCUCCUUCGUCGAUUGCGGGCCGUACGUCGACGGCAGCCACUCCGGCCUCCCCGCUAAAACAAGGUAUCGAUCCUGGCCGUCUGUCUCCUCCAACGAUUCAAUUCACAUGAAUUCGAGAGGCGUACCCAUCUCCAUGCCAGCCACAUGAAUCAGGAGGGUCAUGAAGCAGGAUUCAUCUGCGUAGCCUGAUAGUGACAUACAUUUGUGGCUUUGGUAGCUAAGCAACUUUGUGCUUUCUAUGGAUGUCACUUCAAAAGUUCAAAUAAUCAUCAAAUUUCCGCCUUUGGGUGCUGCAGGUGGAGUGGAGGACAUUCAGUUUCCCUCUGAUGUCCGAGAAGUCCGUCUUCGGUGCAGCAAUUGUGGGUGUCAAAACCGGGGGAUCUCGGGUAGAGGGUCCCGAACUGUGCGUCUAAGGCGGAUGGUAACAGGAGGCAGGGGACACAAUGUUUACCCAGGUUUGGGCCCUCUCGAUGGAGGUAAUACCCUACUUCCUGCUUGAUUGAUCUUGAUGAUAUGAGUAUUACAAGAGUUGAUCUACCACGAGAUCGUAGUGGCCAAAUCCUAGAAGCUAGCUUAUGAUUAUGAUUGUUGUUGUCCUACGGACUAAACCCUCCGGUUUAUAUAGACACCGGAGGGGGCUAGGGUUACACAGAGUCGGUUACAAGGGAGGAGAUCUACAUAUCCGAAUUGCCAAGCUUGCCUUCCACGCAAAGGAGAGUCCCACCCGGACACGAGAUGAAGUCUUCAAUCUUGUAUCUUCGUAGUCCGGCCGAAGGAUAUAGUCCGGCUGUCCGAGGACCCCCUAAUUCAUGACUCCCUCAGUAGCUCCUGAACCAGGCUUCAAUGACGAUGAGUCCGGCGCACAGAUUGUCUUCGGCAUUGCAAGGCGGGUUCUUCCUCUGAAUACUCCAUAGAAGAUUUCAAACACAAGGACAGUGUCCGGCUCUGCAAAACAAAUUCCACAUACCACCGUAGAGAGUAUAAUAUUUUCACAAAUCUAAUCUGCUGACAACUUUUCAUAACGUGACAUCACGCCAUGGCCUGGUCAUUAUUUGAACCGUUUUUCUCAACCAACUACUACACAUAUUGCGAGGCGGUUUUCUUGACAUGUCUUGUCAAAGCAGAGAUCGUGUCCCCUUAUCAUGAGAUUCUAAUCAAUAUGGGCGUGGGUAACCCAACCGCGCCAUCAAUCACGAUGCUUGGGGAAUAAGCGAGUUUACCAGUCAAGUGGGGAGGCAUAGAAUCCCUGCUGCCUUUAUAAGGGGAUAAGGACUCCCUUUCGCACCCACGCUUUCUUCUUCCCGAUCCAUUCCCCUUUGCCCGAGCUCCAGCAAUAGAGCGUUCGUCUUCUCUGCCCACAAAGGCCUUCCGAAAAUGUCCGGAUCAUGAGCAGGAGGCAAGUGGAUGGCCUCUACUGUCGAGGAGAAGCAUAUCAAAAAGUUUUGGGAGGCCGGGUAUCUGGCCAAAAAAAUCGACCACCGUCUCCCGACGGCGGGACAGAACGUUCCUACUCCGGAACCCCAAGAGAGGGUUGUAUUCCUCCCUCAUUUUGUCUGCGGGCUAGGGUUUCCCCUCCACCCGUUCGUUCGCGGCAUCAUGUAUUAUUACGGGAUCGAUUUUCAUGAUGUAUCCCCCAAUUCCUUCCUCAACUUCUCGACAUUCAUCAUCGUGUGCGAGGCUUUUCUCCGCAUCUCGCCACACUUCGGCUUAUGCCUGAAGAUCUUUAAUGUGAAGGCCAAGGUGGUGAGCGGCGAGCACGCCGAGUGUGGGGGCGCCAUGGUGAGCAAGAUGCCCAAUGUCACCUGGCCAACAUGUACUUUUAAUGAUUCCAUCAAAUAGUGGCAACAACAGUGGUUUUACAUUACUAAGCCACGCAGCACGGAAUGGGCCGCUGCUCCAGAGUUCCGAUCCAGAGCCCCUCUGCGGCUUACGUCCUGGCCCAAGAAGGGCCUGAACUGGUCUUCGUCUGACGAACUGUCUAUGCUCCAGACGCGCAUUAAAGAUAUGGAAGACAAGAACAUCGAACUUGUCAUUGUAGUCCAGGUGAUGUUAGUUCGCGGGAUCCUGCCUUGUCAGCACCAGACUUGCAAUAUGUGGGAAUUCGAUCCGGCCAAGCACCAGACCCUGUGAAAACUCUUUGGAUCCUCGCACGAAGACAUCUGGAAGGUGCUUUUCAAGUCUGGAAAAUCAUGGACGGACUCGGCCGAGGACCGUGGGUAUCAACUGUCCCGCCCUGCAAGCUCGGUAAGUUUUAUGCGUUUUACCCGCAUAACCCAAGGGAAAUGCCUAAUGUGUUUUCCUCAAUUCCCCUAGGGCUGGACGAAGAAGGCGGGGCGGAUCCACUGUCCGGUCCCGUUGCCCGAAGAACCGGCCGGCCCACUUCUGACGAAGAUGCUGGCCCCGGCGCCAUACAAGGCACCGAAGAAGAAGACCAAGGAGGCCAAAAAGACCCGAGGCGGCCUUCGUCGCCGCGGCACUUCAGCCACAAUAUCCGAAGGCUCCAAACCCCGUUCUGCCUCUGAAGAGGACGAGGAGGAGGAAGACGAAUCCCCAGUGGGGGGAAGAAAAGAAGAGGGCGGCCUCCAUACACUUGGAGGCCGAGUCACCUAAAAGGGGAAAAGAUCCUCUUCGUGAAGAGUCCACUGCCGCCGCCGACAGCAGCCCGGCAUGGGAUCCCAGGGCCCAGCCCCUGGUGAACUCGUGAGUAUAAAAUCCGAACACGUUUAUGCGUCCAGACUCAUCAUGGCAUAAUAUUUUAACCUGAGCUAUAUUUUUUUCAGUCCGGCGAGGUCCCGCACCAAAUGAUCCUCAUCAGAGGAUUCGCUAAGCUCGGAUGCUAUAGAGAGCGGGACGCCCCCAAAGGCCCCUUCCCCCAAAUGUGUGCAUAACACCGAGGCUUCGUCCCAGAAGGACCCCGGCCAAGGAGGGGGGGAAGAGAUCGUGAAAGCAGCGCCUGGAGUUCAAACUUCGGGGGCCGGAGACAUGGGGGAGAAGAUUCCCAUGGGAGUCGACGGCGGGAGCCAUCUUGAAUUCGGCUCCCAGCCGGGCGCAAUUCCGGAGACCAAUACGGCUCGAAAAUCAAGCAGGCGGCCUCCCUCGGUUGGAGGGGGCGUGCCUGUUCCACCGGCAAUCUCUGUCCAGCCAGAGGUGCCGGAUGUUUUGUUGGCGGCGCUGAAGAGCGCCUCCAUCGUCGAUGAACACCGUGCCCUGAUGGGUGUGGUGAUUAAGGAGAUUCAGUCUGCUGAGAGUGGACUGAAUGAAGCUUGUAUCAGCCUUAUAAGAGGCUUUGAGGUAUGUUUUAUGAGGUUUCGAAGAGUGUCAUAGUAUGGAUAGUAGCCCCUGAUACACUGUUCGGUGCAAGAAAGGACCGAACAAAGGAUCAAUUUUAUGUUCGCAGGAAGACUCACUUGAUGACAUCUAUCUCUCUUCUUUUAUAAGCAGGUGUCUGCAGUGGCUGCUGCCUCUCAUGCUGCGGAGGUCUCCGGACUAAAUCAAAGUCUGGAGCGGGCCGAAGAAGAACUUGGCCAGUUGAAAAGCCAGUUGGAAGAUAAACAAGGUAUGCGCAAGCAGGGGCGGAAUUGGGCCUAUGGCAACUAGGGCUAUAGCCCCAGGCGUGGCCCAACUAGUGCUAUUAGAUCCAGAUGAAAAUUUUCAGAUUUUUAGAUUUUAAGAGGCCCAGCCCCAGGCGUGACCACCCAGCUCCAGGCCUCAGCCGCUCAGCCCAUGUACCUUCUGAGGCUCGCAGCCCAACUAGCUCUGCAUAUUUUGCUCCUAACAAAAGCUAUGCAUCGCCAAGCAGCAGGAAGCCAUGCCCACGUUUUGCCCUAAGGAAACGUUUUUGCUAACAAAACAACGCCCACGUUUUCCCCUAAAAAAACCUUUUUGCUAGAAAAACGACGCCCAGGUUUGAUCGUUGGUCUGUUGCGAUUCCAAAGGAAUCGAUCGCACGACGAUUCGAUCGAUCUGACAAAACAUAGUUGCCUUGUUCCGUGCGCCGCCUGAGGUGUUUCCCUUCCCCUCGAUGGCUCGACAGACCUGCGCAUGGCCUCGUCACUUCGUCGGAGCAGCCCCCUCCAAGUCCAACCUUCUGGUCUUUUCCAUCUCCACAACCGGCAACGUCUUGUUCUUCUCCGUUUCCACAACCGGCUAGACUGGUAUUUUCUACUUUGGUGUAUCGUCUAUCUUUUUGCUAGAUCCAAGAUGAUUAAAUUGUACUCGUAUUACUUUAGUCAAUUUUUGUUUCGGUAAUUUGUAAAAGCAAAAAUAGAUAGAAACCCAAGAUGAAUAGGAUACGUACGAUUGUUUUAAGCAACAUCCAGCCAGCCUUCAUCGAACAAUACCAACAUCAUCAUUGUUAAACUAUUUUGUUCUAUUAAAUUUCCUCUUGUGGUAAAAAUGAAUUCAUAUAUCAUUUUUAAAGUGAAGUUGUGAUUCCCGCCAGAAAAAACUGAAUUUGUGACGUACUUGUAACAUGCACUGGUUUGUGUGGUAUAGUUACUUAGUUUUAGUCCUAGGCUUUGAGAAAUCCUGGCUCCGCCUCUGUGCGCAAGCCUUGUUCGCAUUUGGUGCAAACAAAUUCUCAUUAUGAUAAAAUAUGUUUCAUUAUUUGCGCCAGGGGUGAUGACCGAAGUCGAGGCUUUGAGGAAGGCAGUUGCCGAGGCCGAGGAAAAGGCGGCCGCAGAGCAGGCUCUUCGUGAGAAGCACGAGGCCAGGGUUAUUGAAGCUGAGCAGGAGCUUCAAGAGUCCGUGAAGAAAUGCGAGACCUUGGAGCAGAGUUUAGCGGAGAAAGAAUCCGAACUCGCCAGGGCUCAUCAGGCCGCGCGCGAUGCCCAGGGGGAAACCCAAGGCGCCCUGCAGGAGAUCCAAGAGGCGAGGACGAUCACGGCGGGUAAGGCUUUUUUCCAUGUAAAGCAAGUAUUUGAGGAGAAAACCAUGUUUCUAAUUUUGAGUUCGGAUUUCUCCAGGGGUAUUUGCGGAACUACCCCGCAGCAUAUCGGAUGCCGCCCAAUUCUACCGAGCCAAAGAAGGGAACACUGCGGAUAAUCUCUUCUGGUCGCAGUAUUUAGCACCGAUUUAUCCGCUGCCUUUUGCCGACCAAAUGAAACAACUGAUCGAACUGCAUAGGGCGGCCGAACUAGCCAUGAAGGAUUUGAUUAUCCGGCUAUGGCCUGCCGAGCCGAUUCCAGGCAGCUACUUCGGGCUCGUGAAGCGGCUUGUGAGUGCCUGCCCUCGACUUGAUGUCAUCAAGCGGUCGGUCUAUAUAGAGGGUGCGCGAAUAGCCUUCACUCGCGCAAAUGUGCACUGGGGGAAGAUGGAUGCUGAAAAGCUGAUGACCGAGGGACCGCCAGAGGGGAAGGAGCACCGCAAGCCCGAAUUAUAUUAUGAAAGUGUCCUCAAAGGAUCAUGCCUAGCGGCGGAGCAAUGCACCAAGGACAUUAUAUUUCCAUGAAUACAAUCAUGUUGUCAUUUGUAAUGUCGAACAAGGUCAUUUCUAUUAUUUAUUGCCUGUUAUAUACAAGUUUAUCCUCCUACACGGCCGUUUUAUAUAUUAAUCCUGAGAGUUGGCCAGUGAUAUGUCUCCAACAUAUCUAUAAUUUUUUAUUGUUCCAUGCUAUAUUAUAUUCUGUUUUGUACAUUAUUGGGCUUUAUUAUACACUUCUAUAUUAUUUUUGGGACUAACCUAUUAACCGGAGGCCCAGCCCAGAAUUGCUGUUUUUUUGCCUAUUUUAGGGUUUCGCAGAAAAAGAAUAUCAAACGGAGUCCAGACUGAAUGAAACAUUCGAAAGCAUGAUUUUCGGAACGAACGUGAUCCAGAGGACUUGGACCCUACGUCAAGCAAUCAACGAGGAAGACACGAGGUAGGGGGGCGCGCCUACCCUCCCUCAGGCGCGCCCUCCACCCUCAUGGGCCCCCUAUUGCUCCACCGACAUACUCCUUCCUCCUAUAUAUACCUACGUACCCCCAAACUACCAGAUACGGAGCCAAAACGCUAAUUCCACCGCCGCAACUUUCUGUAUCCACGAGAUCCCAUCUUGGGGCCUUUUCCGGAGCUCCGCCGGAGGGGGCAUCGAUCACGGAGGGCUUGUACAUCAUCACCAUAGCCCCUCCGAUGAAGUGUGAGUAGUUCACCUCAGACCUACGGGUCCAUAGUUAUUAGCUAGAUGGCUUCUUCUCUCUUUUUGGAUCUCAAUACAAAGUUCUCCCCCUCUCUUUUGGAGAUCUAUUCGAUGUAAUCUUCUUUUGCGGUGUGUUUGUUGAGGCCGAUGAAUUGUGGGUUUAUGAUCAAGUUUAUCUAUGAACAAUAUUUGAAUCUUAUCUGAAUUCUUUCAUGUAUGAUUGGUUAUCUUUGCAAGUCUCUUCGAAUUAUCAGUUUGGUUUGGCCUACUAGAUUGAUCUUUCUUGCAAUGGGAGAAGUGCUUAGCUUCGGGUUCAAUCUUGCGGUGUCCUUUCCCAGUGACAGUAGGGGCAGCAAGGCACGUAUUGUAUUGUUGCCAUCGAGGAUAACAAGAUGGGUUUUAUAUCAUAUUGCAUGAGUUUAUCCCUCUACAUCAUGUCAUCUUGCUUAAAGCGUUACUCUGUUCUCUUGAAUUUAAUACUCUAGAUGCAUGCUGGAUAGCGGUCGAUGUGUGGAGUAAUAGUAGUAGAUGCAGGCAGGAGUCGGUCUACUUGUCUCGGAUGUGAUGCCUAUAUACAUGAUCAUACCUAUAUAUUCUCAUAACUAUGCUCAAUUCUGUCAAUUGCUCAACAGUAAUUUGUUUAUCCACCGUGAAUACUUAUGCUCUUGAGAGAAGCCACUUGUGAGACCUAUGGCCCCCGGGUCUAUUUUCCAUCAUAUUAAUCUUCCAACACUUAGUUAUAUUUAUUUCCUUUUAUUUUACUUUGCAUCUUUUAUUUCUCUUUAUCAUAAAAUACCAAAAAUAUUAUCUUAUCAUAUCUAUCAGAUCUCACUCUCGUAAGUGACCGUGUAGGGAUUGAAAACCCUUUAUCGCGUUGGUUGCGAGGAUUUAUUUGUUUGUGUAGGUGCGACGGACUCGUGUGUGGCCUGCUACUGGAUUGAUACCUUGGUUCUCAAAAACUGAGGGAAAUAGUUACGCUACUUUGCUGCAUCACUCUUUCCUCUUCAAGGGAAAACCAACGCAAGUGCUCAAGAGGUAGCAGCCAGUCGUCGGCUUCUGCCCCCACGUAGGAAGUACGGGGGUGUUCGGGAUAAACCACGUAAGGCAGCAAAACAUGGGAGUCGGGCAAACCCAACAUUUGACCCAAGACAUGAUUCGGAGCUGAUGCAUGUAAUGCUAUAAGUUCGGGGUGCCGAACUUCCAUGAAGGCGUUCGAACUUUAUUGCCGUAUUAUGGCUAAAACGAAGCCCUUGGCCUAUUUAAAGCAUAUCACGGUGUACGGAUGCCACUUGACAAAAGAAUUUCAAUAAGAAAUAACAACAGAUAAGCGUUAUAUAAACCCACAUGUUGUAUUUGAAUAGUAAGUCGAUGUGUGUGAGUACGGGUAAUGUGAUAAAAAAAGAAAUAUGACUGUGGAACCUGCUGAGACCAGGGGGAAGAAGGUGUGUGCGGAUCCGGAGUAUAGUCGGAUGGUCAUCGCGGGGAAUAUCUAAGGAUUCCCUUGCGCGUUCGAGCUGCUUCCAUAUCGCCAGUCCUGGUCUGCGCAAAGUUGAACCUACAAACAAAAUGUAAGAAAUGCUUGUGUGCCGCAGAGCGGUUGAGCCGCGGUAUGUGGCCUGUCGUGGCUUUCGCCGGAGUGUUUAAUUGAGCUCUGGACGAGCCGGGCUAUCUUGCCGCGAAGUAGUUCGAAGUCCUUUGGCGGUGUCCGGGAAUCGGGUCGUCGAGUCGAGGUUCGGUUGGGAGGUGCCACUUGUAGCUUCUGUUGUUAAAGCAGCAGUAUACUCUUUGGUGUCGUGGGGAAGUUCGGCCUUGCCAUUAACCGUGAUGACGCCUAAUGUCUACUACACAACCUUCUUCUUGUAGACGUUGUUGGGCCUCCAAGUGCAGAGGUUUGUAGGACAGUAGCGAAUUUCCCUCAAAUGGAUUACCUAAGGUUUAUCAAUCCGUAGGAGGCGUAGGAUGAAGAUGGUCUCUCUCAAGCAACCCUGCAACCAAAUAACAAAGAGUCUCUUGUGUCCCCAACACACCCAAUACAAUGGUAAAUUGUAUAGGUGCACUAGUUCGGCGAAGAGAUGGUGAUACAAGUGGUAUAUGGAUGGUAGAUAAAGGUUUUUGUAAUAUGAAAAUAUAAAAACAGCAAGGUAACUAAUGAUAGAAGUGAGUGUAAAUGGUAUUGCAAUGCUAGGAAACAAGGCCUAGGGUUCAUACUUUCACUAGUGCAAGCUCCCUCAACAAUAAUAACAUAAUUGGAUCACAUAAUUAUCCCUCAACAUGCAACAAAGAGUCACUCCAAAGUCACUAAUAGCGGAGAACGAACGAAGAGAUUAUGGUAGGGUACGAAACCACCUCAAAGUUAUUCUUUCCAAUCAAUCCGUUGGGCUAUUCCUAUAAGUGUCACAAACAGCCCUAGAGUUCGUACUAGAAAAACACCUUCAGACACAAAUCAACCAAAACCCUAAUGUCACCUAGAUACUCCAAUGUCACCUCAAGUAUCCGUGGGUAUGAUUAUAUGAUAUGCAUCACACAAUCUUAGAUUCAUCUAUUCAACCAACACAUAGAACCUCAAAGAGUGCCCUAAAGUUUCUACCGGAGAAUCAUGACGAAAACGUGUGCCAACCCCUAUGCAUAGGUUCAUGGGCGGAACCCGCAAGUUGAUCACCAAAACAUACAUCAAGUGAAUCACGUGGUAUCCCAUUGUCACCACAGAUACGCACGACAAGACAUACAUCAAGUGUUCUCAAAUCUUUAAAGACUCAAUCCGAUAAGAUAACUUCAUAGGGAAAACUCAAUCCAUUACAAGAGAUUAGGGGGGCAGAAAACAUCAUAAGAUGCAACUAUAAUAGCAAAGCUCGCUGAGGGAGUCCUGGAUUAGGGAUUCUCCGGAUAGCCGGACUAUAUCCUUUGGCCGGACUGUUGGACUAUGAAGAUACAAGAUUGAAGACUUCGUCCCGUGUCCGGAUGGGACUCUACUUGGCGUGGAAGGCAAGCUAGGCAAUAUGGAUAUGUAUAUAUCCUCCUUUGUAACCGACCUUGUGUAACCCUAGCCCCCUCCGGUGUCUAUGUAAACCGUAGGGUUUUAGUCCGUAGGACAACAUACAAUCAUACCAUAGGCUAGCUUCUAGGGCUUAGCCUCUUUGAUCUCGUGGUAGAUCAACUCUUGUAAUACUCAUAUCAUCAAGAACAAUCAAGCAGGACGUAGGGUAUUACCUCCAUCAAGAGGGCCCGAACCUGGGUAAACAUCGUGUCCCUGCCUCCUGUUACCAUCCGCCUUAGACGCAUAGUUCGGGACCCCCUACCGGAGAUCCGCCGGUUUUGAAACUGACAUUGGUGCUUUCAUUGAGAAUUCCACUGUGCCGUCACCAUAAGGCUUGAUGGCUCCUUCAAUCAUCGCUAGCGAUGCGGUCCAGGGUGAGGCUUUCCUCCCCAGACAGAUCUCCAUAUUCGGCGGCUUUGCACUGCGGGCCAAUUCGUUUGGCCGUCUAGAGCAGAUCGAGAGCUACGCCCCUAGCCAUCAGGUCAAAUUUGGAAACUUGAGCUACACGCCGACAUCCGCGGAGACUUGAUCUUCGGCGGAUUCGAGCCCAGGUCGGACGCGCCGCACAGUCGCGAUGAGCAUGACGUAACUCUGUCAUCGGACAAUGUUCGGGAGAUCGCAUCCGCAACUACUCCGUCCAUCAAUCCGGAGCAAGUCGCACCAUCCGAGAGCGGAGGGAUGGACCCCGCCAUGGAGGCCGCACUGUCAGUGGCGAUAGAGCCGGAUACUGACUUCACCCCUUACGAGAGCCGUGUCGCCGAACCACUGGAUUCAUCUCCGGCCACGGACUCCGAGCCGCUCACAUCCAUGCCCGUCUAUUCCGACUGGGCACCGAUCAUGGAGUUCACCUCCGCGGAUAUCUUUCAGCACUCACCUUUAGGAGAUGGGCUAAAUUCAUUAAGGUCUCUCUCCCUAUCAGGAGAACCUUGGCCGAACUAUGUCCGGCUAGAAUGGGAUGCGGACGACGAAGAAAUUCGCUGCCCACCCACCACCCACUGAGUAGCCACGGUCGACGACUUAACCGACAUGCUCGACUUCGACUCCGAAGACUUCGACGGUAUGGACGACGAAGCUGGAGACGAAUAGGAACCACCGCCCUCAGGGCGCUGGACCGCCACCUCAUCAUAUGAUAUAUACAUGGUGGACACCCCCAAAGAAGGCAAUGGCGAUGAGACAACGGAGGAUGACCCCUCCAUGAAGCAACCCAAGCGCCGACGUCAGCGGCACCGCUCUAAGUCCUGCCACAACAAGAGUAGUGGUACCGGCACAGGAGAUAAUAACACUCUGGAUAGCACCGAAGACAACAAUUCCCUCCAGCACGGUGUAGAGCUAGAGGACGAACAAGCUAGCCCUCCAGAGCAGGCAGCAGAUGCAGAACCGGAGGAGGACAAUUACAUGCCUCUCUCCGAAGACGAGGCGAGCCUCGGCGACGACGAGUUUAUCGUGCCUGAGGACCCCGUCGAGCAAGAGCGCUUCAAGCGUUGGCUUAUGGCCACGGCAAGUAGCCUGAAGAAAAAACAGCAACAACUUCAAGCUGAUCAAGACUUGCUAGCAGACAGGUGGACCGAAGUCCUUGCGGCCAAGGAGCAUCAACUCGAGCACCCGUCCAAAAGUUACCCAAAACGCAGGUUGCUACCUCACCUCGAGGACGAAGCAUUGAAACCUCAUUCACCAGUGUACGAUGUGGUUGACCGACCACUACGCGGCCGAGCCACAGAGGCUUUUCAGCCUAAAGUUCAGACCGCACCCCGUCGCCACUCAGUCAAACAUACUAAGGCCCGGGGCAACACAGAGGACCCGCGAGACAUCUUGGACAGUAAGGAAAAAAUCGCAAGGUCAAUAUACGGAACACGGGCACGUGCGCCCACACGGGACGAUGAUCGUUGCGUCGGAUACACCAAGAGUAAAUCCGGCCGGGCCGAAUACAACAGACAAGACUCAUACGAACUAUGUUGGGAUAUAGCCCGGCACAGAGGUGCCGCACACCCCCUAUGCUUCACUGAUUAAGUUAUGAAUCAUGAAUUCCCGGAGGGUUUCAAACCCAUAAAUAUCGAAUCGUACGACGGCACAACAGAUCCCGCUGUAUGGAUUGAGGAUUUCCUCCUUCACAUCCACAUGGCUCCGGUGAUGAUCUGCAUGCCAUCAAGUACUUCCUACUAAAACUCAAAGGACCAGCUCGGCAUUGGCUGAAUAGCUUGCCAGCAGAUUCCAUCGGCAGUUGGGAGGAUCUGGAAGACGCAUUUCUUGACAACUUCCAGGGCACUUAUGUGUGGCCACCGGAUGCUGAUGACUUGAGCCACAUAACCUAGCAGCCAGGGGAAUCGGCCAGACAAUUCUGGACACGGUUACUGACUAAGAAAAAUCAAUUUGUAGAUUGUCCGGAUGUAGAGACCCUAGCGGCAUUCAAGCAUAACAUCCGCGAUGAGUGGCUCACCCGCCACCUUGGCCAAGAGAAGCCGAAAUCUAUGACAGCCCUCACGACACUGAUGACUCGCUUUUGCGCGGGCGAGGACAACUGGUUGGCUAGCAGCAAAAACACAUCGAGGAAUCCGGAUACCUCAGAUACCAAAGAUGUUAACGGUAGGCAGCGUUGUAACAGACCAAAGCGCCGCAAUAACGGCGAUAACACCAAAGAUACGACAGUCAAUGCCGGAUUCAGAGGCUCUAGAUCCGGUCAGCAGAAAAAGCCAUUUAAAAGAAAUACUCCGGCUCGGUCCAGUCUGGAUCACAUACUGGAUCGCUCGUGUCAAAUCCACGGCACCCCGACAAGCCAGCCAAUCUCACCAACAGAGAAUGCUGGGUGUUCAAGCAGGCCUGUAAGUUAAAUGCCGAGAGCAAGGACAAGGGGCUGCAUAGCGAUGACGAGGAGGAGCCCCGGCCGCCGAACACAGGAGGACAGAAGGGUUUUCCCCCACAAGUGAAGACGGUGAACAUGAUAUACGCAACCCACAUCCCCAAGAGGGAGAGGAAGCAUGCACUAAGGGACGUCUAUGCGAUGGAGCUCGUCGCCCUGAAGUUCAACCCAUGGUCUGCUUGUCCGCUCACCUUCGAUCACAGGGACCACCCGACUAGCAUCCAUCAUGGCGAAUCUGCCGCACUGGUCCUAGACCCCAUCAUUGAUGGAUUUCACCUCACUCGAGUCCUUAUGGAUGGCGGCAACAUGCUGAAUCUGCUUUAUCAGGAUACAGUGCGAAAAAUGGGUAUCGAUCCCUCGAGGAUCAAACCCAGCAAAACCACCUUUAAAGGCGUCAUCCCAGGUGUAGAGGCCCAUUGCACAGGCUCAAUCACACUGGAAGUGGUCUUUGGAUCACCGGAUAACUUCCGAAGCGAAGAGUUAAUCUUCGACAUCGUCCCGCUUCGCAGUGGCUAUCAUGCACUGCUCGGACGGACAACAUUUGCAAAUUCAAUGAAGUGCCGCAUUACGCGUACCUCAAGCUCAAGAUGCCAAGACCUCGCGGGGUCAUAACAGUAAAUGGAAACACAGAACGCUCGCUUCGUACAGAAGAGCACACUGCGGCCCUUACAGUAGAGGCACAAAGCAGCCUGUUCAGGCAGACCACUCAUUCGGCGUCACAACCCCCGGACACCUUCAAACGAGUCCGGAACAAGUUGCAACAGGAUCGCCUAGCACGAUCAGAGAUCGCCUAGCAAUCUGGUCCCCAUCCCAGUCCCAGUGAAGCGACAAAAUCCGUGUGGCGCGUACAUAACUACGCAUUGAAAAUACCAUGGACAUAGGCGGGGGCAGAAUCAGAAUACGCCCCGCAUUGUGGCUUAACCACACUAGGGGUUGUAUACCUUUGACAUUCCGCUGACUCUUUGGAAGCCCUUUCCGGCAGUAUGAUUGCCGGACACAUUCCAGAAGCAACAACCAAGGCGGCAAGAAGCUAAGAUGAACACGGGAACCGCCAGGUGGUCUCUAGUAAUACUUGAUAUACCCGCUUUUCACUAUUUAUGCGUAGCUUUCCCUGGGAUAGGACAUUUCGAAUUGUCCUACUUCAUGCUUAUUGCACUACUUGUACCAGUAUGCUUCGACGUAUUAUUCAAAUAACAAUGCAUAUCAUUAAUCUGUCAUUGCAUUCUUUCAGUUUUUCUCUUUCUCUUAUAUGUCCAUUUACGACAAUCCGCACCCGCAUGUUCGGGUAUGGUCAGUACGCCAGGGGCUCUCGUUUACCCCACAAUACGAUGCAAGAAGUCUGAACACUUUCUACAGUGCGGCACCCCGAACUUCUAGCAUUAUAUGCAUCAGCUCCGAAUCAUGUCUUUGGUCAAAUGUUGGGUCGCCCGGCUCCUAUGCUUUGGUACCUUACGUUCUGCUAUAUCGGCUAAGGUAGCGGUGGGAGAACUACUGCGAUUGUGUCCCGGUUCUUCUGGACGAGCACCUCUGUACAGAAAGCCAAAAACUGACUGUCAUGAUAAGGCGAGAGACUGGUCGCUGUUCGAGAGGUCUCAAGUCCUUAAAGACUUUUUCCGCUUCGGGCGAGGAGUCGGCCUUGUCCGGCUUAGGCAUGUAUAGCGCCCCAAAUUCGGCCCUCCGAAUACCAGGGGCUUCGCCAAAAUUUAAAAUCAUAGACUUCUAUGGCUAAGUGAGAGUGAUAAAGCAUUAUAGUCCGAUUGCCUGGUUCGUUGCGCUGAACACCUCCCUUGAAGGACCCAAAAUUUGGGUAAAGAGUGUUCAGAUUUACCCCGAACACCCCAGUACUAGUUACAUGGGGGUAGAAGCCGAUGACUGGCCAACUCUCAGAUUUUAUAAACAGCCGCAUAGAAGGUAAUAUUUUAAAUUAAGAAAGCGUCGCAUGGCGCAAAAAAACUCGUUUCAUAUUACAGGAUCACAUGGGCAUGUUCAUUCAAAAAUUACAUCCUUGGCACACUCAUCUGCCACUCAGCAGGAACCCUUCAGGACACUUUCAUAGUAAUUCUCGGGGCGGCGAUGCUCCUUGCCCUCCGGCGGCCCCUCCUUCACCAGCUUCACGGCGUCCAGCUUCGCCUAGUGCACCUUCGCCCGGGCAAAAGCCCUGCGUGCACCCUCGAUGCAGACGGACCGCUUGAUGACUUCAAGCCAUGGGCAGGCUUCCACAAACUGCCUCACCAGACUGAAGUAGCUGCCGGACAGGGGCUCGCCAGGCCACAUCCGGACUAUAAGGCCCCUCAUGGCCUGUUCGGCCACCUUGUGAAGCUCGACAACUGCUUCAGCUGGUCCCUCAAGGGCACAGGGUGUUCGGUCCCAGUAUACUGAGACCAGAACAACUUCUCCAUUGAGCUCCCCUCCGCAACCCGGUAAAACUCCACGGCAUCCAGUGCACUACGAGGAAGAUCUGCAAACGCUCCUGGAGAGCUCCGAACUCGGGUAAGAAAAAGGAAAGUCUCCUUCACGUGCUUGCUUUGCAUAAAGAAUGCCUUACCCUCUGCUAUCUUCUUCACCGCGUCAAUCUCUUGGAGGGCCUUGUGGGCUUCGGCCUUGGAGCUCCGGACGCUUUCAAGCGCCUGCGCGAGCUCGGACUCACGCGUCUUGGAGUCAAGCUCCAAGGACUCGUGCUUUUUAACGAGAGCCUCGAGCUCUUGAUGCACCUCGCCUUCUCGGGCUUCUUGUAUCUCCCAUUCCAUGCGUUCUUUGGACGCUUUGUCUUCGGCCUCGGACAAUGCCAUCCUCAGGGUCUCCACCUCGUUCGUGGCCCAUGACAAAUUCAUGAUGAUCCUAUUACUUUACACCCGAACUUCCUUUUAACUAUAUAGACAGGGGUAUAUCUUACCUUUGCUCUCUUCAAGCUGCCACUUGGUAAGGCCGAGCUCAUCCUCGGACCGCUUCAGGGCCUGCUUCAGCGCAGAGACCUCCGCAGUACAUGCGGCAGCGACCAACAGUGAAGCCUGCACAUACACAUAGACAUACUCUAAUUAGACUCCUGAGUUAUCAUUUGAUCCUCUAUUCGGCUUUUCAUCGCGAACACCGAACAGAGCAUCAGGGGCUACUAUCUAUGCGGUAAUAUUUUCUUAUAUUUUGAUUGCUUACCUCAAAGCCUGUUAGGAGGCUGGCGCAAGCUUUGGUCAGUCUGUUUUUGGCGGACCGAACCUUCUCAACCACUGCACUCAUAAUAGUGCAGUGCUCUUCAUCAAUGGAAGCGUUGUGAAGCGCUUCCAGCAAGUUGUCCGGUGCCUCUGGUUGUACAAAGGACACCGACACAGAUGGUUGGCCCCCCUUAAUGGGGGACUGCCUGCCAGAGUCUAGAACCAUCGAAGGUUCUGGCGCAGUGUCCGGCUGGGGCCCGAACUCGAAGCCCGUAGGAGCCUCGCUCCCUUGGUACCCAGGGUCCGGGAGGUCGCCGUGAGGCGCCCCCAAGAUCACCUCCCCUUGGCUCGGUGCCUUUUGAGACAACACCUCGGCGUUGUCCGUAGGGCGAGGGGUGGAAGCGGUCGGAGGAGAACCGUUGUUCAUAUCCGACGAGUCCAAAGAGCCGCUCGACGAAGGUACGUCGAGAUGAGCUCAGGACGGACUGCAUAAUCAUGUUCGGCAUGAGAAAAGCCAAUACAAUAAAACAUUCCAUGAAGUACUAUGGUGUCCGGACACUUACGACUUCGCCGGGGGCUUGUCCCUGGGUAGCCACUCGUCGCCAUUGUCGGCGGCCGUCGUGGCACAUUCCGGAGGGAGGUUCUUUCCCUUCUUGGACCCGUCGGCCUCCCUGGAUGGGUCGGCCUUCCUUUUCUUGUCUCUCCCGGCUGGGGGGGAGAACUUUUCUCCUCCUAUUCAUUUCCGUGGGAGGAGUGCGCGUUGGAGUCAUCGGACGAUGAGUCCGAUAUAACCUUGCGCCGGAGACCCUUUCGGGUCCCCGUGGCCUUCUUCUUGGCCUUCUUUUCCGGCACCUCGUAAGGUGCCGGAGUCAGCAUCUUCGUUAGAAGAGCAUCUGCAGGAUCUUCGGGCAGGGGGGCUGGGCAAUCAAGCUGCUCUGCUGUCUCUAUCCAGUCCUGUUAAUGACAUGAAAUCUUAGAUCCAGCACACAACUAAACCAGGGCAAAUAAAUACCCUGAGAGAUAUAAAAGCCUACCAGACGGGCGCGGCGCUUUGCACUAAGUCCGCGGUCCUCGGUGAAGGAGGGAAGCAUCUCGGCGCUCUUGAACAACACCCUCCAGACGUCCUCGUGCAUCGUGUCGUAGAGCUCUCACAGCAUCUGGUGCUUGGCCGAGUCGAACUCCCACAAAAAAGUGCCCGUCGUUGACACGGAAGGAUCCGGCGGAAGAGCAUAACCUGGACCACGUUGACGAGCUUGAUUUUCUUGUUUGUCAUGUUCUGGAUGCAGGUCUGGAGUUCGGUCAGCUGUACCGAAGAACCCCAGGAUUGGCCCUUCUUUUUCCAGGAGGUGAGCCGUGUGGGGAUUCCGGAUCGAAAUUUGGGGGCCGCCACCCAGUUGGAGUCGCGCGGCUCGGUGAUGUAGAACCACCCCGAUUGCCACCCCUUUAUGGUGUCCACAUAGGUGCCCUCGAGCCAGGUGACAUUAGGCAUCUUGCCCACCAUGGCGCCUCCGCACUCUGCUUGCUGGCCACCCACCACCUUCGGUUUGACAUUGAAGGUUUUCAGCCAUAGGCCGAAGUGGGGCCUGAUGCGGAGGAAGGUCUCACACACGACGAUAAACACCGAGAUGUUGAGGAUGAAAUUGGGGGCCAGAUCAUGAAAAUCCAGCCCAUAGUAGAACAUGAGCCCGCAGACAAAUGGGUGGAGAGGAAAUCCCAGUCCGCGAAUGAAAUGGGUAGGAAAAACUACCCUCUCAUGGGGUUUGGGCGUGGGGACGAUCUGGCCCGCAUUUGGCAGCCGGUGCGCGAUAUCCGCGGCCAAGUAUCCGGCUUCCCGUAACUUUUUGAUGUUCUCCUCCGUGACGGAGGAGACCAUCCACUUGCCUCGUGCUCCGGACAUGCUUGGAGCGGUUUGAGAAGAAGAACGCGAGCUUGGGUGCUAGAUCUCGAGUGUGCGGGAAUGGGUAAGCGAGAAGGAAGAAGGCGUGUGUGAAAAAAGUAAAUCUUUGUCCCUUUAUAAGGGCGGAGGAGGCGAUGUGUCUCCCACUUGCCUGGCAAAACUGCUUAUUCCCCAGGUGCCAUAAUUGAUGGCGUGGUUGGGUUACCCACGUCCGUAUUGAUGAGAAUCCCGUGAUAAAGGGAACAUGAUCUCUGCUUUGACAAGACGUGUCAAGAAAAUCGCAUCAUGAUAUGUGCGGAGCUGGUUAAGAAAAGCAGUUCGAAUAAAAACCGGGUCGUGACGUGAUGUCAUGCUAUCAAAACAUGUCAGCAGAUUAGAUUUGUGGAAAUAUUAUUCUCUCUACGGUGGUAUGUGGAACUUAUUUUGCAGGGCCGGACACUAUCCUUGUAUUCAAACUCUUCCAUGGUGUAUUCGGAGGAGGAACCCACCUUGCAAUGCCGAAGACAACACUGCGCGCCGGACUCAUCGUCAUUGAAGCCUGGUUCAGGGGCUACUGAGGGAGUCCUGGAUUAGGGGGUCUACGGACAGCCGGACUAUAUCCUUUGGCCGAACUGUUGGACUAUGAAGAUACAAGAUUGAAGACUUCGUCCCAUGUCCGGAUGGGACUCUACUUGGCGUGGAAGGCAAGCUAGGCAAUACGGAUAUGUAUAUCUCCUCCUUUGUAACAGACCUUGUGUAACCCUAGCCUCCUCCGGUGUCUAUAUAAACUGGAGGGUUUUAGUCCGUAGGACAACAUACAAUCAUACCAUAGGCUAGCUUCUAGGGUUUAGCCUCUUUGAUCUCGUGGUAGAUCAACUCUUGUAAUACUCAUAUCAUCAAGAACAAUCAAGCAGGACGUAGGGUAUUACCUCCAUCAAGAGGGACCAAACCUGGGUAAACAUCGUGUCCCCUGCCUCCUGUUACCAUCCGCCUUAGACGCACAGUUCGGGACCCCCUACCCGAGAUCCUCCGGUUUUGACACCGACACUCGCGAUACAUCAAGAUCGUACCACCUCAAGAACACGAGAGAGAGAGAGAUCAAACACAUAGCUACUGGUACAUACCCUCAGCCUCGAGGGAGAACUACUCCCUCCUCGUCAUGGAGAGCACCGGGAUGAUGAAGAUGACCACCAGAGAGGGAUUCCCCCUCUGGCAGGGUGCCGGAACAGGUCUAGAUUGGCUUUCGGUGGCUACAGAGGCUUCUGGCGGCGGAACUCCCGAUCUAUUGUGCUCCCCGGUCGUUUUAGGGUAUAUGGGUAUAUAUAGGAGGAAGAAGUACGUCAGGGGAGCCACGAGGGUGGAGGGCGCCCCCAGGGGGUGGGCGCACCCCCUACCUUGUGGCUUCCUCGAAGCUUCCUUGAUGUGGACUCCAAGUCUCCCGGGUUGCUUUCCUUCCAAAAAUAAGUUCCGUGAAGUUUCAGGUCAAUUCGACUCCAUUUGAUUUUCCUUUUCUGCGAUACUCUAAAACAAAGAAAAAAAUAGAAAUUGGCACUGGGCUCUGGGUUAAUAGGUUAGUCCCAAAAAAUCAUAUAAAAUGGCAUAUAAAUGCAUAUAAAACAUCCAAGGUUGAUAAUAUAAUAGCAUGGAACAAUCAAAAAUUAUAGAUACGUUGGAGACGUAUCAGCAUCCCCAAGCUUAAUUCCUGCUCGUCCUCGGGUAGGUAAAUGAUAAAAACAGAAUUUUUGAUGUGGAAUGCUACCUAACAUAUUCAUCAUGUAUUUCUCUUUAUUGUAGCAAGAAUAUUCAGAUCCAUAAGAUUCAAGACAAAAGUUUAUAUUGACAUAAAAAUAAUAAUACUUCAAGCAUACUAACUAAGCAAUCAUGUCUUCUCAAAAUAACAUGGCCAAAGAAAGUUCAUCCCUACGAAAUCAUAUAGUUUGGUCAUGCUCCAUUUUCGUCACACAAGAAUGCUCUCAUCAUGCACAACCCGGAUGACAAGCCAAGUAAUUGUUUCAUAUUUUAGUAAUCUCAAACUUUAUAAACCUUCAUGCAAUACAUGAGCGCGAGCCAUGGAUAUAGCACUAUGGGUGGAAUAGAAUAUGAUGAUGGGGAUUAUGUGGAGAAGACAAAAAAGGAGAAAGUCUCACAUCAACGAGGCUAAUCAAUGGGCUAUGGAGAUGCCCAUCGAUUGAUGUUAAUGCAAGGAGUAGGGAUUGCCAUGCAACGGAUGCACUAGAGCUAUAAAUGUAUGAAAGCUCAACAAAAGAAACUAAGUGGGUGUGCAUCCAACUUGCUUGCUCACGAAGACCUAGGGCACUUGAGGAGGCCCAUUGUUGGAAUAUACAAGCCAAGUUCUAUAAUGAAAAUUUCCCACUAGUAUAUGAAAGUGACAAAACAAGAUACUCUCUAUCAUCAAGAUCAUGGUGCUACUUUGAAGCACAAGUGUGGAAAAAAGGAUAGUAGCAUUGUCCCUUUUAUUUUUUUAUUUUUUAUUAUUUGGCCUUUUUUAUUUUUUAAUAUUUGGCCUUUCUUUUUUCCCCUAUUUUUGGGACAAUGCUCUAUUAAUGAUGAUCAUCACACUUCUAUUUAUUUACAACUCGAUACUAGAACAAAGUAUGACUAAAUAUGAAUGCCUCCGGUGGUUGAUAUGUCUCCAACGUAUCUAUAAUUUUUGAUUGCUCCAUGCUAUAUUAUCUACUGUUUUGGACAUCACUGGGCUUUAUUAUCCACUUUUAUAUUAUUUUUGGGACUAACCUACUAACCGGAGGCCCAACCCAGAAUUGCUGUUUUUUUGCCUAUUUUAGGGUUUCGAAGAAAAGGAAUAUCAAACGGAGUCCAAACGGAAUGAAAGCUUCGGGAACAUGAUUUUCUCAACGAACAAGACCCAGGAGACUUGGACCCUACGUCAAGACACAAAAGAGGAGGCCACGAGGUAGGGGGCGCGCCUACGCCCCCCCCCCCCAGGCGCGCCCUCCACCCUCGUGGGCCCCCUGUUGCUCCACCGAUGUACUCCUUCCUCCUAUAUAUACCAACGUACCCCCAAAUGAUCAGAUACGGAGCCAAAACCCUAAUUCCACCACCGUAACUUUCUGUAUCCACGAGAUCACAUCUUGGGGCCUGUUCCGGAGCUCCACCGGAGGGGGCAUCGAUCACGGAGGGCUUGUACAUCAUCACCAUAGCCCCUCCGAUAAAGUGGAAGUAGUUCACCUCAGACCUACGGGUCCAUAGUUAUUAGCUAGAUGGCUUCUUCUCUUUUUUUUUGGAUCUCAAUACAAUGUUCUCCCCCUCUCUUGUGGAGAACUAUUCGAUGUAAUCUUCUUUUUGUGGUGUGUUUGUUGAGAUUGAUGAUUGUGGGUUUAUGAUCAAGUCUAUCUAUGAACAAUAUUUGAAUCUUCUCUGAAUUCUUUUAUGUAUGAUUGGUUAUCUUUGCAAGUCUCUUUGAAUUAUCAGUUUGGUUUGGCCUACUAGAUUGAUCUUUCUUGCAAUGGGAGAAGUGCUUAGCUUUGGGUUCAAUCUUGCGGUGUCCUUUCCCAGUGACAGUAGGGGCAGCAAGGCACGUAUUGUAUUGUUUCCAUCGAGGAUAACAAGAUGGGGUUUUCAUCAUAUUGCAUGAUUUUAUCCCUCUACAUCAUGUCAUCUUGCUUAAGGCGUUACUCUGUUUUCAUUAACUUAAUACUCUAGAUGCAUGUUGGAUAGCGGUCGAUGAGUGGAGUAAUAGUAGUAGAUGCAGGCAGGAGUCGGUCUACCUGUCUCGGACGUGAUGCCUAUACACAUGAUUGUGCCUAGAUAUUCUCAUAACUAUGCUCAAUUCUGUCAAUUGCUCAAUAGUAAUUUGUUCACCCACCGUAGAAUACUUAUGCUCUUGAGAGAAGCCACUAGUGAAACCUAUGGCCCCCGGGUCUAUCAUCAUCAUAUUAAUCUUCCAACACUUAGUUAUUUACUUUGCCUUUUUACUUUUCUUUUAUUUUACUUUGCAUCUUUAUCAUAAAAAUACCAAAAAUAUUAUCUUAUCAUAUCUAUCAGAUCUCACUCUCGUAAGUGGCCGUGUAGCGAUUGACAACCCCUUAUCGCGUUGGUUACGAGGAUUUAUUUGUUUUGUGCAGGUACAAGGGACUCGCGCGUAGCCUCCUACUGGAUUGAUACCUUGGUUCUCAAAAACUAAGGCAAAUACUUACGCUACUCUGCUGCAUCACCCUUCCUCUUCGGGGAAAAACCAACGCAGUGCUCAAGAGGUAUCAAGAAGGAUUUCUGGCGUCGUUGCCGGGGAGUCUACGCAAAAGUCAAUAUACCAAGUACCCAUCACAAUCCCUAUCUCCCGCAUUACAUUAUUUGCCAUUUGCCUCUCGUUUUCCUCUCCCCCACUUCACCCUUUCCAUUUUAUUCGCCUCUCUCUCUAUCCUACCUCUCUUUUUCCGUUCACUUUUUUUCCGCUUGCUUUUUGUUUGCUUGUGUGUUGGGUUGCUUGCUUGUCGCGAUGGCUCAAGAUAACACUAAAUUGUGUGACUUUACCAAUACCAACAACAAUGAUUUUAUUAGCACUCCGAUAUUUCAUCUUACCGAUGCUGAAUCUUGUGAAAUUAAUACUGCUUUGCUAAAUCUUGUCAUGAAAAAUCCGUUUUCCGGCCUUCCUAGUGAAGAUGCCGCUACCAAUCUAAACAGCUUCGUUGAUUUGUGUGAUAUGCAAAAGAAGAAAGAUGUGGAUAACGAUAUUGUUAAAUUGAAGCUAUUUCCUUUUUCGCUUAGAGAUCGUGCUAAAGCUUGGAUUUCGUCUUUGCCUAAGAAUAGUAUUGAUUCAUGGAAUAAGUGCAAAGAUGCUUUUAUCUCUAAGUAUUUUCCUCCCGCUAAGAUCAUCUCCCUUAGAAACGAUAUUAUGAAUUUUAAGCAACUUGAUCAUGAAUAUAUUUCACAAGCUUGGGAGAGGAUGAAAUUAAUGACACAUAAUUGCCCUACUCAUGGUUUGAAUUUGUGGAUGAUUAUACAAAAAUUUUAUGCCAGAUUGAAUUUUGCUUCUAGAAAUCUUUUAGAUUCGGCCGCGGCAGGGACUUUUAUGGAAAUCACUUUAGGAGAAGCUACUAAACUCCUAGACAAUAUUAUGGUUAACUAUUCUCAAUGGCAUACUGAAAGAUCUACUAAUAAAAAGGUGCAUGCAAUAGACGAAAUUAAUGUUUUGAGUGGAAAGAUGGAUGAACUUAUGAAAUUAUUUGCUAGUAAAAGUGUUUCUUCUGAUCCUAAUGAUAUGCCCUUGUCUACUUGAUUGAGAAUAAUAAUGAAUCUAUGGAUGUGAAUUUUGUUGGUAGGAACAAUUUUGGUAACAACGCGUAUAGAGGAAAUUUUAAUCCUAGGCCUUAUCCUAGUAACCCCUCCAAUAAUUAUGGUAAUUCCUACAACAAUUCUUAUGGAAAUUAUAAUAAGACGCCCUCUGAUUUUGAAUCUAAUAUUAAAGAAUUUAUUACUUCGCAAAAGAAUUUCAAUGCUUUGAUUGAAGAAAAAUUGCUUAAGAUUGAUGAGUUGGCUAUGAACGUUGAUAGAAUUUCUCUUGAUGUUGAUUCUUUGAAACUUAGAUCUAUUCCACCAAAGCAUGAUAUCAAUGAGUCUCUCAAAGCCAUGAGAAUUUCCAUUGAUGAGUGCAAAGAAAGAACCGCUAGAAUGCGUGCUAAGAAAGAUGCCUUUAUAAGAGCGUGUUCUUCUAGUUCCGAUGAAAAUAAAGAUGAAGAUCUCAAAGUUAUUGAUGUGUCCCCUAUUAAAUCUUUGUUUUGCAAUAUGAAUCUUAAUAAUUAUGGGACUGAAUAUGAUCCACCAUUAUCUAGAAGGCGUUCCAAGAAUUCGGAGUCUUUAGAUCUUAAUGCUAAAAUUGAUGAAAGUGGGAUCGAAGAAAUCAAAACCCUAGAUGUUGCUAAACCCACUAUUUUUGAUUUCAAGGAAUUUAAUUAUGAAAAUUGCUCUUUAAUUGAAUGUAUUUCCUUGCUGCAAUCCGUGCUAAAUUCUCCUCAUGCUUAUAGUCAAAAUAAAGCAUUCACUAAACAUAUCGUUGAUGCCUUGAUGCAUUCUUAUGAAGAAAAACUUGAAUUGGAAGUUUCUAUCCCUAGAAAACUUUAUGAUGAGUGGGAACCAACUAUUAAAAUUAAAAUUAAAGAUCAUGAGUUCUAUGCUUUAUGUGAUUUUGGUGCUAGUGUUUCCACGAUUCCAAAGACUUUGUGUGAUUUGUUAGGUUUCCGUGAUUUUGAUGAUUGCCCUCUAAACUUGCACCUUGCGGAUUCCACUAUUAAGACACCCAUGGGAAGAAUUAAUGAUGUUCUUAUUGUUGCAAAUAGGAAUUAUGUGCCCAUAGAUUUUAUUGUUCUUGACAUAGAUUGCAAUCCUUCAUGUCCAAUUAUUCUUGGUAGACCUUUCCUUAGAACGAUUGGUGCAAUUAUUGAUAUGAAGGAAGGAAAUAUUAUAUUCCAAUUUCCGUUAAGGAAAGGCAUGGAACACUUUCCUAGAAAUAAAAUUAAAUUACCUUAUGAAUCUAUUAUGAGAGACACUUAUGGAUUGCCUACUGUCAGUGUCAAAACCGGCGGAUCUCGGGUAGGGGGUCCCGAACUGUGCGUCUAGGCGGAUGGUAACAGGAGGCAGGGGCCACGAUGUUUUACCCAGGUUCGGGCCCUCUUGAUGGAGGUAAAACCCUACGUCCUUCUUGAUUAAUAUUGAUGAUAUGGGUAGUACAAGAGUAAAUCUACCACGAGAUCAAGGAGGCUAAACCCUAGAAGCUAGCCUAUGGUAUGAUUGUUCUUCGUCCUACGGACUAAAACUGAAGGAAAUAUGCCCUAGAGGAAAUAAUAAAGUUAUUAUUUAUUUCGUUAUAUCAUGAUAAAUGUUUAUUAUUCAUGCUAGAAUUGUAUUAACCGGAAACAUAAUACAUGUGUGAAUACAUAGACAAACAUAGUGUCACUAGUAUGCCUCUACUUGACUAGCUCGUUAAUCAAAGAUGGUUAUGUUUCCUAACCAUGAACAAAGUGUUGUUAUUUGAUUAACGAGGUCACAUCAUUAGUUGAAUGAUCUGAUUGACAUGACCCAUUCCAUUAGCUUAGCACCCGAUCGUUUAGUAUGUUGCUAUUGCUUUCUUCAUGACAUAUACAUGUUCCUAUGACUAUGAGAUUAUGCAACUCCCGUUUGCCGGAGGAACACUUUGUGUGCUACCAAACGUCACAACGUAAAUGGGUGAUUAUAAAGGAGCUCUACAGGUGUCUCCAAUGGUAGAUGUUGGGUUGGCGUAUUUCGAGAUUAGGAUUUGUCACUCCGAUUGUCGGAGAGGUAUCUCUGGGCCCUCUCGGUAAUGCACAUCACUUAAGCCUUGCAAGCAUUGCAACUAAAUGAGUUAGUUGCGGGAUGGUGUAUUACGGAACGAGUAAAGAGACUUGCCGGCAACGAGAUUGAACUAGGUAUGGGAAUACCGAUGAUUGAAUCUCGGGCAAGUAACAUACCGAUGACAAAGGGAACAACGUAUGUUGUUAUGCGGUCUGACCGAUAAAGAUCUCCGUAGAAUAUGUAGGAGCCAAUAUGGGCAUCCAGGUCCCGCUGUUGGUUAUUGACCGGAGACGUGUCUCGGUCAUGUCUACAUUGUUCUCGAACCCGUAGGGUCCGCACGCUUAAGAUUACGAUGACAGUUAUAUUAUGAGUUUAUGCAUUUUGAUGUACCGAAGGUUGUUCGGAGUCCCGGAUGUGAUCACGGACAUGAUGAGGAGUCUCGAAAUGGUCGAGACGUAAAGAUUGAUAUAUUGGAAGUCUAUGUUUGGAUAUCGGAAGUGUUCCGGGUGAAAUCGGGAUUUUACCGGAGUACUGAGAGGUUACCGGAACCCCCUCGGGAGCUAUAUGGGCCUUUGUGGGCUUUAGUGGAAAGGAGAAAGGGGCAGCCCAAGGUGGCUGUGCGCCUCCUCCCUUCCCCUAGUCCUAUUAGGACUAGGAUAGGUGGCCGGCCCCCUCUCUCUCUUUCCCCCCUCAAGGAAUCCUAUUCCAACUAGGAUUGGGGGGGGGGGGGAAUCCUACUCCCAGAGGGAGUAGGACUCUCCUGGCACGCCAAGCUUGGCCGGCCAGCCUCCCCCCUCUAGUCCUUUAUAUACUGAGGUAGAGGCACCCUAGAACACACAAUUGAUCAACGUGAUCUAUUCCUUAGCCGUGUGCGGUGCUCCCAGCCACCAUAUUCCUCGAUUAUACUGUAGCGGAGUUUAGGCGAAGCCCUGCUGCUGUAGUGCAUCAAGAUCGUCACCACGCCGUUGUGCUGACGGAACUCUUCCCCGACACUUUGCUGGAUCGGAGUCCGGGGAUCGUCAUCGAGCUGAAUGUGUGCUCGAACUCGGAGGUGCCGUAGUUUCGGUGCUUGAUCGGUCGGAUCGGGAAGAUGUACGACUACUUCCUCUAUGUUGCGUCAAUGCUUCCGCAGUCGGUCUGCGUGGGUACGUAGACAACACUCUCCCCUCUCGUUGCUAUGCAUCACAUGAUCUUGCGUGAGCGUAGGAAUUUUUUUGAAAUUACUACGAAACCCAACAAAAACCCUNNNNNNNNNNNNNNNNNNNNNNNNNNNNNNNNNNNNNNNNNNNNNNNNNNNNNNNNNNNNNNNNNNNNNNNNNNNNNNNNNNNNNNNNNNNNNNNNNNNNNNNNNNNNNNNNNNNNNNNNNNNNNNNNNNNNNNNNNNNNNNNNNNNNNNNNNNNNNNNNNNNNNNNNNNNNNNNNNNNNNNNNNNNNNNNNNNNNNNNNNNNNNNNNNNNNNNNAGAGUCGGUUACAAUGGUAGAAGAUCUACAUAUCCGUAUCGCCAAGCUUGCCUUCCACGCCAAGGAAAGUCCCUUCUGGACACAGGAUGAAGUCUUCAACCUUGUAUCUUCAUAGUCUAGGAGUCUGGCCGAAGGUAUAGUCCGGCUAUCCGGACACCCCCUAAUCCAGGACUCCCUCAGUAGCCCCUGAACCAGGCUUCAAUGACGACGAGUCCGGCGCGCAGAUUGUCUUCGGCAUUGCAAGGCGGGUUCCUCCUCCAAGUACUUCAUAGAAUAUUUUGAACACAAAGGUAGUGUCCGGCUCUGCAAAAUAAGUUUCCACAUAUUGCCAUAGAGAGAAUAAUAUUUACACAAAUCUAAUCUACUGACGUAUUCCGUAGCGUGACAUCACACCACGGCCAAGUUUUUAUUCGAAUCUGUCCCACCUCAACGCGUUUAGUGAGGCGGUUUCCUUGGCACAUCUUGUCAAAGCAGAGAUUGUGUCCCCUUAUUCCGGGAUUCUCAUCAAUACGGGCGUGGGUAACCCAACCGUACCCGUCGGUAUGUUUCCUCGAUCAAAGGAGAGUCCCAAACGGUCACGGGAAGGGCCCUUGGUAUUCAACCUCUUAUAAAGAGACCAAGGCCUUACUCCUUUCUUUCAAUCUCAAAUGAGUUCGCCCUUCGCCUCUACUUCCAACACCCAAGGCUCUAGAUUUCAGGCGCUUCGGACCUUCGACAAUGUCCGGUUCCGACCUUCGAGGCCGAUGGAUGCCCUCCUCCGUCACGGAGGAGGACGUGCUGAAGUUGAGAGAGGCCAGGUUCUUGACCGGCGAAAUCUCGCAUAGGCUGCCUGCUCAAGGGCAGGUCAUUCCCACUCCCAAGCCUGGUGAGAGUGUGGUGUUCAUGUCUCACUUCCUUCGGGGGUUAGGCUUCCCGACGAUCCCUACGUGAGGGGGCUCAUGUUUUAUUAUGGGCUGGAAUUUCAUGACUUAGCUCCGGAGUCCAUCCUCCAUAUUUCUUCAUUCAGCGUCGUGUGUGAAGCCUUCCUCCAUAUUACUCCUCACUUUGGACUAUGGCUCAAGACCUUCAAAGUAGAGCCGAAGAUGAUCGAGGGAUGGCACGCGGAGUGCGGAGGUGCUUUUAUAAGCAAGAAUGCUGGUGCUCCAUGGCCCGAGGGCUCUUUUCAAGGGGAGUCCAGCUUACGGCAACGAGAGUGGUUUUAUAUCACAGCUCCCAGGAGCACCAAGUGGGUGGCGCUGCCUGCUUUUCGCUCGGGUCCCCCGCCACGACUGGCGUCAUGGGUCAACAAGGGGCUGGACUGGGGGCCGGCAAAGGACGUGCCCCUGUUGCAGGGCCGCAUCCGAGAUCUCCUAGAAAGAGACAUCAGUCUGGUCGUGGUGACGCAGGUUAUGUUAAUUCGCCGAGUUCUGCACUGCAAACGUCGGCCCCUUCGGUUGUGGAAGUUCAACCCGGAGGGACCACGAGUUCUCCAACAUUUUCUUGGCAUGACGCCCAUGGAUAUGUACAAAUUAUUCUUUGGACCACAAGUAGUGUGUCUGGAUUCUACGGAGGACGCAGGUCUGAGCUGCAAUCGUCCAGAUACUCAAGUAAGUAGCCUUGUGCCCGGACUUGCUAUCCAUAUAUUUAUCAUAAAGUUUCCCCUAAAAGAGUUGUCCUUUAAAUAGGAGUGGAUAGCGAAAGCAAAGCUAAUCAGAUGUCCGGCCCCCCUCCCCGAGACCAUGCCGGGUCCCAUGCUAGUCAAGAUGUUGGAGGUUGUGCCUUCAAAGGAAAGAGAGGGAGGGGACAAGGAAGCUACCGCCUCCUCGAAGGAGGUUGUCCAGAAGGGAGGAAUCGAAAAUUCCUCUCCUCAGGGGAAGAAGAGGACCGCCUCUGAAGACCCGGAGACCAUGGCCUCAAAGCGGGGGAAGAAAUCUUCGCUAGAGGGUCCUGUGCUGGGGGAUACUUCGGCCGAAUUAUGCCCUCAAGGGGAUCAGCCCUCCAUCGAGCCGUAAGUAGAGAGGAGUUUUAUUUUUAAGAAACGAGAGAAAUCCUUGCUUUAUAUCUGAGAAAAGUAAUCGAAAAUUUACCUUGUAGCUCGGACCUUAGCUCUUCUCAGCAGAGCUCGUCUUCGGGGGAUCUUCUUCCGGAGAUGAUGGAGAGCGGAAUGCCUCCCCCUGCCGUAUCACCUCGCGAGGUGGGCGACCCCGAGGUAUUGUCGCGGAGGGUUUCUCCGAAUCCGGCAGGGCCGGAAGGCAGUCAUAUGGCCCCCCAAAGUCCUCCUUGUCCGGCCUUCUAAAAGGGCCAUCGGACGAGUCCGGCGUCGUCUGGUGCGUGGUCGGAGGAGCUGAAGGAUCUGCUAGGGAGAGCAUCUAUCUCAGAGGAGCACCGUGCAUUGAUGGGUACGGUGAUUGAGAGGAUUUCAUCCACGGAGAGCGGAUUGCACGAGGCCGUCAGGAGUGUACUGACAGGUUUUGAGGUACGCGAAAUAAUGUACCCUUUUUGGACAGUUGCACAUAAAUAAGAUGCGACCUGUGUAGAUAGUAGCCCCUGAGACUCUGUGCAUUGUCAAAAGUGACGGUGCGCAGAGGAUCAUAAUCCCAGGUCUAAUAUGCCGCCUUCAUACGUAGGUGGCUAAGUGUCCGGUGGCAAGCCGGACUGAUGAAUUUGCCGAGCUAAAGCGGCAACUUGACGUGGCAGAUGCCGACAUCGCGCUUGUCAACAAGCGGCUUGACGAGGCGCAAGGUAUGUAAUUCCUCCGGCGGCUCCUGGUAAGAGGAGCUUUAUGCUAGUAUCUUACAAUGUGUGCGCUUGAUGCAGAUGGUGCGGCCGCCAUGGAGAAUCUUCGGGCAGAACUUGCCCGAGCCAAGGAGCAAUCCAGGAAAAGUGAUGCGGCUGCCGGAAUGGCAAUUGAAGAGCUGAAAGCCGAACAGGCUGCUCACUGCCAAAGCAAGAAGGAAAUGGCCGAGAUGGCCGUGAAGCUGAAGAACGCUGCUGACCGUUGCAAGCUUCUUGAAAAAUAAGAUCGGGCAAAACAAACGGACCUGGAGAAGGCCGUUGCCGAUGCCAAGGAUGCUCGCUCUGCGAUGAGAGCUGUGAAGGAGGAGCUGCGUCAGGCCGGAGAGAUCGCGACUGGAAAGCCCUUUAUGCUGCAGAGGAAGUUCCGUGAUCCUAAACAUGCUCCGUUGGACUGGAUGUGGAGUACGACGGACACCUAUAUGGAUUUGGCAGCGGCCGCGGAUGCGGCCGAACACUUCCGAGAUCAAGAAGAUCGCGAAGUGGAAAAGCUCUUUUGGUUGCAGUUCCACAAUCCGGAGCGUCCGCUGUCAUGAGCCGAUCAUUUGGCCGAAUGGGCCGAGCUAAAUAGGUUGUCCGGACUUGCCAUGAAGUAUGUCAUGAGUCAUCUGUGGCCAGAGAGGCCAGAGCCGAAAAGUUAUUUCAACUUGGUGCAGCAGUUCCUUGGUGCGGCGCCACAUAUCAAUGCGAUGAAGAGGUCAGCGUGCAUAGAGGGUGCGCGGAUGACUCUUGCCCGUGUCAAGACAUACUGGGCAGAAAUGGAGGCCGCCGCUGUUGCAUCCCCAGACUCGGAUGGAAGUCGAGUACCUGCCGAGCACUAUUUUCAGGAAGUUCUGCAAGGCGCUCGUUUAAUAGAGACGUAGUGCUCGAAGGACACUAUAUUCGAGUAGCAUUAUUGUAAUACAAUAUUUUGAUAAAUUGUAGAAGCUUUUUAUACUUGUGCCUGCAAGUAUUAUAAUACCUCCUGUGCGGCCGUUUAACAUAUAUGUUUAUACAAUCUGAAUGAUGGCAGUCGUCGGCUUCAGCCCCCACGCACAUAAUGCGGGGGUGUUCGCAGAAGGCGCAUUUUCACACUUGAUCCAACGUCUUGGUCCUACAAAGGAGGUGAUAGCGCAGCGAACUAGGCAAUCAUACUAUGAUGCUUUAUCACUUUCACUUAGCCAUAGGAGUUUGAUAGUGAGGCUACUUAUAUAGCCCCUGGUGGCGCCUGCGCUCGCCCGAACUCGGGGCGCGUAUGUGCCUGGCCGGGAAGCGAACCUUCGUUAAUGCGGAGGAAUCCUAAAGAUUCUGGUAAGUCAUCGAGUGGUUGACCAGUCUCACGCUAUAUCAUGACAGUCAGUUUUUGACUUUCUCUACUGAGGUGCUCGCCUCGCUGAACCGGGGCACAAUCGCAGUAGUUCUCCUGGUGCCACCUUAGCCGAUAGAGCGAAAUGUAAGGUAGCAAAACACAGGAGCCGGGCAAACCCAACAUUUGACCAAAGACAUGAUUCGGAGCUGAUGCAUAUAAGGACAAACUCGCGACGCCGAACACUCCCUAAGGUAUUUGGUCUUUAUGAGGGCGGGCGGGAUAACGCCCUUAGUAAUAAGCCCCUAGUGUCCAGGUACGUGCAAAAACUCUGACAUGGCCACAUGCCAAAAUGCCAGCCUCCUCCUUGGUUAUACCAAGAAACCAGGGGAUGUGUAUCAACAAGAGACAGUAAAAAAGGUUUACGCAGGGUCUUAAUCUGAAAAGAAUCCUUGGAACGGGUCCCUGCUGCACGUCUACGCCUGUGUCUCCGUUGUGCCGUAUCCUGGACGGGCGUAGCACGGUGUUCAUCUGUAAAAGGGAGGAACUUAGUUACAUAAAGAUCGUGCCGAACAUGAGUUAUACUAAAUAAAUGAAGUAUAAAUCGAAAUGGGUAAAAUUGAGCUUUAUUGUCUCUUGUUUUAUAUGCGCGGAGCCCCUAGUACAGGGGCAUACGGCUAUUAAGCCUUUAUAAAUUGUAUGUUUAUGCCGGACUCGUCUAGCCGUGUCCGUUGUCUUGAUGACUUGUUUACGUGCUUUGGUUGGUGAAGCCGCUUUAUUGUGGGGCUGUCAAGGCAGCCACACUGUCUUCCGCGUGGGGGGAACACUCAAUGUUUUCCCUUUAAUGAGAUGAUGCCUCGUGGACCGGGCAUCUUAAGCGUGAGAUAUGCAUAAUGCGGUAUUGCGUUAAAGCGGGUGAAAGCUUUGCGUCCCAGUAGUGCUUGAUAGCUACUUGAGAAUGGGGCGAUGUGGAAAGUUAGCUGUUCGUGACGGAAGUUAUCGGGGGAGCCGAACAUAACUUCUAGCCGGAGAGAACCCAUGCAACGGGCAUCCGGGCCUGGCGUUACCCCUUGAAAGGAGGUUUUGCUAUGGCGAAUUUUUGUUGGGUCUAUCCCCAUGUUGCGGAUUGUGUCCUGGUAUAACAGGUUUAGACCACUUCCGCCGUCCAUCAGGACAUUUGUAAAGUGGAGUCCGCCGAUUAUUGGAUCUAAUACCAAGGGGAGACCAUAAAUGCCUUCAUCAAUGAAACCAUAGAUCUGUCAAUUUGCUGUCUCUGUCUGGAGCGGCGCUUACGUCGCCGCUUUGAUUGCUUUCCCCUAAUCCACAACUCUCAAUGAAACCGACGUCCCCGUGCGUCCAAAGAUGGUGAUACCUAAAUCUAUCCUUACUUUUCAUGCCUAGCUAGGGGGCGUUAAACGAUAGCGCUUGUUGGGAGGCAACCCAAUUUUAUUUUUAUUCCUUACUUUUUGCUCCUGUUUAUUAAUAAAUAAUUUAUCUAGCCUUUGUUUAGAUAGUGUUUUUUGUGUUUAAUUAGUGUUUGUGCCAAGUAGAACCGUUGGGAAUAAUUGGGGAAAGUCUUGAUAUCUUGCUGUAAAAAACAGAAACUUUAGCGCUCACGAGAACUGCUGCCAUUUUUAUUUGGAAAGUGAUAUAUAGUUAAUUCUUUUUGCAGAUGAUUAAUAAAUAUAUUCCUCCAUCCAUAAAUUUAUUUUAGAAUUUUUGGGGUUCCAGAUCUUGCGCUAGCUUCAGAUUACUACAGACUGUUCUGGUUUUGACAGAUUCUGUUUUUCGUGUGUUGUUUGCUUAUUUUGAUGAAUCUAUGGCUAGUAAAAUAGUUCAUAAACCAUAGAGAAGUUGGAAUACAGUAGGUUUAACACCAACAUAAACAAAGAAUAAGUUCAUUACAGUACCUUGAAGUGGUCAUUUGUUUUCUUUCGCUAACGGAGCUCACGAGAUUUUCUACUUUGAGUUUUGUGUUGUGAAGUUUUCAAGUUUUGGGUAAAGAUUUGAUGGAUUAUGGAACAAGGAGUGGCAAGAGCCUAAGCUUUGGGAUGCCCAUGGAACCCCCAAGAUAAUCUAAGGACACCUAAAAGCCAAAUCUUGGUAAUGCCCCUGAAGGCAUCCCCUCUUUUCGUCUACUUCUAUCGGUAACUUUACUUGGAGCUAUAUUUUUAUUCACCACAUGAUAUGUGUUUUUCUUGGAGCGUCUUGUAUUAUUUGAGUCUUUAUUUGUUAGUUUACCACGAUCAUCCUUGCUGUACACACCUUUUCAGAGAGCCAUACAUGAUUUGGAAUUUGUUAGAAUGCUCUAUGUGCUUCGCUUAUAUCUUUUGAGUUAUAUAGUUUUGCUCUAGUACUUCGCUUAUAUCUUUUAGAGCACGGUGGUGGAUUUGUUUUAUAGAAACUAUUGAUCUCUCAUGCUUCACUUAGAUUAUUUUGAGAGUCUUAAAUAGCAUGAUAAUUUGCUUAAAUAAUGCUAAUAUGCUAGGUAUUCAAGAUUAGUAAAAAAAUAUCCUAGGAGUGUUUGAAUACUAAGAGACGUUUGAUGCUUGAUGAUCGUUUUGAGAUAUGGAGGUAAUAAUAUCAAAGUCGUGCUAGUUGAGUAGUUGUGAAUUCGAGAAGUGCUUGUGUUGAAGUUUGCAAAUCCCGUAGCAUGCACGUAUGGUAAACGUUGUGUAACAAAUUUGAAACAUAAGGUGUUUUUUUCAUUGUCUUCCUUAUGAGUGGCGGUCGGGGACGAGCGAUGGUCUUUUCCUACCAGUCUAUCCCUCUAGGAGCAUGCGCGUAGUGCCGAGGUUUUUUAUGACUUGUAGAUUUUUUCAAUAAGUAUGUGAGUUCUUUAUGACUAAUGUCGAGUCCAUGGAUUAUACGCGCUCUCACCCUUCCAUCAUUGCUAGCCUCUUCGGUACCGUGCAUUGCCCUUUCUCACAUUGAGAGUUGGUGCAAACUUCACCGGUGCAUCCAAACCCCGUGAUAUGAUACGCUCUUUCACACAUAAACCUCCUUAUAUCUUCCUCAAAACAGCCACCAUACCUACCUAUUAUGGCAUUUCCAUAGCCAUUCUGAGAUAUAUUGCCAUGCAACUUUCCACCAUUCCGUUUAUCAUGACACAUUCAUCAUUGUCAUAUUGCUUAGCAUGAUCAUGUAGUGGACAUAGUAUUUGUGGCAAAGCCACCGUUCAUAAUUCUUUCAUACAUGCCACUCUUGGUUCAUUGCAUAUCCCGGUACACCGCCGGAGGCAUUCAUAUAGAGUCAUCUUUUGUUCUAGCAUCGCGUUGUAAUCAUUGAGUUGUAAAUAAAUAGAAGUGUGAUGAUCAUCAUUUUCUAGAGCAUUGUCCCAAAUGAGGAAAAAAAGAGAAAGGCCAUAUAAAAAAAGGCCUGAAUAAAAAAAAGAGAGAAAAAGAGAGAAGGGACAAUGUUACUAUCCUUUGCCACACUUGUGCUUCAAAGUAGCACCAUAAACUUCAUGUCACUUUGCUUUUAUUUUACUUUGCAUAUUUGUCAGAAAAAUACCAAAAAUAUUAUCUUAUCAUAUCUAUCAGAUCUCACUCUCGUAAGUGGCCAUGUAGGGAUUGACAACCCCUUAUCACGUUGGUUGCGAGCAUUUAUUUGUUUUGUGCAGGUACGAGGGACUCGCGCGUAGCCUCCUACAGGAUUAAUACCUUGGUUCUCAAAAACUAAGGGAAAUACUUACGCUACUCUGCUGCAUCAUCCCUUCCUCUUCGGGGAAAAACCAACACAGUGCUCAAGAGGUAGCAGUGGUGUACCGGGAUUGCGAUGAAUCAAGAGUGACAUGUAUGAAAAAUUAUGAACGAUGGCUUUGCCACAAAUACGAUGUCAACUACAUGAUCAUGCAAAGCAAUAUGACAAUGAUGAUGCGUGUCAUAAUAAACAGAACGGUGGGAAGUUGCAUGGCAAUAUAUCUCGGAAUGGCUAUGGAAAUGCCAUAAUAGGUAGGUAUGGUGGCUGUUUUGAGGAAGAUAUAAGGAGGUUUAUGUGUGAUAGAGCGUAUCAUAUCACGGGGUUUGGAUGCACCGGCGAAGUUUGCACCAACUCUCAAUGUGAGAAAGGGCAAUGCACGGUACCGAAGAGGCUAGCAAUGAUGGAAGGGUGAGAGUGCGUAUAAUCCAUGGACUCAACAUUAGUCAUAAAGAACUCACAUACUUAUUGCAAAAAUCUACAAGUCAUCAUAAACCAAGCACUAUGCGUAUGCUCCUAGGGGGGUAGAUUGGUAGGAAAAGACCAUUGCUCGUCCCCGACCGCCACUCAUAAGGAAGACAAUCAAAGAACACCUCAUGUUUCAAAUUUGUUACAUAUCAUUUACCAUACGUGCAUGCUACGGGACUUGCAAACUUCAACACAAGCAUUUCUCAAAUACACAACUACUCAACUAGCACGACUUUGAUAUUAUUACCUCCGUAUCUCAAAACAAUCAUCAAGCAUCAAGCUUCUCUUAGUAUUCAAUGCACUCUAUAUGAAAGUUUUUAUUAUAUCCCUCUUGGAUGCCCAUCAUAUUAGGACUAGUUUCAUAACAAAAGCAAACUACCAUUCUGUUCUAAGGGACUCUCAAAAUAAUAUAAGUGAAUCAUGAGAGUUCAUCUAUUUCUAUAAAAUAAAACCACCACCAUGCUCUAAAAGAUAUAAGUGAAGCACUAGAGCAAAUGACAAACUACUCCAAAAGAUAUAAGUGAAGAUCAAUGAGUAGUCGAAUAAUUAUGCAACCAUGUGAAGACUCUCUAACAUUUAAUAAUUUCAGAUAUUGUUAUUUUAUCCAAGCAGCAAGCAAAACUAAAUAAAAUAAAAUGACUCUCCAAGCAAAACACAUAUCAUGUGGUGAAUAAAAAUAUAGCUCCAAGUGAAGUUACCGAUAGACGAGGACGAAAGAGGGGAUGCCUUCCGGGGCAUCCCCAAGCUUAGGCUUUUGGUUGUCCUUGAAUAUUACCUUGGGGUGCCUUGGGAAUCCCCAAGCUUAGGAUCUUUCCACACCUUGUUCCAUAGUCCAUCAAAUCUUUACCCAAAACUUGAAAACUUCACAACACAAAUCUUAACCAAAAACUCGUAAGCUCCGUCAGUAUAAGAAAAUAAAUCACCACUUAGGUACUGUUGUGAACUCAUUCUAAAUUCAUAUUGGUGUAAUAUCUACUGUAUUCCAACUUAUCUAUGGUUCAUACCCUCCGAUACUACUCAUAGGUUCAUCAAAAUAAGCAAACAACACAUUGAAAACAGAAUCUAUCAAAAACAGAACAGUCUGUAGUAAUAUGGAUCAAACGUAUACUUCUGGAACCCCAAAAAUUCUAAAAUAAAUUUCUGGACCUGAUUAAUUUAUCUAUUAAUCAUAUUCAAAAGGAAUUAACUAAAUAUCACUCUCCAAAUAAAAAUUGCAGCAAUUCUCGUGAGUGCUAAAGUUUCUGUUUUUUACAGCAUGAUUAUAAAGACUUCACCCAAGUCUUCCCAAAGGUUCUACUGGGCACAAACACUAAUUAAAACAUAAAACCACAUCCAAACAGGGGCUAGAUGAAUUAUUUAUUACUAAACAGGAGCAUAAAGAAAGGAACAAAAAUAAAAUUGGGUUGCCUCCCAACAAGCGCUAUCGUUUAACGCCCCUAGCUAGGCAUGAUGAUUUCAAUGAUGCUCACAUAAAAGAUAAGAAUUAAAACAUAAAGAGAGCAUCAUGAAGAAUAUUACUAGAGCAUUUAAGUCUAACCCACUUCCUAUGCAUUGGGAUUAUGUGAGCAAACAACUUGUGGGUACAAGAAUCAAUUUGCAUAGGAAGGUAAAACAAGCAUAACUUCAAAACUUUAAGCACAUAGAGAGGAAACUUGAUAUUAUUGCAAUUCCUACAAGCAUAAGUUCCUCCCUCAUAAUAAUUUUCAUUAGCAUCAUGAAUGAAUUCAACAAUAUAACCAGCACCUAAAGCAUUAUUUUCAUUAUCUAUAAGCAUAGAAAUUUUAUUACUCUCCACAUGAGCAAAAUUCUUCUCAUUCGGAAUAGUGGGAGUAUCAUAAGAAACUCGAAUACUAUAAAUUGUUUCCACAUUAAAAGAGUAAUGUUCAGAAAAGGGGUUAUCAUAAUCAUACAAGUUUUAUAAUCAUAAUCACUACUUUUUAUAGCAUAAGUACCAUCACAAUAAUCAUCAUAAGUAGGAGGCAUGCUAUCAUCAUUAUAAAUUUGCAUAUCAAAACUUGGGAGACUAAAAAUAUCAUCUUCAUUAAACGUAGCAUCCCCAAGCUUGAGACAAACAUUAGCUGCAGCAAAUAUAUUCUCAAAAACAUCAUUUUCAUCAAACAUAGCAUCCCCAAGCUUGGCCCUUUUCAUAUCAUAAGCAUAAUCACUCUCAUCAUUAAUAGUAUGGAUAGCACCAAUAGUAUAGCAAUUAUCAUAUUCUUCCAAGCAAGUGCCAAAAAGAUCUUCAAGAUCAUAAUAAGUAUCAUUAUCUUUCACAAUUAUAUUUUCAUGAGGCACAAUAGUAAUAGGAGCAGCAUUAUUUGGGGGAGAUAUCUUUUUACCUCUCUUCCUUUUUCUUUUCUUCUUCUUCACCACAUCAUGUGUGGGUUCAAUCCUCUUUUUGUAGCUCCUUAUUAAUGAGAUUGGUUGAAUAGGAGGCUCUUCCUCGUUACCUGAUUCAUCAUAAGAAAUAAUAGGAGGGUAUUGGGAAGUCUCUUCCCUUUCAUUAGUAUUCUCUUCAUCUUCUAUUUAUUUUCUUUUCUUCAUGUAGUUGGCAAUAUAAGGAUUUUCAAUACAAUUCACCGCACAAUACAUAUAAAUUUUCUCUAGAUCAAAAUCAAGAAAUCUACCAAGAUUAAACUUUGGAAUACCCUCAGUUAUACUUUUCAUUUCCUCAUACCCCAAAAGAAGACUAAGCUCUUUAUGAUGCUCAAGGGUAAUCAAAUUAUCACAAUUUUUGGGUACGAUUUGGUCAUGAAACAAUUUGCAUUGGAGAUUUAAAUGACCAUGUUCAUUGCAAAGUUCACAAGGGGCGCGAAAAAUAUUGAAUUUUUCAGCACAAACAUCAAGACUUUCUUGCAACAAUUUAGUUUCUAAAUACUUAUGCCUCUUGCAAUAUCUAUCUUCCCUAUUUGGUGUAUACUUGCAAACCCAAUGCACUCCACAAAAAUUGACAUGUUUAUAGGAGACAUUUUCAUCAUAACUAGUGCAAUCAUCAUUAGUACUACGGAUAUUCAAAGAGUUCAUACUAACAACAUUCCAAUCAUGCUCAUCAUUCAAAGAUUUAGUGCCAAACAUUUUAAUGCAUUCUUCUUAUAACACUUUGGCACAAUUUUCCUUUCCACCAUACUCACGGAAGAUAUUAAAAAGAUGAAGCGUAUGAGACAAACUCAAUGUUGGGGAACGUUGCAGAAAACAAAAAAAUUCCUACGGUUUCACCAAGAUCCAUCUAUGAGUUCAUCUAGCAACGAGUGAUCGGAUGCAUCUACAUACCUUGUAGAUCGUGAGCGGAAGCGUUCAAAGAAUGGGGAUGAGGGAGUCGUACUCGAUGUGAUCCAAAUCACCGGAGAUCCUAGCGCCGAACGGACGACACCUCCGCGUUCAACACACGUACGGUCAACGUGACGUCUCCUCCUUCUUGAUCCAGCAAGGGGAAGGAGAGGUUGAGGAAGAUGGGUCCAGCAGCAGCACGACGGCGUGGUGGUGGUGGAGAAGCAGUACUCCGACAGGGCUUUGCCGAGCUCUACGGAGGAGGAGGAGGUGUUGGAGGGGAGAGGGAGGCGCCAAGGGCAUGGGUGCGGCUGCCCUCCCUCCCCCCCUCUAUAUAUAGGGUCCCCAAGGGGGGGGCGCCGGCCCUGGAGAUUCAAUCUCCCAAGGGGCGCGGCCAAGGGGGGUGGAGUGCCCCCCAAGGCAAGUGGGGCGUGAAGGAAAUAUGCCCUAGAGGCAAUAAUAAAGUUAUUAUUUAUUUCCUUAUAAUCAUGAUAAAUGUUUAUUAUUCAUGCUAGAAUUGUAUUAACCGAAAACAUAAUACAUGUGUGAAUACAUAGACAAACAAGGUGUCACUAGUAUGCCUCUACUUGACUAGCUCGUUAAUCAAAGAUGAUUAUGUUUCCUAAUCAUGAACAAUGAGUUGUUAUUUGAUUAACGGGAUCACAUCAUUAAGAGAAUGAUCUGAUUGACAUGACCCAUUCCAUUAGCUUAGCACCCGAUCGUUUAGUAUGUUGCUAUUGCUUUCUUCAUGACUUAUACAUGUUCCUAUAACUAUGAGAUUAUGCAACUCCCGUUUACCGGAGGAACACUUUGGGUACUACCAAACGUCACAACAUAACUGGGUGAUUAUAAAGGAGUAUUACAGGUGUCUCCAAAGGUACAUGUUGGGUUGGCGUAUUUCGAGAUUAGGUUUUGUCACUCCGAUUGUCGGAGAGGUAUCUCUGGGCCCUCUCGGUAAUGCACAUCACUUAAGCCUUGCAAGCAUUGCAACUAAAUGAGUUAGUUGCGGGAUGGUGUAUUACGGAACGAGUAAGGAGACUUGCCGGCAACGAGAUUGAACUAGGUAUUGGAAUACCGACGAUCGAAUCUCGGGCAAGUAACAUACCGAUGACAAAGGGAACGACGUAUGUUGUUAUGCGGUCUAACCGAUAAAGAUCUUCGUAGAAUAUGUAGGAGCCAAUAUGGGUAUCCAGGUACCGCUAUUGGUUAUUGACUGGAGACAUGUCUCGGUCAUGUCUACAUUGUUCUCGAACCCGUAGGGUCCGCACGCUUAAGGUUACGAUGACAGUUAUAUUAUGAGUUUAUGCAUUUUGAUGUACCGAAGGUUGUUCGGAGUCCCGGAUGUGAUCAUGGACAUGACAAGGAGUCUCAAAAUGGUCGAGGCAUAAAGAUUGAUAUAUUGGAAGCCUAUGUUUGGAUAUCGAAAGUGUUCCGGGUGAAAUCGGGAUUUUACCGGAGAACCGGGAGGUUACCGGAACCCCCCGGGAGCUAAAUGGGCCAUGAUGGGCCUUAGUGGAAAAGAGAAGAGGCAGCCCUACAUGGGCCGCGCGCCCCUCCCCUCCCUUGGUCCGAAUAGGACAAGGAGAGGGGGCCGACCCCUCUCUCUCUUUUCCCCCCUCCGCGAAUCCUAUUCCAACUAGGAUUGGGGGGGGGGGGAAUCCUACCCCGAGAGGGAGUAGGACUCUCCUGGCGCGCCCUCCUUGGCCGGCCAGCCUCCUCCCUUUAGUCCUUUAUAUACGGAGGCAGGGGCACCCCAGAAACACACAAGUUGAUCCACGUGAUCUAUUCCUUAGCCGUGUGCGGCGCCCCCAGCCACCAUAGUCCUCGAUAAUACUGUACCGGAGUUUAGGCGAAGCCCUGCUGCUGUAGUGCAUCAUGAUCGUCACCACGCCGUCGUGCUGACGGAACUCUUCCCCGACACUUUGCUGGAUCGGAGUCCGAGGAUCGUCAUCGAGCUGAAUGUGUGCUAGAACUCGGAGGUGCCGUAGUUUCGUUGCUUGAUCGGUCGGAUCAUGAAGACGUACGACUACAUCAACCAAACGCUUCUGUUGUCGAUCUACUAGGUAUGUAGAUCACACUCCCCCCCCCUCGUUGCUAUGCAUCACAUGAUCUUGCGUGUGCGUAGGAAUUUUUUUGAAAUUACUACGUCCCCAACAGUGGCAUCCGAGCCUAGGUUUUAUAUGUUGAUGUUAUAUGCACGAGUAGAACACAAGUGAGUUGUGGGCGAUAUAAGUCAUACUGCCUACCAGCAUGUCAUACUUUGGUUCGGCGGUAUUGUUGGAUGAAGCGGCCCAGACCGACAUUACGCGUACGCUUACGCGAGACCGGUUCUCGCGACGUGCUUUGCACAGAGGUGGCUUGUGGGUGACAGUUUCUCCAACUUUAGUUGAACCAAGUGUGGCUACACCCGGUCCUUGCGAAGGUUAAAACGGAGUCAAAUUGACAAACUAUCGUUGUGGUUUUGAUGCGUAGGUGAGAUUUGUUCUUACUUAAGCCUGUAGCAGCCACGUAAAACUUGCAACAACAAAGUAGAGGACGUCUAACUUGUUUUUGCAGGGCAUGUUGUGAUGUGAUAUGGUCAAGACAUGAUGCUGAAUUUUAUUGUAUGAGAUGAUCAUGUUUUGUAACCGAGUUAUCGGCAACCGGCAGGAGCCAUAUGGUUGUCGCUUUAUUGUAUGCAAUGCAAUCGCGAUGUAAUGCUUUACUUUAUCACUAAAUGGUAGCGAUAGUCGUGGAAGCACAAGCUUGGCGAGACGACAAUGGUGCUACGAUGGAGAUCAAGGUGUCACGCCGGUGACGAUGGUGAUCACGACGGUGCUUCAGAGAUGGAGAUCACAAGCACAAGAUGAUGAUGGCCAUAUCAUAUCACUUAUAUUGAUUGCAUGUGAUGUUUAUCUUUUAUGCAUCUUAUCUUGCUUUGAUUGACGGUAGCAUUAUAAGAUGAUCUCUCACUAAAUUAUCAAGAAGUGUUCUCCCUGAGUAUGCACCGUUGCGAAAGUUCUUCGUGCUGAGACACCAUGUGAUGAUCGGGUGUGAUAGGUUCUACGUUCAAAUACAACGGGUGCAAAAUAGUUGCACACGCGGAAUACUCAGGUUAUACUUGACGAGCCAAGCAUAUACAGAUAUGGCCUCGGAACACGGAGACCGAAAGGUCGAGCGUGAAUCAUAUAGUAGAUAUGAUCAACAUAGCGAUGCUCACCAAUGAAACUACUCCAUCUCACGUGAUGAUCGGACAUGGUUUAGUUGAUUUGGAUCACGUGAUCACUUAGAGGAUUAGAGGGAUGUCUAUCUAAGUGGGACUUCUUAAGUAAUAUGAUUAAUUGAACUUAAAUUUAUCAUGAACUUAGUCCUGGUAGUAUUUUGCAAAUUAUGUUGUAGAUCAAUAGCUCGCAUUGUUGCUUCCCUGUGUUUAUUUUGAUAUGUUCCUAGAGAAAAUUGUGUUGAAAGAUGUUAGUAGCAAUGAUGCGGAUUGGAUCCAUGAUCUGAGGUUUAUCCUCAUUGCUGCAUAGAAGAAUUAUGUCCUUGAUGCACCGCUAGGUGACAGACCUAUUGCAGGAGCAGAUGCAGAUGUUAUGAACAUUUGGCUAGCUCAAUAUGAUGACUACUUGAUAGUUUAGUGCACCAUGCUUAAUGGCUUAGAAUCGGGACUUCAAAGACAUUUUGAACGUCAUGGACCAUAUGAGAUGUUCCAGGAGUUGAAGUUAAUAUUUCAAGCAAAUACCCGAGUUGAGAGAUAUGAAGUCUCCAACAAGGUCUAUAGCUAAAAGAUGGAGGAGAAUCGCUCAACUAGUGAGCAUGUGCUCAGAUUGUCUGGGUACUACAAUCGCUUGAAUCAAGUGGGAGUUAAUCUUCCAGAUAAGAUAGUGAUUGACAGAAUUCUCUAGUCACCAUCACCAAGUUAGUAGAACUUCCUGAUGAACUAUGAUAUGCAAGGGAUAACGGAAAUGAUUCCCAAGCUCUUCGUAAUGCGGAAAUUGACGAAGGUAGAAAUCGAGAAAAACAUCAAGUGUUGAUGGUAGACAAGACCACUAGUUUCAAGAAAAGGGCAGAGGGAAGAAGGGGAACUUCAAGAAGAACAGCAAGCAUGUUGCUACUCAAGUGAAGAAGCCCAAGUCUGGUCCUAAGCCUGAGACUAAGUGUUUCUACUGCAAAGGGACUGGUCACUGAAAGCGGAACUACCCCAAGUGAUUGGCAGAUAAGAAGGAUGGCAAAAUGAACAUAAGUAUAUUUGAUAUACAUGUUAUUGAUGUGUACUUUACUAGUGUUUAUAGCAACCCCUCAGUAUUUGAUACUAGUUCAGUUGCUAAGAUUAGUAACUUGAAACGGGAGUUGCAGAAUAAACAGAGACUAGUUAAGGGUGAAGUGACGAUGUGUGUUGGAAGUGGUUCCAAGAUUGAUAUGAUCAUCAUCGCACACUCCCUAUACUUUCGGGAUUAGUGUUGAACCUGAAUAAGUGUUAUUUGGUGUUUGUGUUAAGCAUGAAUAUGAUUUGAUCAUGUUUAUUAUAAUACGGAUAUUCAUUUAAGUAAGAGAAUAAAUUGUUGUUCUGUUUACAUGAAUAAAACCUUAUAUGGUUACACACCCAAUGAAAAUAGUUCAUUGGAUCUCGAUCGUAGUGAUACACAUAAUCAUAAUAUUGAAACCAAAAGAUGCAAAGUUAAUAAUGAUAGUGCAACUUAUUUGUAGCACUGCCAUUUAGGUCAUAUUGGUGUAAAGUGCAUGAAGAAACUCCAUGCUGAUGGAUUUUGGAAUCACUUGAUUAUGAAUCACUUGAUGCUUGAGAACCAUGCCUCAUGGUCAAGAUGACUAAGACUCCGUUCUCCGGAGAGAGCAACUGACUUAUUGGAAAUAAUACAUACUGAUGUAUGCGGUCCGAUGAGUGUUAAGGCUCACGGCAAGUAUCGUUAUUUUCUGAACUUCACAGAUGAUUUGAGCAAGAUAUGGGUAUAUCUACUUGAUGAAACAUAAGUCCUAAACAUUUGAAAAGUUCAAAGAAUUUCAGAGUGAAGUGGAAAAUCAUCAUGACAAGAAAAAAAAAUUUCUAUGAUCUGAUCGCGGAGACAAAUAUUUGAGUUACGAGUUUGGUCUUCAAAUAAAACAAUGUGGAAUAGUUUCACAAACUCAUGCCACAUGGAACACCACAGCAUAAUGGUGUGUCUGAACAUUAUAACCGUACUUUAUUAGAUAUGGUGCGAUCUAUGAUGUUUUUUUUUGAUCUACCACUAUCGUUUUGGGGUUAUGCAUUAAAGACAGCUGCAUUCACAUUUAAAAGGGCACCAUCUAAGUCCGUUGAGACGACACAAUCUGAACUGUGGUUUGGCAAGAAACCAAAGUUGUCAUUUCUUAAAGUUUGGGAUUGUGAUGCUUAUAUGAAAAGGUUUCAUCCUGAUAAGCUCAAAUCCAAAUAGGAGAAAUAUGUCUUCAUAGGAUACCCAAAGGAGACUGUUGGGUACACCUUCUAUCACAAAUCCGAAGGCAAGACUUUUGUUGCUAAAUUCGGAGUUUUUCUAGAGAAGGAGUUUCUCUCGAAAGAAGUGAGUGGGAGGAAAGUAGAACUUGAUGAGGUAACUGUACCUGCUCCCUUAUUGGAAAGUAGUUCAUCACAGAAAUCUGUUCCUGUGACUACUACACCAAUUCGUGAGGAAGCUAAUGAUGAUGAUCAUGUAACUUCAGAUCAAGUUACUACCAAAUCUCGUAGGUAAACCAGAGUGAGAUCCACACCAGAGUGGUACGGUAAUCCCAUUCUGGAAGUCGUGUUACUAGACCAUGACGAACUUGCGAACUAUGAGGAAGCGAUGAUGAGCCCAGAUUCUGCGAAAUGGUUUGAGGUCAUGAAAUCUGAGAUAUGAUCCAUGUAUGAGAACAAAGUAUGGACUUUGAUGGAUUUGCUCGAUGAUCGGCAAGCCAUAGAAAAUAAAUGGAUCUUCAAGAGGAAGACAGACGCUGAUAGUAGUGUUACUAUCUACAAAGCUAGAAUUGUCGCAAAAGGUUUUCGACAAGUUCAAGGAGUUGACUACGAUGAGAUUUUCUCACUCGUAUCUAUGCUUAAGUCUGUCCGAAUCAUGUUAGCAAUUGCCGCAUUUUAUGAAAUCUGGCAAAUGGAUAAACAAAACUGCAUUCCUUAAUGGAUUUACUAAAGAAGAGUUGUAUACGAUGCAACUAGAAGGUUUUGUCGAUCCUAAAGGUGUUAACUAAAUAUGCAAGCUCCAGCGAUCCAUCUAUGGACUAGUGCAAGAAUCUCAGAGUUGGAAUAUACGCUUUGAUAAGUUGAUCAAAGCAUAUAGUUUUAUGCAGACUUGCGGUGAAGCCUGUAUUUACAAGAAAGUGAGUGGGAGCACUACAACAUUUCUGAUAAGUAUAUGUGAAUGACAUAUUGUUGAUCGGAAAUAAUGUAGAAUUAUUCUGCAAAGCAUAAAGGAGUGUUUGAAAGGAGUUUUUUCAAAAAGGACCUCGAAGAAGCUGCUUACAUAUUGAGCAUCAAGAUCUAUAGAGAUAGAUCAAGACGCUUGAUAAGUUUUUUUUCAAUGAGUACAUACCUUGACAAGAUUUUAUAAUAGUUCAAAAUGGAACAGUCAAAGAAAGUGUUCUUGCCUGUGUCAUAAGGUGUGAAAUUGAGUAAGACUCAAAGCCCGACCACGGCAGAAGAUAGAAAGAGAAUGAAUGUCAUUCCCUAUGCCUCGGUCAUAGGUUCUAUAAAGUAUGCCAUGCUGUGUACCAGAUCUAUUGUAUACCCUACCAUUGAGUUUGGCAAGGGAGUACAAUAGUGAUCUAGGAGUAGAUCACUGGACAGCGGUCAAAAUUAUCCUUAGUGGAAUAAGGAAAUAUUUCUCAAUUAUGGAGGUGACAAAAAGGUUCGUCGUAAAAAGUUACAUCGAUGCAUGUUUUGACACAGAUCUGGAUGACUCUAAGUCUCGAUCUAGAUACAUAUUGAAAGUGGGAGCAAUAAGUUAGAGUAGCUCCGUGCAGAGCAUUGUUGACAUAGAAAUUCGCAAAAUACUUACGGAUCCGAAUGUGACAGACCUGUUGACUAAAAUUAUCUCACAAGCAAAACAUGAUCACACCUUAGUACUCUUUGGGUAUUAAUCACAUAGCGAUGUGAACUAGAUUACUGACUCUAGUAAACCCUUUGGGUGUUGAUCACAUAUCGAUGUGAACUAUGGGUGUUAAUCACAUGGUGAUGUGAACUAUUGUUGUUAAAUCACAUGGCGAUGUGAACUAGAUUAUUGACUCUAGUGCAGGUGGGAGACCGAAGGAAAUAUGCCCUAGAGGCAAUAAUAAAGUUAUUAUUUAUUUCCUUAUAAUCAUGAUAAAUGUUUAUUAUUCAUGCUAGAAUUGUAUUAACUGGAAACAUAAUACAUGUGUGAAUACAUAGACAAACAAAGUGUCACUAGUAUGCCUCUACUUGACUAGCUCGUUAAUCAAAGAUGAUUAUGUUUCCUAAUCAUGAACAAUGAGUUGUUAUUUGAUUAACGAGAUCACAUCAUUAAGAGAAUGAUUUGAUUGACAUGACCCAUUCCAUUAGCUUAGCACCCGAUCAUUUAGUAUGUUGCUAUUGCUUUCUUCAUGACUUAUACAUGUUCCUAUAACUAUGAGAUUAUGCAACUCCCGUUUACCGGAGGAACACUUUGGGUACUACCAAAGGUCACAAUGUAACUGGGUGAUUAUAAAGGAGUAUUACAGGUCUCUCCAAAGGUACAUGUUGGGUUGGCGUAUUUCGAGAUUAGGUUUUGUCACUCCGAUUGUCGGAGAGGUAUCUCUGAGCCCUCUCGGUAAUGCACAUCACUUAAGCCUUGCAAGCAUUGCAACUAAAUGAGUUAGUUGCGGGAUGAUGUAUUACGGAACGAGUAAAGAGACUUGCCGGCAACGAGAUUGAACUAGGUAUUGGAAUACCGACGAUCGAAUCUCGGGCAAGUAACAUACCGAUGACAAAGGGAACGACGUAUGUUGUUAUGCGGUCUGACCGAUAAAGAUCUUCAUAGAAUAUGUAGGAGCCAAUAUGGGCAUCCAGGUCCCGCUAUUGGUUAUUGACUGGAGACAUGUCUCGGUCAUGUCUACAUUGUUCUCGAACCCGUAGGGUCCGCACGCUUAAGGUUACGAUGACAGUUAUAUUAUGAGUUUAUGCAUUUUGAUGUACCGAAGGUUGUUCAGAGUCUCGGAUGUGAUCACGGACAUGAUGAGGAGUCUCGAAAUGGUCGAGACAUAAAGAUUGAUAUAUUGGAAGCCUAUGUUUGGAUAUCGGAAGUGUUCCAGGUGAAAUCGGGAUUUUACCGGAGUACCGGGAGGUUACCGGAACCCCCCGGGAGCUAAAUGGGCCAUGAUGGGCCUUAGUGGAAAAGAGAAGAGGCAGCCCUACAUGGGCCGCGCGCCCCUCCCCUCCCUUGGUCCGAAUAGGACAAGGAGAGGGGGCCGGACCCUCUCUCUCUUUUCCCUCCUCCGCGAAUCCUAUUCCAACUAGGAUUGGGGGGGGGGGGGAUCCUACUCCCAGAGGGAGUAGGACUCUCCUGGCGCGCCCUCCUUGGCCGGCCAGCCUCCCCCCUUUAGUCCUUUAUAUACGGAGGCAAAGGCACCCCAGAGACACACAAGUUGAUCCACGUGAUCUAUUCCUUAGCCGUGUGCAGCGCCCCCAGCCACCAUAGUCCUCAAUAAUACUGUAGCGGAGUUUAGGCGAAGCCCUGCUGCUGUAGUGCAUCAAUAUCGUCACCACGCCGUCGUGCUGACGGAACUCUUCCCCGACACUUUGCUGGAUCGGAGUCCGAGGAUCGUCAUCGAGUUGAACGUGUGCUAGAACUCAGAGGUGCCGUAGUUUCGGUGCUUGAUCGGUCGGAUCGUGAAGACGUACGACUACAUAAACCAAACACUUCCGUUGUCGAUGUACUAGGUAUGUAGAUCACACUCCCCCCCCCUCGUUGCUAUGCAUCACAUGAUCUUGCGUUUGCGUAGGAAAUUUUUUGAAAUUACUACGUUCCCCAACAGGGCGCCCCCCACCCUAGGGUUCCCAACCCUAGUCGCAGGGGGAAGGCCCAAGGGGGGCGCACCAGCCCACUAGGGGCUGGUUCCCCUCCCACUUCAGCCCAUGGGGCCCUCUGGGAUAGGUGGCACCACCCGGUGGACCCCCGGGACCCUUCCAGUGGUCCCGGUACAAUACCGGUGACCCCGAAACUUGUCCCGAUGGCCGAAAUAGCACUUCCUAUAUAUAAUUCUUUACCUCCGGACCAUUCCGGAACUCCUCGUGACGUCCGGUAUCUCAUUCGGGACUCCGAACAACUUUCUGGUUACUGCAUAUUCAUAUCCCUACAACCCUAGCGUCACCGAACCUUAAGUGUGUAGACCCUACGGGUUCGGGAGACAUGUAGACAUGACCGAGAUGGCUCUCCGGUCAAUAACCAACAGCGGGAUCUGGAUACCCAUGUUGGCUCCCACAUGCUCCUCGAUGAUCUCAUCGGGUGAACCACGAUGUCGAGGAUUCAAGCAACCCCGUAUACAAUUCCCUUUGUCAAUCGGUACGUUACUUGCCCGAGAUUCGAUCGUCGGUAUCCCAAUACCUCGUUCAAUCUCGUUACCGGCAAGUCACUUUACUCGUACCGUAAUGCAUGAUCCCGUGACCAGACACUUGGUCACUUUGAGCUCAUUGUGAUGAUGGAUUACCGAGUGGGCCCAGAGAUACCUCUUCGUCAUAUGGAGUGACAAAUCCUAGUCUUGAUCCGCGUCAACCCAACAGACACUUUCGGAGAUACCCGUAGUAUACCUUUAUAGUCAGCCAGUUACGUUGUGACGUUUGGUACACCCAAAGCACUCCUACGGUAUCCGGGAGUUACACGAUCUCAUGGUCUAAGGAAAGGAUACUUGACAUUGGAAAAACUCUAGCAAACGAACUAUACGAUCUUGUGCUAUGUUUAGGAUUGGGUCUUGUCCAUCACAUCAUUCUCCUAAUGAUGUGAUCUCGUUAUCAAUGACAUCCAAUGUCCAUAGUCAGGAAACCAUGACUAUCUGUUGAUCAACGAGCUAGUCAACUAGAGGCUUACUAGGGACAUGUUGGUGUCUAUUUAUUCGCACAUGUAUUACGAUUUCCUGAUAACACAAUUAUAGCAUGAAUAAAAUACAAUUAUCAUGAACAAGGUAAUAUAAUAAUAAUGCUUUUAUCAUUGCCUCUAGGGCGUAUUUCCAACAGUCUGCCGCUUGCACUAGAGUCAAUAAUCUAGUUACAUUGUGAUGAAUCGAACACCCAUGGAAUUCUGGUGUUGAUCAUGUUUUGCUCUAGGGAGAGGUUUAGUCAACGGAUCUGCUACAUUCAGGUCCGUAUGUACUUUACAAAUAUCUAUGUCUCCAUCUUGAACAUUUUCACGAAUGGAAUUGAAUCGACGCUUGAUGUGCCUGGUCUUCUUGUGAAACCUGGGCUCCUUGGCAAGUGCAAUAGCUCCAGUGUUGUCACAGAAGAGUUUGAUUGGCCCCGACGCAUUGGGUAUGACUCCUAGGUCAGUGAUGAACUCCUUCACCCAAAUUGCUUCAUGCGCUGCCUCAGAGGCUGCCAUGUACUCCGCUUCACAUGUAGAUCCCGCAGCGACGCUCUGCUUGCAAUUGCACCAGCUUACUGCCCCACCAUUCAAAAUAUACACUUAUCCGGUUUGUGACUUAGAGUCAUCCAGAUCUGUGUCGAAGCUAGCAUCGAUGUAACCCUUUACGACGAGCUCUUCGUCACCUCCAUAAACGAGAAACAUUUCCUUAGUCCUUUUCAGGUACUUCAGGAUAUUCUUCACCGCUGUCCAGUGUUCCUUGCCGGGAUUACUUUGGUACCUACCUACCAAACUUACGGCAAGGUUUACAUCAGGUCUGGUACACAGCAUGGCAUACAUAAUAGAACCUAUGGCUGAGGCAUAGGGGAUGACACUCAUCUCUUCUAUAUCUUCUGCCGUGGUCGGACAUUGAGCUGAGCUCAAUUUCACACCUUGCAACACAGGCAAGAACCCCUUCCUAGACUGAUCCAUAUUGAACUUCUUCAAUAUCUUAUCAAGGUAUGUACUUUGUGAAAGACCUAUGAGGCGUCUUGAUCUAUCUCUAUAGAUCUUGAUGCCUAAUAUAUAUGCAGCUUCUCCAAGGUCCUUCAUUGAAAAACUCUUAUUCAAGUAGGCCUUAAUGUUGUCCAAGAGUUCUAUAUCAUUUUCCAUCAAAAGUAUGUCAUCUACAUAUAAUAUGAGAAAUGCUACAGAGCUCCCACUCACUUUCUUGUAAACGCAGGCUUCUCCAUAAGUCUGCGUAAACCCAAACACUUUGAUCAUCUCAUCAAAGCGAAUGUUCCAACUCCGAGAUGCUUGCACUAGCCCAUAAAUCGAGGGUUGGAGCUUGCACACCUUGUCAGCAUUCUUAGGAUCGACAAAACCUUCCGGCUGCAUCAUAUACAAUUCUUCCUUAAGGAAACCAUUAAGGAAUGCCGUUUUGACGUCCAUUUUCCAUAUCUCAUAAUCAUAGAAUGCGGCAAUUGCUAACAUGAUUCGGACGGACUUUAGCUUCGCUACCGGUGAGAAAGUCUCAUCGUAGUCAACCCCUUGAACUUGUCGAUAACCCUUAGUGAAAAGCCGAGCUUUAUAGAUGGUCACAUUACCAUCCGCAUCUGUCUUCUUCUUAAAGAUCCAUUUAUUUUCUAUGGCUCGCCGCUCAACGGGCAAGUCAGUCAAAGUCCAUACUUUUUUUUCAUACAUGGAUCCUAUCUCGGAUUUCAUGGCUUCUAGCCAUUUGUCAGAAUCCGGGCCCGUCAGCGCUUUUUCAUAGUUCGGAGGUUCACCAUUGUCUAACAACAUGAUUUCCAAGACAGGGUUGCCGUACCACUCUGGUGCGGAACGUGUCCUUGUGGACCUACGAAGUUCAGUAGCAACUUGAUCCGAAGUUUCAUGAUCAUCUUCAUUAAUUUCCUCUCUAGUCGGUGCAGGCACCUCAGGAACAUUUUCUUGAGUUGUGCCAUUUUCCGGUUCAAGAGGUAAUACUUCAUCAAGUUCUACUUUCCUCCCACUUACUUCUUUCGAGAGAAACUCCUUCUCUAGAAAGGAUCCAUUCUUGGCAACAAAGAUCUUUGCCUUCGGAUCUGAGGUAGAAGGUAUACCCAAUAGUUUCUUUAGGGUAUCCUAUGAAGACGCAUUUUUCCGACUUGGGUUCGAGCUUUUCAGGUUGAAGUUUCUUGACAUAAGCAUCGCAUCCCCAAACUUUUAGAAACUAUAGCUUAGGUUUCUUCCCAAACCAUAAUUCAUACGGUGUCGUCUCAACGGAUUUCGACGGAGCCCUAUUUAAAGUGAAUGCGGCAGUCUGUAAAGCAUAGCCCCAAAAUAAUUGCGGUAAUUCGGUAAGAGUGAUCAUAGAUCGCACCAUAUCUAAUAGAGUGCGAUUACGACAUUCAGACACACCAUUACGCUGAGGUGUUCCAGGCGGCGUCAGUUGUGAAACUAUUCCACAUUUUCUUAAGUGUGUGCCAAAUUCGUGACUCAAGUAUUCUCCUCCAUGAUCUGAUCACAAGAACUUGAUUUUCCUGUCACGUUCAUUCUCAACCUCACUCUAAAAUUCCUUGAACUUUUCAAAGGUCUCAGACUUGUGUUUCAUUAAAUAGACAUACCCAUAUCUACUCAAGUCAUCAGUGAGGGUGAGAACAUAACGAUAGCCACCGCGAGCCCCAGCACUCAUUGGACCGCACGCAUCAGUAUGUAUGAUUUUCAAUAAGUUGGUUGCUCGCUCCAUUGUUCCUGAGAACAGAGUCUUGGUCAUUUUACCCAUGAGGCAUGGUUCGCACGUGUCAAAUGAUUCGUAAUCAAGAGACUCUAGAAGUCCAUCUGCAUGGAGCUUCUUCAUGCGUUUGACACCUAUGUGACCAAGGCGGCAGUGCCACAAGUAUGUGGGACUAUUAUUAUCAACCUUACAUCUUUUGGUAUUCACACUAUGAAUAUGUGUAGCAUUACGCUCGAGAUUCAUUAAGAAUAAACCAUUCACCAUCGGAGCAUGACCAUAAAACAUAUCUCUCAUAUAAAUAGAACAACCAUUAUUCUCGGAUUUAAAUGAGUAGCCAUCUCGUAUUAAACGAGAUCCUGAUACAAUGUUCAUGCUCAAACUUGGCACUAAAUAACAAUUAUUGAGGUUCAAAACUAAUCCCGUAGGUAAAUGUAGAGGUAGCGUGCCGACGGCGAUCACAUCGACCUUGGAACCAUUCCCGACGCGCAUCGUCACCUCGUCCUUCGCCAGUCUCCGCUUAUUCCGCAGCUCCUGCUUUGAGUUACAAAUGUGAGCAACUUCACCGGUAUCAAAUACCCAAGAGCUACUACAAGUACUGGUAAGGUACACAUCAAUUACAUGUAUAUCACAUAUACCUUUAUGAUGCCGGCCUUCUUGUCCGCUAAGUAUUUGGGGCAGUUCCGCUUCCAGUGACCACUUCCCUUGCAAUAAAAGCACUCAGUCUCGGGCUUGGGUCCAUUCUUUGGCUUCUUCCCGGCAGCUUGCUUGCCGGGCGCGGCAACUCCCUUGCCGUCCUUCUUGAAGUUCUUCUUACCCUUGCCUUUCUUGAACUUAGUGGUUUUAUUCACCAUCAACACUUGAUGUUCCUUUUUGACUUCUACCUCUGCUUAUUUCAGCAUUGCAAAUACUUCAGGAAUGGUCUUUUCCAUCCCCUGCAUAUUGAAGUUCAUCACAAAGCUCUUGUAGCUUGGUGGAAGCGACUAGAGGAUUCUCUCAAUGGCCGCGUCAUUUGGGAGAUUAACUCCCAGCUGAGUCAAGCGGUUAUGUAACCCAGACAUAGUGAGUAUGUGCUCACUGACAGAACUAUUUUCCUCCAUCUUACAGCUGAAUAACUUGUCGGAGACUUCAUAUCUCUCGACCCUGGCAUGAGCUUGAAAAACCAUUUUCAGCUCUUCGAACAUCUCAUAUGCUCCGUGUCUCUCAAAAUGCUUUUGGAGCCCCGGCUCUAAGCUGUAAAGCAUGCGGCACUGAACGAGGGAGUAAUCAUCGGAACGUGUCUGCCAAGCGUUCAUAACGUCUUGUUCUGCAGGGAGAACAGGUGCUUCACCUAGCGGUGCUUGUAGGACAUAAUCUUUCUUGGCAGCUAUGAGGAUGAUCCUCAGGUUCCGGACCCAGUCCGUAUAGUUCCUGCCAUCAUCUUUCAGCUUGGUUUUCUCUAGGAACGCGUUGAAGUUGAGGACAACAUUGGUCAUUUGAUCUACAAGACAUAUUGUAAAUAUUUUAGACUAAGUUCAUGAUAAUUAAGUUCAUCUAAUCAAAUUAUUCAGUGAACUCCCACUUAGAUAGACAUCCCUCCAGUCAUCUAAGUAUAACAUGAUCCGAGUUAACUAGGCCGUGUCCGAUCAUCACGUGAGACGGACUAGUCAACAUCGGUGAACAUCUUCAUGUUGAUCGUAUCUUCUAUACGACUCAUGCUCGACCUUUCGGUCUUCUAUGUUCCGAGGCCAUGUCUAUACAUGCUAGGCUCGUCAAGUCAACCUAAGUGUUUGCAUGUGUAAAUCUGUCUUACACCCGUUGUAUGUGAACGUUGGAAUCUAUCAUACCCGAUCAUCACGUGGUGCUUCGAAACAACGAACUGUCGCAACGGUGCACAGUUAGGGGGAACAUUUUCUUGAAAUUAUUAUGAGGGAUCAUCUUAUUUACUACCGUCGUUCUAAGUAAACAAGAUGCAAAAACAUGAUAAACAUCACAUGCAAUAAUAAUAGUGACAUGAUAUGGCCAAUAUCACAUAGCUCCUUUGAUCUCCAUCUUGGGGCUCCAUGAUCAUCUUGUCACCGGCAUGACACCAUGAUCUCCAUCAUCAUCGUGUCUCCAUGAAGUUGCUCGCCAACUAUUACUUCUACUACUAUGGCUAACACGUUUAGCAAUAAAGUAAAGUAAUUUACAUGGCGUUUCUCAAUGACACGCAGGUCAUACAAAAAAAUAAAGACAACUCCUAUGGCUCCUGCCGGUUGUCAUACUCAUCGACAUGCAAGUCGUGAUUCCUAUUACAAUAGCAUGAACAUCUCAUACGUCACAUAUAUAUCAUUCAUCAUUCAUCACAACUUUGGCCAUAUCACAUCACAAAACACUUGCUGCAAAAACAAGUUAGACGUCCUCUAAUUGUUGUUGCAAGUUUUACGUGGCUGAAAUAGGGUUCUAGCAAGAAUGUUUUCUUACCUACGUGAAAGCCACAACGUGAUUUGUCAACUUCUAUUUACCCUUCAUAAGGACCCUUUUCAUCGAAUCCGCUCCAACUAAAGUGGGAGAGACAGACACCCGCCAACCACCUUAUGCAACUAGUGCAUGUUAGUCGGUGGAACCGGUCUCACAUAAGCGUACGUGUAAGGUUGGUCCGGGCCGCUUUAUCCCACAAUACCGCUGAAGCAAAAUAAGACUAGUAGCGGCAAGAAAGUUGACAACAUCUACGCCCACAACAAAUUAUGUUCUACUCGUGCAAAGAGAACUACACAUAGACCUAGCUCAUGAUGCCACUGUUGGGGAACGUUGCAGAAAACAAAAAAAUUCCUACGGUUUCACCAAGAUCCAUCUAUGAGUUCAUCUAGCAAGGAGUGAUCGGAUGCAUCUACAUACCUUGUAGAUCAUGAGCGGAAGCGUUCAAAGAACGGGGAUGAGGGAGUCGUACUCGACGUGAUCCAAAUCACCGGAGAUCCUAGCGCCGAACGGACGGCACCUCCGCGUUCAACACACGUACGGUCAGCGUGACGUCUCCUCCUUCUUGAUCCAGCAAGGGGAAGGAGAGGUUGAGGAAGAUGGCUCCAGCAGCAGCACGACGGCGUGAUGGUGGUGGAGAAGCAGUACUCCGACUAGGCUUCGCCGAGCUCUACGGAGGAGGAGGAGGUGUUGGAGGGGAGAGGGAGGCGCCAAGGGCAUGGGUGCGGCUGCCCUCCCUCCCCCCUCUAUAUAUAGGGUCCCCAAGGGGGGCGCCGGCCCUGGAGAUCCAAUCUCCCAAGGGGCGGCGGCCAAGGGGGGUGGAGUGCCCCCCAAGGCAAGUGGGGCGCCCCCCACCCUAGGGUUCCCAACCCUAGGAGCAGGGGGAAGGCCCAAGGGGGGCGCACCAGCCCACUAGGGGCUGGUUCCCCUCCCACUUCAGCCCAUGGGGCCCUCCGGGAUAGGUGGCCCCACCCGGUGGACCCCCGGGACCCUUCCGGUGGUCCCGGUACAAUACCGGUGACCCCGAAACUUGUCCCGAUUGCCGAAAUAGCACUUCCUAUAUAUAAUUCUUUACCUCCGGACCAUUCCGGAACUCCUUGUGACGUCCAGGAUCUCAUCCGAGACUCCUAACAACUUUCGGGUUACUGCAUAUUCAUAUCCCUACAACCCUAGCGUCAUCGAACCUUAAGUGUGUAGACCCUACGGGUUUGGGAGACAUGUAGACAUGACCGAGAUGGCUCUCCGGUCAAUAACCAACAAUGGGAUCUAGAUACCUAUGUUGGCUCCCACAUGCUCCUCGAUGAUCUCAUCGGAUGAACCACGAUGUCGAGGAUUCAAGCAACCCCGUAUACAAUUCCCUUUGUCAAUCGGUACGUUACUUGCCCGAGAUUCGAUCGUCGGUACAAUACCUCGUUCAAUCUCGUUACCGGCAAGUCACUUUACUCGUACUGUAAUGCAUGAUCCCGUGACCAGACACUUGGUCACUUUGAGCUCAUUGUGAUGAUGCAUUACCGAAUGGGCCCAGAGAUACCUCUCCGUCAUACGGAGUGACAAAUCCCAGUCUUGAUCCGUGUCAACCCAACAGACACUUUCGGAGAUACCUGUAGUAUACCUUUAUAGUCACCCAGUUACGUUGUGACGUUUGGUACACCCAAAGCACUCCUACGGUAUCCGGGAGUUACACGAUCUCAUGGUCUAAGGAAAGGAUACUUGACAUUGGAAAAACUCUAGCAAACGAACUAUACAAUCUUGUGCUAUGUUUAGGAUUGGGUCUUGUCCAUCACAUCAUUCUCCUAAUGAUGUGAUCUCGUUAUCAAUGACAUCCAAUGUCCAUUGUCAGGAAACCAUGACUAUCUGUUGAUCAACGAGCUAGUCAACUAGAGGCUUACUAGGGACAUGUUGGUUUCUAUUUAUUCACACAUGUAUUACGAUUUCCGGAUAACACAAUUAUAGCAUGAAUAAAAGACAAUUAUCAUGAACAAGGAAAUAUAAUAAUAAUGCUUUUAUUAUUGCCUCUAGGGCAUAUUUCCAACACUCAAUUCCAUUUUUUAUAGUUUUCUUUUAUAAACUAAACUAGUGAUAAAACAAGAAACAAAAAGAUUCGACUUCAAGAUCUAAAGAUAUACCUUCAAGCGCUAACCUCCCCGGAACGGCGCCAGAAAAGAGCUUGAUGUCUACUACACAACCUUCUUCUUGUAGACGUUGUUGGGCCUCCAAGUGCAGAGGUUUGUAGGAUAGUAUAAAAUUUCCCUCAAGUGGAUGACCUAAGGUUUAUCAAUCCAUAGGAGGCGUAGGAUAAAUAUGGUCUCUCUCAAGCAACCCUGCAACCAAAUAACAUGGAGUCUCUUGUGUCCCCAACACACCCAAUACAAUGGUAAAUUGUAUAGGUGCACUAGUUCGGCGAAGAGAUGGUGAUACAAGUGGUAUAUUGAUGGUAGAUAAAGGUUUUUGUAAUCUGAAAAUAUAAAUACAGCAAAGUAACUAAUGAUAAAAGUGAGCGUACACGCUAUUGCAAUGCUAGGAAAAAAGGCCUAGGGUUCAUACUUUCACUAGUGCAAGUUCCCUCGACAAUAAUAACAUAAUUGAAUCACAUAAUUAUCCCUCAACAUGCAACAAAGUGUCACUCCAAAGUCACUAAUAGUGGAGAACGAACGAAGAGAUUAUGGUAGGGUAUGAAACCACCUCAAAGUUAUUCUUUCCAAUCAAUCCGUUGGGCUAUUCCUAUAAGUGUCACAAACAACCCUAGAGUUUGUACUAGAAUAACACCUUAAGACACAAAUCAACCAAAACCCUAAUGUCACCUAGAUACUCCAAUGUCACCUCAAGUAUCCGUGGGUAUGAUUAUACGAUAUGCAUCACACAAUCUCAGAUUCAUCUAUUCAACCAACACAUAGAACCUCAAAGAGUGCCCUAAAGUUUCUAUCGGAGAAUCACGACGAAACCGUGUGCCAACCCCUAUGCAUAGGUUCAUGGGAGGAACCCGCAAGUUGAUCACCAAAACAUACAUCAAGAGAAUCACGUGGUAUCCCAUUGUCACCACAGAUACGCAUGGCAAGACAUACAUCAAGUGUUCUCAAAUCUUUAAAGACUCAAUCCGAUAAGAUAACUUCAAAGGGAAAACUCAAUCCAUUACAAGAGAGUAGAGGGGGGAGAAAACAUCAUAAGAUCCAACUAUAAUAGCAAACUCACAAUACAUCAAGAUCGUACCACCUCAAGAACACGAGAGAGAGAGAGAGAGAGAGAGAGAGAGAGAGAGAGAGAGAUCAAACACAUAGCUACUGGUACAUACCCUCAGUCCCGAGGGAGAACUACUCCCUCCUCGUCAUGGAGAGCAUCGGGAUGAUGAAGAUGACCACCGAAGAGGGAUUCCCCCUCCGGCAGGGUGCUGGAACGGGUCUCGAUUGUCUUUCGGUGGCAACGAAGGCUUCUGGCGGCAGAACUUCCGAUCUAUUGUGAUCCCCGAUCGUUUUAGGGUAUAUGGGUAUAUAUAGGAGGAAGAAGUACGUCAGGGGAGCCACGAGGGGCCCAUGAGGGUCGAGGGCGUGCCCAGGGGGGUGGGCGCGCGCCCCUACCUCGUGGCUUCCUCGAAGCUUCCUUGACGUGGACUCCAAGUCUCCCGGGUUGCUUUCCUUCCAAAAAUAAGUUCCGUGAAGUUUCAAGUCAAUUGGACUCCGUUUGAUUUUCCUUUUCUGCGAUACUCUAAAACAAGGAAAAAAAAGAAGCUGGCACUGGGUUCUAGGUUAAUAGGUUAGUCCCAAAAAAUCAUAUAAAAUAGCAUAUAAAUGCAUAUGAAACAUCCAAGGUUGAUAAUAUAAUAGCAUGGAACAAUCAAAAAUUAUAGAUACGUUGGAGACGUGUCAACGCCGCGUGGGUCGGGCAUCGUGAGCUUACGGUAGGCAUAAUGUGGUACCGCGUUGAAUUGAGCGAACGCGGUUCGUCUGAGUAGUGCCUGAUAAUCACUGCGAAAGGGGACGAUGUCGAAGAUUAACUCUUCGGCACGGUAAUUGUCUGGUGAUCCGGAGACUACUUCAAGGGCGAAGGAGCCUGUACAGCUGGCCUCCAUACCUGGUAUGAUACCUCUGAAGGUGGUUUUAGUGGGAUUGAUCACCGAAUGAUCGAUGACCAUCUUGCGCACUGUGUCCUAGUAAAGUAGGUUUAGACUGCUCCCUCCGUCCAUAAGGACUCGCGUGAGGUGGAACCCGUCAAUUAUUGGGUCGAGGACUAGUGCGGCUGGAUUGCCCUGAUUGGUGUUAACCGGACGAUCCGUGCGGUUGAAGGUGAUCGGCCCUAGUUUAUAUUGUGGGACGACUGGUUCCGUUAAGUCGACAUCCCUAAGGGUGUGCGUCCGGUCCGGGUUGGGAGUGUAGGUGCCGUUUACUACGUUCACCGUUUGGAUUUGCGGGGGAAAUUUCUUUUGCCCUCCUGUACUCGAUGAUCUGGGCUCCUCGUCGCCAUCGUCGCUUUGAGACCCCUUAUCUUUGUUUUUGGCACCUGACCUGCCGGCUUGUUUGAAGAUCCAGCAUUCUCUGUUGGUAUGAUUGGCUGGUGUUCAUGCGGUGCCAUGAAUUUGGCAUGGGCGGUUGAGUAUGCGGUACAGGCUGGACGGACCCGAAUUUGGCAUGGGAGGGGAAAGCCAGGGUUCGUCCCGUUCGGGUUCGACCCGACCGAGCCACAAACAACGACCGAGCUGGGUGGGCCCGAGUCAGUGGCGUGGCGCGCGCGGGUAUGCCACCAUGUCACCUGACACGUGGGCCCGCUCGGUUAGAUUCAUGGUCAAUACGUGCUUAUACGGCUGUCAAACCGUUUUGCAACACUUAGGCUUAGAGCUGGUACUGAAUUGCAAAAAUUGUGUCUAAUGGUACUGAUUCGUUACGACGUGCCGAAGUGUAGUAGUUUCUUGCAAUUAACUCAAACUCUACGGUUAUAUCACCUCGAUGUGUGAGUCAAUGUGUUUGAACCAAUCAAGAGUUGCAUGUGAAUGUUUCAAGUGUGAUUAAUAGGUCCGUGUUAUAACAGCCACACCUUGCGAAAGAAGAUAGCAAACACCCAAUCAUGUCUAGUAGUUCGAUAUGGGCGCAACUAUGGGUAGCUUAUAGCGACACGGAAGCCAGCGUUUCCUAAAGAAACUCUCGGUUGGGCCGCCCUAGAGACAAAUUAUUUUUCUCUCAUUUUUUCUUAAUAUUAUUUAUUUCUAUUUUAAAAAAUAAAAGUAAAUAUAUUCCACAAACAAAUACUGAAAUUCUGAAAAAAUGUUGGUCCAUUGUUAAAAAAAUAUUGAUAGCAUUAAACAAAUCAUGGUAACAAAAUAAUCUACACAUAUUUAAAAAAUUGUACGUGAAAUUAUAAUGAAUGUUAAAUUUGUUUAAAAAUGUUCCUAAUGUAAUGUACAACAUGAAACAAAUUAUACAUCAAAACAUAUAUUUGAAAAUUGUUAAUUGUUUAUUUGAAAAAUGUUAAAUGUGUAUAGAAAAAAAGGUUCCUGAUAUAUAAGACAAAUGCAUGAAGUACAUGCAAUUUUUUUUACAUCCAAAGAUAUAUUUUAAAAAUAUUAAUCAUGUAUUUUAAAACUGUUAAAUGUUUAUAGAGAAAAAAUGCUCCUGAUGCAUACGAAACAAUUUCCAAUGUGUAUGAAAAAAUUAGACAUGAAAUAAGUAUUUUAAAAAAAAAUUAAUGAUUCUAUUUAAAAAUAUUUCUCAUGUAGAUGGAAAGAAAACUCGACUUAAAAAAGACUCAAAAAGAAAAAGAACGUACAGAGAGCAAAUUAGAAACAACUGAGUGAACUAGCGAUAUGCGAGAACACGUUAAUGGUCCAGCCCAUACAUGAGGACUCCAGAGGUGAGCCUGAAUAGGUGUGAUAUAGCUAUGACGAUUUGACACCCUUCAUAGCUUCACGAAUGCUAUAUCUCGCGCAAAGCGAGAUUAGCAUUUGCCACGCCUGAAGGUGCAAGAAUAGCAUCAGGUCGUUGUAAGGUUUGCAAUCCUACCAUCAGAGCUUCUAUCCGAUUUAAAUCAUGUUUCUGGCAACCUUGGGUCAUUCGCUCGCGCUCAAGCCAUUCGCUCACAGGUUCCACACACUAGUUUGGUUACUUUUUUUUCUUAUUUUCUUUCUUCACCGGUUUUCUUUCAUUUUUUGAAAAAAAAAAUUCAUCGGUUUUCUUUGUGUCUUUCAUGUUUUACUCUUGUUUUCCUUUUUUACUCGUUUAUCUAUCCUUUUUUUUCUUUGUUUCUUUCUCAGUGUUCUUUGUUUAGGGUUUAGGGAUUUCUUUGUUUUCCUUUCUUUUAAUGUCAACCUUUUGACAUAUAUUUUUUGUAUAUAUCAAAAAUAUUUUUGAUAGAGAGGUUUAACAGUUUUCAAAUACAUGAUUACCCUUUUUAAAGUUAUAUUUUUUGACAUCUACUUGUUCCAUAAACAUAGUGAUGGGGUUAUACAUAAGGGAUGGGCCCAAGUACACAUAUGUCCCAGCCAAAGGCCCAGGGUAUUCAAGGAUACGGUCCCAAAGACAAUGGGGCAUUGGAGAUACAAGCCCAAGGCAUCAGAUACAAGGGGAAUACUCGCUAAGGAGUCAAGUGUCUAUAGUCGGAUUACACACCCCCUGACAGACAAGACUCAAUAGUCGGUCAUGAGAAAGAUAUGAGCAGUAAGAUCAUCUACAGUCGGACAUCAGCAAGAUAGGAGCAGUCGGACCAUCUACAGUCGGCUACGUCCUAGGAUGAUGUGACCCUCAUGAUGCAUUCAUCGCCGUUACAUAACUGACUAGUUAAAUACGCCAGUUAGUAUUAAUAAUAGCCACGAACAGUCGAUCAUGCAUGUGACCAUCAAUAGUAUUUACACCAGCCUGUUAUGGCACUCCCUCCUAGCGCACUCCAUAUAAGACAAGAGUAGGACAUCACACGGAGGGUUGAACUCUCUCACAUUGUAACCUACGCCAAGAGCGAGAUCACACAGGAGUAGGGCGUUACCAACACCAUAGAGGGCCCAAACCUAUAUAAUUCCUUGUGUUUAAUCCCAUCUGCUUUACAUACCAAUUAGCUUAUAAUUGCCUCUACAUUCACAUCACCAUAGUAUUGUCAUGGUUAUAUCCAUGACAAGAACUAAUUUUUUUUACAUUAUAUAUAAAAAAAUAAUAUUUUUAGAUGCAUGGUUUCUUCCAUACACAUUAUACAUGUUUGUAUACAUAUCAGGACCAUUUAUAUAUACACAUUAAAAAAACUAAUUACAUGAUUACUUUUUUUAAAAUGUAUACUUUUAUGUCUAAUAUUUUCAUACAUACUGUACAUUUUUUGUACAUCAGGAACCUUUUUAUAUUUACAUUUAACAUUUUCAAAUACAUAAUUAAUAUUUUUUACACAUAUAUUUUUAUAUCUACUUUUCCCUUAAACAUUAUACAUUUUUUUAUACAUCAGGAACAUUUUUUAUAUACCAAUUCAACAGUUUUGAAAUACAUGAUUAACAUGUCUCAUAUAUAUGUUUGUGUCUAUUUUUUCAUACAAAAUAUACAGUUUUUUAUUAAUUAGAAACAUGUUUCUGUACAUGUUUAAUAUUUUCUUAUAAUGCGCAAUUAACAUUUUCAACUUUUCUGUAUAAAGUGAAUUUUACAAUAGAUAUAUUCAGAAUAUUUCAUAAAAAAGGCAAAGUAAAAAAACAAAAAAAAUGCAAAUAUGUGUAAAAGGAAGGAAGAAACCGUAGAAGGCAUGUGUAGGCGCUGUGGCGGCCCAAUAGGUCUGCUGCACAUCCUACUAUCUUGUGUCAAUCGAGACAUAGGCUUGCCCUCUUAAGGAGCAACUAACCAACGGUUACCCCUUGGCGAGCUCCUGCAAGGGUCAUUGUUGUGGUAUGAGAGCACGCCAAGUGGUCCGUCCAACUGCUGUCACAUGUCGUGUGUUAGGUGCUUCCUGUGGAUUUCAUUUUCAUUUUUUAUUUUUUGUACGCGUUUUCGGGUUUCUGAUUGUCUUUUCAAUGGGUUUUGGAUUUCUGCUUUUUCCAUGGUUUUCUCUAGAUCAUGAAAGAAAAAUAUCUUUUUAUUUUCUUAUGAAGCACAACCCUGCUUCUAAAAAAACAAUUUUAUGCUUUCACGAGAAGCACAAUUUUUGUUUCUCAUGUAAUCACAAAAUUGCUUGCAGCAGGCGCACCACAUGUGCUUCCAUGAUUAGCAUAGCUAUGCUUCCACGCGAAUCAAAUAUGUGCUUAUGCUACAAGCACAACCUAUGCUUCCAUAUGCUUCUCGAAAAGAGAAAAGGCACACCCUGUGUUUUCACGAGAAGUACAUUUGUGCAUCCCUGAGAACUGUAGCCUUGCUUCCGUGAGAAGCACAGUCUAUCUAUUACCUAAUAUUAAAAGAUAGAAGAUCUCAUAGUUCUCCAUCAGUCACCUCUUCAUAAACCGUUGGUUUUGUGUUAAUCUUAUAGAUUGACGGCCGAGAUUUAAAAAUAGAUUUGCACAGGAAAAAAAAGAUCCGCAUUGACGAUCCAUCGUAGGUAUCCAUCCAUCCAACUUUCUUUGUUCUGCCCACAUCACGCUUGGUAAAAAAAGAAAAAAAAUCAGAAACCCAUCGAUGCACGAUUGAGUAAGCCGGGAUAAAAAACAGCUCAAUAAAAUAUGGCCAGCCACGCGCGAUCUUAGGAGAAAAAUUGUUUGCCACAUGAUCUAUCUCCUAGCUACGCCGAUCCUCAACGGCGAUCAUGCCAAGAUGUUCGCCAGGAUCCGCAACUCCGUCGACCACUCGGGUGACAUGCCACAGCGACACAACAGGGCAGCAGCGAGUGACAUGGCCGGCUUGCCGGGCCGCGCGCUCUCCGGCUCCAGGUGCGCGCGGCACACCAGACAUGACGCACAUCCAGGUAGUAAUGCAACUGCCCUCGAAGAAGUGAUGCCGGCAUUACACGCACCGCGUUGAGGUUCUGCAGCCACACACUCCACCGACGUUGCCCUCGCCUUGCAGCCGCUCUUCCUCUUACAACUGGUGCUCCUGCAGCCAGUGGCGGAGACAGGGGGGACCAGCAGGGCCCUGGCCCCCCCUAACAGCAGAGAUAUAGUGCUAAUUUGCAGAUGAAUAGUGCUAAAAUUAGUGAUUAAUUUCUGUCAAAUGCAUGUUUUUCAUUGGCUUGGCCCUCCCUAAGCAGUUUUAACAUCAUUCGGCCUGGUUGAUACAAUUUUCCUGGCUCCGCCAUUGCCUCCAACUGCCCCAGCUACCCUGGGGCUGGGGCGACGAUGUCGGCGCCUCGCGCGCUCUGUAGGUGAAGGUGGGGAGCGCGGGGAUGUCCUUGAUGCUCGGCCUGAGGUGGGUUGCCAGAGGCGGGUCGUCGCCGGUGCGGUGGAGCUUGCGCCACUCAGACAAGAGCGACCGGCCAUAGCGGACGGCCACGUACAAUACGACACUGACAAGGACAAUGAUGAUGAUGUACAACAGCAUCAGGAAGGAGAACAACAUGCUCGUCCUUAGGGGACAUGCGCCGACGCGUCCGGCACUCCGACGCAAUGGUGGUGUAUGCGCCGGUCAACAUGCAGUCCAUGCACACGUCGUCAUGGGCGGUGGCGACUCGGCCUACAUCUCCCUCCUGCCCUAUCGGUUCGCCAUUCUCCCGAGCGUCCACAACGCACACUCGCCGGUGGCCGCCACUCUAGAAGUCGAGUCUAGACCGUUCGCCCCAGGGAUCGUAGCUCAGCGCUCAUGGAGCCCUGCUCCAGUGCUCCCCCUAACCUAAUUUUGAAGGAGUAUUUUUGUCCCCGCAAAUUUGUUUUUUUUCUGGCCCGCCGCCGCCCAGAUCCAAGCCCUGUCUAGUCCUGUAUAACCCAGAACGUAUACGUACAGUACCCUGGUUCGAAAAAAAAAACAUCACACGACCCCACGUCCACGUAAGACCUGCCGAAUCCAAUCAUUCACACGAGCAGCUCCAUCAAUCUUGCGAGCAUUGACGCAGCUCCAUAAGUCACGUAGUAGAUCUCCAGCGGCGGCUAUCUCGUCGCCGGCGAUCUCGUCGGACAGCGGGCGCGACAACGUCGUGAAUCUCUAACGAGCGCGCACAGGUACCGCAUCCCGCGUCCCCCCUCUAGUCUCGCUCGCGGCAACAUCGAACGAACUGCCGCCGCCAGUGGUAGUGGUUAACCUAGCGGGGCGGGUAACCUAGCUACCUGGCGGCGCAUGUGAUCGUGGAUCUUGUUCCGGUAGUGCUGCUCCUCGUGAUCUGGGUUCACGUAGCGUCGGUUGCCGUCGGCUGUGCGCACCACUGGUAUCGUUAUUUGAUGUGGCGGCUAACCUAGGUAUCCGACGGCAGAGGUAAUCACAGAUCAAGCUAGGUUUUGAGAUCGUGCAGUUCCUCGCGAUUGAAAGUGAUCGCGACGGGUGCCGUGGCCAUCUUCCUUACUAAGUUGGGCAGAUCUGAACGGCCUCGGUUGCGGUUGUUUACAUAACAUCCGUGAUCGUGUGCUAUGUGUUUUAUAUUUCAUCAUUGAUAAUGUUUGCACAUGUGAUGAUACAUAAUAUUGGUUGUAGGAAAUGGCGGACGAGGAGUUAACUGAUAUCAUGGUAGACAUGGAGUUUGGAGAACUGAUGAAAGACUGGAUAGAAGAUUGGUCAGAUGAUGAAAAUUCAGAUCGUGAAGAUCGGUCAGAGAAUGGGAACGAAUGGGACGAUCUUAUUGUGAGUGGCAUUGUCAUGUUGUAAUUUUUUGGUGGCAUCCGACAACAUUAAAUCUUUGUGUUGAAAAUUUAUAGAUCGAUGAGCUUGAUGAUGAUCAGGAAAACAACUCAGAGCUCUCGAAUGAAGAUUACAUUAGUCAGGUACGUAAGUGAAAAAGAUUGUUGGCAUGCAAAUUGAAUUUCUUCUGGAAUAUUAUAUGAUAAGUAAUUAUGUAUUUGUGUUGUAUUUUUCAGUUCAUUCUCGAAUGUCAUAAUGCGUAUGACUAUUACGGUGAAUCCGACGCGGAGACAGGCCUUAACAACGAAUCAUUAGAUGCACCUGGUUCUGGGGAGUCCGAGUCGUCGGUCAUCAUGAGUGAGGUAUGUGUGUAAUCAAUGUUCUAUGGAAGUAAGUAAUGUUAAACCUUAGAAAUAUGUUUUCAUGGUUGUGGUUUGAUUGUGUAGGUGACACAAAAUGAUGGGGCAAAGAAUGUCCAAGAUACUGCCAGUGCAGAUGAUAAGAGGGAUAUGUUCAUGCAGAUAAUGGAAAUGACCUUUAUGUCUCACGAUGCUGCGUAUGAUUUCUACAACAGCUAUGCUAGAGAUAAUGGUUUCAGCAUUAGAAAGAAUAAGGUCAGGUAUAGCAAAACAGAGUCACGUCAUAUGCGUUAUAGGCGGUUUGUUUGUUCAAGACAAGGGAAACGUGACAGCAAGUUGCUAACCGAGGAAGGACACAGCCGUAGGCUCAGAGCCGAGACACGCUGCUUUUGCGAAGCGCACCUGACCGUCAAGCUUGACCAAAAGCAUGGGGUUUGGUAUGUUGAAAGUUUUGAGGACAAGCAUAGCCAUAUGUUGGCAGGACCGGACGAGGUACCUUUUCUUUGGUCCCACAGAAAAAUCAAAGAGUACCAGAAGCAUGAGAUAAUGUCCACGGCUCGGAGAGCUCGGGAAUCCGGACAUAGUUGGUCCUCAAGAUAGAGGAAAGGUCGCGACAUUGUUCCUCCACCACUGCAAUAUGAUGGGUGACCGGUGGAGAGUUAAUCUCCCUUUGAUCGGGUUUAAGCCCAAUCCGAUCAUAGUCCGUAGCGACUCCCAAGGCGGCGAUGCGAUCCAAGAGCUCGUUUAAGGGGGCGAGCUCCAUUGGAUCCAUCUGUUCGGCGAGUGCCGAUUUGACGUGGAGGCUGUUUUCGAUGACCCGAGAAGUCAUCAUCGGCUCGGCGGCCGAACAUGCGGUCAUGAUGAAACCGCCUAGCCGGAGAGUUUGGCCGACAACCAAAGCUCCCCCAACAGUAGUACCGUCUUUAAAGACGAGACGAGACAUUCUUCCUUCUGGCAACGACACAGAGGAACUCUCAAUGAAAGCUUCAAUGUCGGUGUCAAAACCAGCGGAUCUCGGGUAGGGGGUCCCGAACUAUGCGUCUAAGGCGGAUGGUAACAGGAGGCAGGGAACACGAUGUUUUACCUAGGUUCGGGCCCUCUUGAUGGAGGUAAAGCCCUAUGUCCUGCUUGAUUAAUAUUGAUGAUAUGGGUAGUACAAGAGUAGAUCUACCAGGAGAUCAGAGAGGCUAAACCCUAGAAGCUAGCCUAUGGUAUGAUUGUAUGUUGUCCUACGGACUAAAACCCUCCGGUUUAUAUAGACACCGGAGGGGGCUAGGGUUACACAAGGUCGGUUACAAAGGAGAAGAUGUACAUAUCCGUAUUGCCUAGCUUGCCUUCCACGCCAAGUAGAGUCCCAUCCGGACACGAGACGAAGUCUUCAAUCUUGUAUCUUCAUAGUCCAACAGUCCGGUCAAAGGAUAUAAUCCGGCUGUCCGGAGCCCCUAAUUCAGGACUCCCUCAGGCCCCCUGUUGCUCCACCGACGUACUCCUUCCUCCUAUAUAUACCUAUGUACCCCCAAAUGAUCAGAUACGGAGCCAAAACCCUAAUUCCACCGUCGUAACUUUCUGUAUCCACCGCCGGAGGGGGCAUCGAUCAUGGAGGGCUUCUACAUCAACACCAUAACCUCUCCGAUGAAGUGUGAGUAGUUUACCUCAGACCUACGGGUCCAUAGUUAGUACCUAGAUGGCUUCUUCUCUCUUUUUGGAUAUCAAUACAAUGUUCUCCCCCUCUCUUGUGGAGAUCUAUUCGAUGUAAUCUUCUUUUUGCGGUGUGUUUGUUGAGACCGAUGAAUUGUGGGUUUAUGAUCAAGUCUAUCUAUGAAUAAUAUUUGAAUCUUCUCUGAAUUCUUUUAUGUAUGAUUGGUUAUCUUUGCAAGUCUCUUCGAAUUAUCAGUUUGGUUUGUCCUACUAGAUUGAUCUUUCUUGCAAUGGGAGAAGUGCUUAGCUUUGGGUUCAAUCUUGCGAAGUCCUUUCCCGGUGACAGUAGGUGCAGCAAGGCACGUAUUGUAUUGUUGCCAUCGAGGAUAACAAGAUGGGGUUUUCUUCAUAUUGCAUGAGUCUAUCCCUCUACAUCAUGUCAACUUGCUUAAGGCGUCACUCUAUUUUUAACUUAAUACUCUAGAUGCAUGCUGGAUAGCGGUCCAAGAGUGGAGUAAUAGUAGUAGAUGCAGGCAGGAGUCGGUCUACUUGUCUCGGAUGUGAUGCAUAUAUACAUGAUCAUACCUAGAUAUUCUCAUAACUAUGCUCAAUUCUGUCAAUUGCUCAACAGUAAUUUGUUCACCCACCGUAGAAUACUUAUGCUCCCGAGAGAAGCCACUAGUGAAACCUAUGGCCCCCGGGUCUAUCUUUAUCAUAUUAAUCUCCUACCACUUAGUUAUUUCCUUUGCUAUUUACUUUGCCUUUAUUUUACUUUGCAUCUUUAUCAUAAAAAUACCAAAAAUAUUAUCUUUAUCAUAUCUAUCAUAUCUCACUCUCGUAAGUGGCCUUAUAGGGAUUGACAACCCCUAUUUGCGUUGGUUGCGAGGAUUUAUUUGUUUUGUGCAGGUACGAGGGACUCGCGUGCAGCCUCCUACUGGAUUGAUACCUUGGUUCUCAAAAACUGAGGGAAAUACUUACGCUACUUUGUUGCAUCAUCACUUCCUCUUCGGGGAAAACCAACACAGUGCUCAAGAGGUAGCAAGAAGGAUUUCUGGCGCCGUUGCCGGGGAGGUCUACGCAAAAGUCAACAUACCAAGUACCCAUCACAUACCCUUAUCUCCCGCAUUACAUUAUUUGCCAUUUGCCUCUCGUUUUCCUCUCACCCACUUCACCCUUGCUGUUUUAUUCGCCCUCUCUCUCUCUAUCCUCCCUCUCUUUCUCUAUUUGCCUCUUUUUGCCCGCUUGCUUUUUGUUUGCUUGUGUGUUAGUUUGUUUGCUUGUCGUUAUGGCUAGUCCCUUACCUUCUCCGUUGUCUCCCAAGAAUGAAAUUUUAAAUUUUAAGCAAAGGGAGGGAGAAAAUCUAAAAGAUGCUUCGUAUAGAAUUUGCAAUGCUCAAAAUAGAUCAACUAGGAAGCAAUCUACUUCCGUUCUUCUUUGCAAUUUUUAUGUAGGCAUUACUCCUUGGCACCGUUAUGUUCUUGAUACUAUUACCGGAGGGAACUUUUUGGGUAGCCAUACUUUUGAUUCUUAAAAUGCUAUGUUAGAUUUAUUUGUUUCACCCCCUCUCUUGGUUAAUGGAACUAUAUUAACUUUGGAGCAUGUAAUGCAACGGCUUGAAAUUAUUGAAAAUAAGGUUGCUACCAUAGAAUUAAUUGAAAAUUUGGAUAUGGAUCUAAAGUAGGAGUUACUUUGAAAGAUAUUAAAGAAAAGGAACCCAUAGUUAAUGAGAAAAUAAAUCAUGAUUCCACUAGGAUCGAUAAACUUGAAGGUAUUAUUACCAACUUGGGAACCGCUUUUUCUUCUGUAAAGAAUACUCCAAGUCCUCCCAGUAAAAUUACCAAGCUUAUGUAUGUUCCUAAAAAUAAGGGUGAAUCCUCUAGUAAGGAAAAUGCGGAUCUCAAAUCUAGAAGUAUUCAUCCCAAUCUUUUUACUAUCAUUAAGGAACCAUUUGUUACAAAUGAGUUUUUUGAUGUUGUGCCUAAAAGUUUGAUAAUUAAUAAAAAGAAAGAAAUUCCUAAAGAUGGUAGAUGCCUCAUUGAAUAAUUACCUACCAAAGAUGGCAAUACUUAGAUCUAUCCCUGCUUGUUAUGCCUAGCUAGGGGCGUUAAACGAUAGCGCUUGUUGGGAGGCAACCCAAUUUUAUUUUUAUUCCUUGAGUUUUGCUCCUGUUUAGUAAUAGAUAAUUAUCUAGCCUCUGUUAUGAUUGUGUUUUUUGUGUUUAAAUUAGUGUUUGUGCCAAGUAGAACCGUUGGGAAGACUUGGGGAAAGUCUUGUUGAAUUUGCUGUAAAAACAGAAACUUUAGCGCUCACAAGAACUGCUGUCAUUUUUAUUUGAAAAGUGAUAUUUAGUUCAUUCUUUUUGCAUAUGAUUAAUAUAUAAAUUCCUCACGUCCAGAAAAUUAUUUUAGAAUUUUUGGGGUUCCAUAUCUUGCGCUAGCUACAGAUUACUACAGACUGUUCUGUUUUUGACAGAUUCUGUUUUUCGUGUGUUGUUUGCUUAUUUUGAUGAAUCUAUGGCUAGUAAAAUGGUUUAUAAACCAUAGAUAAGUUGGAAUACAGUAGGUAUAACACAAAUAUAAAUAAAUAAUGAGUUCAUUACAGUACUUUGAAGUGGUCUUUUAUUUUCUUUCGCUAACGGAGCUCACGAGAUUCUCUACUUUAAGUUUUGUGUUGUGAAGUUUUCAAGUUUUGGGUAAAGAUUUGAUGGAUUAUGGAACAAGGAGUGGCAAGAGCCUAAGCUUGGGGAUGACCAUGGCACCCCCAAGAUAAUCUAAGGACACCUAAAAGCCAAAGCUUGGGGAUGCCCCGGAAGGCAUCCCCUCUUUCGUCUACUUCUAUCGGUAACUUUACUUGGAGCUAUAUUUUUAUUCGCCACAUGAUAUGUGUUUUGCUUGGAGCGUCUUGUAUGAUUUGAGUCUUUUCUUGUUAAUUUACCACAAUCAUCCUUGCUGUACACACCUUUUGAGAGAGCCAUACAUUAUUUGGAAUUUCUUAGAAUACUCUAUGUGCUUCGCUUAUAUCUUUUGAGUUAUAUAAUUUUGCUCUAGUACUUCGCUUAUAUCUUUUAGAGCACGGUGGUGGAUUUGUUUUAUAUAAACUAUUGAUCUCUCAUGCUUCACUUAGAUCAUUUUUGAGAGUCUUAAUAGCAUGUUAAUUUGCUUAAAAUCCUAAUAUGCUAGGUAUUCAAAGUUAGUAAAAUUUCCUUAAGAGUGUUUUGAAUACUAAAGUUUGAUGCUUGAUGAUUGUUUUGAGAUAUGGAGAUAAUAAUAUCAAAGUCGUGCUAGUUGAGUAGUUGUGAAAUUGAGAAAUACUUGUGUUGAAGUUUGCAAGUCCCGUAGCAUGCACGUAUGGUAAACGUUAUGGAACAAAUUUGAAAGAUGAGGUGUUAUUUGAUUGUCUUCCUUAUGAGUGGCGGUCGGGGACGAGCGAUGGUCUUUUCCUACCAAUCUAUCCCCCUAGGAGCAUGCGCGUAGUACCGAGGUUUUUGAUGACUUGUAGAUUUUUGCAAUAAGUAUGUGAGUUCUUUAUGACUAAUGUUGAGUCCAUGGAUUAUACGCACUCUCACCCUUCCAUCCUUGCUUGCCUCUUCGGUACCGUGCAUUGCCCUUUCUCACAUUGAGAGUUGGCGCAAAGUUCGCCGGUGCAUCCAAACCCCGUGAUAUGAUACGCUCUUUCACACAUAAACCUCCUUAUAUCUUCCUCAAAACAGCCACCAUACCUACCUAUUAUGGCAUUUCCAUAGCCAUUCCGAGAUAUAUUGCCAUGCAACUUUCCAUCAUCCCGUUCAUCAUCACACAUUCAUUAUUGUCAUAUUGCUUAGCAUGAUCAUGUAGUUGAUAUAGUAUUUGUGGCAAACCCACCGUUCAUAAUUCUUUCAUACAUGUCACUCUUGGUCCAUUGCAUAUCCCGGUACACCGCCGGAGGCAUUCAUAUAGAGUCAUAUUUUGUUCUAAGUAUCGAGUUGUAAUUGUUCAGUUGUAAGAAAAAUGAAAGUGUGAUGAUCAUCAUUAUUAGAGCAUUGUCCCAGUGAGGAAAGGAUGAUGGAGACUAUGAUUUCCCCACAAGUCGGGAUGAGACUCCGGACGAAAAAAAAAGAAAAAAAGAGGCCAUAAAAAAAGAGAAAAGGCCCAAAUAAAAAAAGAGAGAGAAAAAGAGAGAAGGGACAAUGUUACUAUCCUUUUACCACACUUGUGCUUCAAAGUAGCACUAUGAUCUUCAUAGUAGAGAGUCUCUCAUGUUAUCACUUUCAUAUACUAGUGGGAAUUUUUCAUUAUAGAACCUGGCUUGUAUAUUCCAAUGAUGGGCUUCCUCAAGUGCCCUAGGUCUUCGUGAUCAAGCAAGUUGGAUGCACACCCACUAGUUUCUUUUGUUGAGCUUUCAUACAUUUAUAGCUCUAGUGCAUCCAUUGCAUGGCAAUCCCUACUUCUUGCAUUAACAUCAAUCGGUGGGCAUCUCCAUAGCCCAUUGAUUAGCCUCGUUGAUGUGAGACUUUCUCCUUUUUUGUCUUCUCCACAUAACCCCCCUCAUUAUAUUCUAUUCCACCCAUAGUGCUAUGUCCAUGGCUCGCGCUCAUAUAUUGCGUGAAAGUUUAUAGGUUUGAGAUUACUAAAGUAUGAAACAAUUGCUUGGCUUGUCAUCGGGGUUGUGUAUGAUGAGAGCAUUCUUGUGUGACGAAAAUGAAACCUGACUAAACCAUAUGAUUUUGUAGGGAUGAACUUUCUUUGGCCAUGUUAUUUUGAGAAAACAUAAUUGUUUAGUUAGUAUGCUUGAAGUAUUAUUAUUUUUAUGUCAAUAUGAACUUUUGUCUUGAAUCUUUCGAAUCUAAAUAUUCAUACCACAAUUAAGAAGAAUUACAUUAAAAUUGUGCCAAGUAGCACUCCGCAUCAAAAAUUCCGUUUUUUUCAUUUACCUACUCAAGGACGAGCAGGAAUUAAGCUUGGGGAUGCUUGAUACGUCUCCAACGUAUCUACAAUUUUUGAUUGCCCCAUGCUAUAUUAUCUACUGUUUUGGACAUUACUAGGCUUUAUUAUCCACUUUUAUAUUAUUUUUGGGACUAACCUAUUAACCGGAGGCCCAGCCCAGAAUUGUUGUUUUUUUGCCUGUUUUAGGGUUUCGAAGAAAAGGAAUAUCAAACGGAGUCCAAACGGAAUGAAACCUUCGGGAACGUGAUUUUUAGGAAGAUUAUGAUCCGGGAGACUUGGACCCUAUGUCAAGAAAAGAAACAGGAGGCCACGAGGUAGGGGGCGCGCCCCCCCCCCCCCCCCCAGGCACACCCUCCACCCUCGUGGGCCCCCUGUUUCUCCACCGACGUACUCCUUCCUCCUAUAUAUACCUAUGUACCCCCAAACGACCAGAUACGGAGCAAAAACCCUAAUUCCACUUCCGUAACUUUCUGUAUCCACGAGAUCCCAUCUUGGGGCCUGUUCCGGAGCUCCGCCGGAGGGGGCAUCGAUCACGGAGGGCUUCUACAUCAACACCAUAGCCUCCCCAAUGAAGUGUGAGUAGUUUACCUCAGACCUAUGGGUCCAUAGUUAGUACUUAGAUGGCUUCUCCUCUCUUUUUGGAUCUCAAUACAAUGUUCUCCCCCUCUCUUCUGGAGAUCUAUUCGAUGUAAUCUUCUUUUUGCGGUGUGUUUGUUGAGAUCGAUGAAUUGUGGGUUUAUGAUCAAGUCUAUCUAUGAAUAAUAUUUGAAUCUUCUCUGAAUUCUUAUGUAUGAUUGGUUAUCUUUGCAAGUAUCUUCGAAUUAUCAGUUUGGUUUGGCCUACUAGAUUGAUCUUUCUUGCAAUGGGAGAAGUGCUUAGCUUUGGGUUCAAUCUUGUGGUGUCCUUUCCCAGUGAGAGUAGGGGCAGCAAGGCACGUAUUGUAUUGUUGCCAUCGAGGAUAACAAGAUGGGGUUUUCUUCAUAUUGCAUGAGUCUAUCCCUCUACAUCAUGUCAUCUUGCUUAAGGCGUUACUCUGUUUUUAACUUAAUACUCUCGAUGCAUGCUGGAUAGCGGUCGAUGAGUGGAGUAAUAGUAGUAGAUGCAGGCAGGAGUCGGUCUACUUGUCCCGGACGUGAUGCCUAUAUACAUGAUCAUACCUAGAUAUUCUCAUAACUAUGCUCAAUUCUGUCAAUUGCUCAACAGUAAUUAGUUCAACCACCGUAGAAUACUUAUGCUCUUGAGAGAAGCCACUAGUGAAACCUAUGGCCCCCGGGUCUAUCUUUAUCAUAUUAAUCUCCUACUACUUAGUUAUUUCCUCUGCUAUUUACUUUGCCUUUAUUUUACUUUGCAUGUUUAUCAUAAAAAUACCAAAAAUAUCAUCUUUAUCAUAUUUAUCAGAUCUCACUCUCGUAAGUGGCCUUAUAGGGAUUGACAACCCCUGUUUGUGUUGGUUGCGAGGAUUUAUUUGUUUUGUGUAGGUACGAGGGACUCACGCAUAGCCUCCUACUGGAUUGAUACCUUGGUUCUCAAAAAAUGAGGGAAAUACUUACGCUACUUUGUUGCAUCAUCCCUUCCUCUUCGGGGAAAACCAACGCAGUGCUCAAGAGGUAGCAGAUAGGCAUCCAAGAUGGGUAUAAUAAAAACUAUCAUAAAAAGUGCAUUGAAUACUAUGAGAAGUGUGAUACUUGAUGAUUGUUUUGAGAUAUCAAGAUGGUGAUAUUAGAGUCAUGCUAGUUGAGUAAUUGUGAAUUUGAGAAAUACUUGUUCUAAAGUUUGUGAUUCCCCUAGCAUGGACAUAUGGUGAACCGUUAUGUGAUGAAGUCAGAGCAUGAUUUUUUAUUGAUUGUCUUCCUUAUGCGUGGCGGUCAGGGACGAGGCGAUGGUCUUUUCCUACCAAUCUACCCCCCUAGGAGCAUGCAAUGCACGUAGUACUUUGUUUCGAUAACUAAUAGAUUUUUGCAAUAAAUAUGUGAGUUCUUUAUGACUAAUGUUGAGUCCAUGGAUUAUACGCACUCUCACCCUUCCACCAUUGCUAGCCUCUCUAAUAUUGUGCACCUUUCGCUGGUAUCAUACAUCUACCAUAUACCUACCUCAAAACAGCCACCAUACCUACCUAUUAUGGAAUUUCCAUAGCCAUUCCGAGAUAUAUUGCCAUGCAACUUUCCACCGUUCCGUUUGUUAUGACACGCUUCAUCGUUGUCAUAUUUCUUUGCAUGAUCAUGUAGUUGACAUCGUAUUUGUGGCAAAGCCAUCUUUAUAAUUCUUUCAUACAUGUCUGUUGGGGAACGUUGCAGAAAACAAAAAUUUUCCUACAGUUUCACCAAGAUCCAUCUAUGAGUUCAUCUAGCAACGAGUGAUCGGAUAGCAUCUACAUACCUUUGUAGAUCACGCGCGGAAGCGUUCAAAGAAUGGGGAUGAGAAAUUCGUACUCGACGUGAUCCAAAUCACCGGAGAUCCUAGCGCCGAACGGACGGCACCUCCGCGUUCACGUACGGUCAGCGUGACGUCUCCUCCUUCUUGAUCCAGCAAGGGGGAAGGAGAGGUUGAGGAAGAUGGCUCCAGCAGCAGCACGACGGCGUGGUGGUGGUGGAGCAGCAGUACUCCGGCAGGGCUUCGCCAAGCUCGUGACGGAGGAGGAAAUGUGUUGGGGAGGGGAGGGGCUGUGCCUUGGAUGUCCUCUGCAGCCCUUCCCUCACCCCUCUAUUUAUAGGGGAAGGAGGAAGGGGGCCGGCCCCCUCUAGAUGAGAUCUAGAGGGGGGGCGGCGGCCAAGGGGAGGGGGGCUUGCCCCCCAAGCAAGGGGCGCACCCCCUUAGGGUUUCCCCCAACCCUAGGCGCAUGGGCCGUAGGGGGAGUGUGUUGGGUUUCGUUGUAAUUUCAAAAAAAUUCCUACGCACACGCAAGAUCAUGUGAUGCAUAGCAACGAGAGGAGAGUGUGAUCUACAUACCUAGUAGAUCGACAACGGAAGCGUUUGGUUGAUGUAGUCGUACGUCUUCACGAUCCAACCGAUCAAGCACCGAAACUACGUCACCUCCGAGUUCGAGCACACGUUCAGCUCGAUCACGAUCCCCGGACUCCGAUCCAGCAAAGUGUCGGGGAAGAGUUCCGUCAGCACGACGGCGUGGUGACGAUCUUGAUGCACUAUAGCAGCAGGGCUUGGCCUAAACUCCGCUACAGUAUUAUCGAGGACUAUGGUGGCUGGGGCGCCGCACACGGCUAAGGAAUAGAUCACGUGGAUCAACUUGUGUGUUUCUGGGGUGCCUCUGCCUCAGUAUAUAAAGGACCAAAGGGGGGAGGCUGGCCGGCCACAUAGGGCGCGCCAGGAGAGUCCUACUCCCUCUGGGAGUAGGAUCCCCCCCCCAAUCCUAGUUGGAAUAGGAUUCGCGGAGGGGGAAAAGAGAGAGGGGAGGCUGGCCACCUCUCCUUCUCCUAAUAGGACUAGGGGAGGGAGGGAGGCGCGCAUCCCAUCUUGGGCAGCCCCUUCUCUUUUCCGCCAAGGCCCACUAAGGCCCAUAUAGCUCGCGGGGGGUUCCGGUAACCUCCCGGUACUCCGGUAAAAUCCCGAUUUCACCCGGAACACUUCCGAUAUCCAAACAUAGGCUUCCAAUAUAUCAAUCUUUAUGUAUCGACCAUUUCGAGACUCCUCGUCAUGUUCGUGAUCACAUCCGGGACUCCGAACAACCUUCGGUACAUCAAAAUGCAUAAACUCAUAAUAUAAUUGUCAUCGUAACCUUAAGCGUGCGGACCCUACGGGUUCGAGAACAAUGUAGACAUGACCGAGACACAUCUCCAGUCAAUAACCAAUAGCGGGACCUGGAUGCCCAUAUUGGCUCCUACAUAUUCUACGAAGAUCUUUAUCGGUCAGACCGCAUAACAACAUACGUUGUUCCCUUUGUCAUCGGUAUGUUACUUGCCCGAGAUUCGAUCGUCGGUAUUCCAAUACCUAGUUCAAUCUCGUUACCGGCAAGUCUCUUUACUCGUUCUGUAAUACAUCAUUCCGCAACUAACUCAUUUAGUUGCAAUGCUUGCAAGGCUUAAGUGAUUUGCAUUACCGAGAGGGCCCAGAGAUACCUCUCCGACAAUCGGAGUGACAAAACCUAAUCUCGAAAUACGCCAACCCAACAUGUACCUUUGGAGACACCUGUAAUACUCCUUUAUAAUCACCCAGUAACGUUGUAACGUUUGGUAGUACCCAAAGUGUUCCUCCGGUAAACGGGAGUUGCAUAAUCUCAUAGUUAUAGGAACAUGUAUAAGUCAUGAAGAAAGCAAUAGCAACAUAUUAAACGAUCGGGUGCUAAGCUAAUGGAAUGGGUCAUGUCAAUCAGAUCAUUCUCUUAAUGAUGUGAUCCCUUUAAUCAAAUAACAACUCAUUGUUCAUGGUUAGGAAACAUAACCAUCUUUGAUUAACGAGCUAGUCAAGUAGAGGCAUACUAGUGACACUUUGUUUGUCUAUGUAUUCACACAUGUAUUAUGUUUCCGGUUAAUACAAUUCUAGCAUGAAUAAUAAACAUUUAUCAUGAUUAUAAGGAAAUAAAUAAUAACUUUAUUAUUGCCUCUAGGGCAUAUUUCCUUCAGUCUCCCACUUGCACUAGAGUCAAUAAUCUAGAUUACACUGUAAUGAUUCUAACACCCAUGGAGCCCUGGUGUUGAUCAUGUUUUGCUCGUGGAAGAGGCUUAGUCAACGGGUCUGCAACAUUCAGAUCCGUAUGUAUCUUGCAAAUUCUAUGUCUCCCACCUGGACUAGAUCCCGGAUGGAAUUGAAGCGUCUCUUGAUAUGCUUGGUUCUCUUGUGAAAUCUGGAUUCCUUUGCCAAGGCAAUUGCACCAGUAUUGUCACAAAAGAUUUUCAUUGGACCCGAUGCACUAGGUAUGACACCUAGAUCGGAUAUGGACUCCUUCAUCCAGACUCCUUCGUUCGCUGCUUCCGAAGCAGCUAUGUACUCCGCUUCACAUGUAGAUCCCGCUACGACGCUUUGUUUAGAACUGCACCAACUGACAGCUCCACUGUUCAAUGUAAACACAUAUCCGGUUUGCGAUUUAGAAUCGUCCGGAACAGUGUCAAAGCUUGCAUCAACGUAACCAUUUACGACGAGCUCUUUGUCACCUCCAUAUACGAGAAACAUAUCCUUAGUCCUUUUCAUGUAUUUUAGGAUGUUCUUGACGGCUGUCCAGUGAUCCACUCCUGGAUUACUUUGGUACCUCCCUGCUAGACUUAUAGCAAGGCACACAUCAGGUCUGGUACACAGCAUUGCAUACAUGAUAGAUCCUAUCGCUGAUGCAUAGGGAACAUCUUUCAUAUUCUCUCUAUCUUCUGCAGUGGUCGGGCAUUGAGUCUUACUCAAUUUCACACCUUGUAACACAGGCAAGAAUCCUUUCUUUGCUUGAUCCAUUUUGAACUUCUUCAAAAUUUUGUCAAGGUAUGUUGUUUGUGAAAGUCCAAUUAAGCGUCUUGACCUAUCUCUAUAGAUCUUUAUGCCUAAUAUGUAAGCAGCUUCACCGAGGUCUUUCAUUGAAAAACUCUUAUUCAAGUAUCCCUUUAUGCUAUCCAGAAAUUCUAUAUCAUUUCCAAUCAGUAAUAUGUCAUCCACAUAUAAUAUCAGAAAUGCUACAGAGCUCCCACUCACUUUCUUGUAAAUACAGGCUUCUUCGAAAGUCUGUAUAAAAUAAAAUGCUUUGAUCACACUAUCAAAGCAUUUAUUCCAACUCCGAGAGGCUUGCACCAGUCCAUAAAUGGAUCGCUGGAGCUUGCACACUUUGUUAGCUCCUUUUGGAUCGACAAAACCUUCUGGUUGCAUCAUAUACAACUCUUCUUCCAGAAAUCCAUUCAGGAAUGCAGUUUUGACAUCCAUUUGCCAAAUUUCAUAAUCAUAAAAUGCGGCAAUUGCUAACAUGAUUCGGACAGACUUAAGCAUCGCUACGGGUGAGAAGGUCUCAUCGUGGUCAACCCCUUGAACUUGUCGAAAACCUUUUGCGACAAGUCGAGCUUUGUAGACAGUAACAUUACCGUCAGCGUCAGUCUUCUUCUUGAAGAUCCAUUUAUUCUCAAUUGCUUACCGAUCAUCGGGCAAGUCAACCAAAGUCCAUACUUUGUUCUCAUACAUGGAUCCCAUCUCAGAUUUCAUGGCUUCAAGCCAUUUUGCGGAAUCUGGGCUCACCAUCGCUUCUUCCUAGUUCGCAGGUUCAUCAUGAUCUAGUAGCAUGACUUCCAGAACAGGAUUACCGUACCACUCUGGUGCGGAUCUUACUCUGGUUGAUCUAUGAGGUUCAGCAGUAUCUUGAUCUGAAGUUUCAUGAUCAUUAUCAUUAGCUUCCUCACUAACUGGUGUAGGUGUCACUGAAACAAUUUUCUGUGAUGUACUACUUUCCAAUAAGGGAGCAGGUACAGUUACCUCGUCAAGUUCUACUUUCCUCCCACUCACUUCUUUCGAGAGAAACUCCUUCUCUAGAAAGUUUCCGAAUUUAGCAACAAAAGUCUUGCCUUCGGAUCUGUGAUAGAAGGUGUGUCCAAUAGUUUCCUUUGGAUAUCCUAUGAAAACACAUUUCUCUGAUUUGGGUUCGAGCUUAUCAGGUUGAAGCUUUUUCACAUAAGCAUCGCAGCCCCAAACUUUCAGAAACGACAACUUUGGUUUCUUGCCAAACCACAGUUCAUAAGGCGUCGUCUCAACGGAUUUUGAUGGUGCCCUAUUUAAAGUGAAUGCGGCCGUCUCUAGAGCGUAUCCCCAAAAUGAUAGUGGUAAAUCAGUAAGAGACAUCAUAGAUCGCACCAUAUCUAGUAAAGUACGAUUACGACGUUCGGACACACCAUUACGCUGUGGUGUUCCGGGCGGCGUGAGUUGCGAAACUAUUCCACAAUUUUUCAAAUGUACACCAAACUCGUAACUCAAAUAUUCUCCUCCACGAUCAGAUCGUAGAAACUUUAUUUUCUUGUUACGAUGAUUUUCAACUUCACUCUGAAAUUCCUUGAACCUUUCAAAUGUUUCAGACUUAUGUUUCAUUAAGUAGAUAUACCCAUAUCUGCUUAAAUCAUCUCUGAAGGUGAGAAAAUAACGAUAUCCGCCACGAGCCUCAAUAUUCAUCGGACCACAUACAUCUGUAUGUAUGAUUUCCAACAAAUCUGUUGCUCUCUCCAUAGUACCGGAGAACGGUGUUUUGGUCAUCUUGCCCAUAAGGCACGGUUCGCAAGUACUAAGUGAUUCAUAAUCAAGUGGUUCCAAAAGUCCAUCAGAAUGGAGUUUCUUCAUGCGCUUUACACCGAUAUGACCUAAACGGCAGUGCCACAAAUAAGUUGCACUCUAAUUAUCAACUCUGCAUCUUUUGGCUUCAACAUUAUGAAUAUGUGUGUUACUACUAUCGAGAUUCAACAAGAAUAGACCACUCUUCAAGGGUGCAUGACCAUAAAAGAUAUUACUCAUAUAAAUAGAACAACCAUUAUUCUCUGAUUUAAAUGAAUAACCGUCUCGCAUCAAACAAGAUCCAGAUAUAAUGUUCAUGCUUAACGCUGGCACCAAAUAACAAUUAUUUAGGUCUAACACUAAUCCCGAAGGUAGAUGUAGAGGUAGUGUGCCGACUGCGAUCACAUCGACUUUGGAACCGUUUCCCACGCGCAUCGUCACCUCGUCCUUAACCAAUCUUCGCUUGAUCCGUAGUCCCUGUUUCGAGUUGCAAAUAUUAGCAACAGAACCAGUAUCAAAUACCCAGGUGCUACUGCAAGCAUUAGUAAGGUACACAUCAAUAACAUGUAUAUCACAUAUACCUUUGUUCACCUUGCCAUCCUUCUUAUCCACCAAAUACUUGGGGCUGUUCCGCUUCCAGUGACCAGUCUGCUUGCAAUAGAAACACUCAGUUUCAGGCUUAGGUCCAGGUUUGGGUUUCUUCUCUUGAGUAGCAACUUGCUUGCCGUUCUUUUUGAAGUUCCCCUUCUUCUUCCCUUUGCCCUUUUUAUUGAAACUAGUGGUCUUGUUGACCAUCAACACUUGAUGCUCCUUCUUGAUUUCUACCUCCGCGGCUUUCAGCAUCACGAAGAGCUCGGGAAUAGUCUUGUUCAUCCCUUGCAUAUUAUAGUUCAUCACGAAGCUCUUGUAGCUUGGUGGCAGUGAUUGAAGAAUUCUGUCAAUGACGCGAUCAUCUGGAAGAUUAACUCCCAAUUGAAUCAAGUGAUUAUUAUACCCAGACAUUUUGAGUAUAUGCUCACUGACAGAACUGUUCUCCUCCAUCUUGCAGCUAUAGAACUUAUUGGAGACUUCAUAUCUCUCAAUCCGGGCAUUUGCUUGAAAUAUUAACUUCAACUCCUGGAACAUCUCAUAUGCUCCAUGACGUUCAAAACAUCGUUGAAGUCCCGAUUCUAAGCCGUAAAGCAUGGCACACUGAACUAUCGAGUAGUCAUCAGCUUUGCUCUGCCAGACAUUCAUAACAUCCGGCGUUGCUCCUGCAGCAGGGCUGGCACCCAGCGGUGCUUCCAGGACGUAAUUCUUCUGUGCAGCAAUGAGGAUAAUCCUCAAGUUAUGGACCCAGUCCGUGUAAUUGCUACCAUCAUCUUUCAACUUUGCUUUCUCAAGGAACGCAUUAAAAUUCAACGGAACAACAGCACGAGCCAUCUAUCUACAAUCAAACAUAAACAAGAAAGAUACUAAUCAGGUACUAAGUUUCAUGAUAAAUUUAAGUUCAGUUAAUCAAAUUAAUUAAAGAACUCCCACUUAGAUAGACAUCCCUCUAAUCCUCUAAGUGAUUACGUGAUCCAAAUCAACUAAACCAUAACCGAUCAUCACGUGAGAUGGAGUAGUUUUCAAUGGUGAACAUCGUUAUGUUGAUCAUAUCUACUAUAUGAUUCACGCUCGACCUUUCGGUCUCCGUGUUCCGAGGCCAUAUCUGUAUAUGUUGGCUCGUCAAGUAUAACCUGAGUAUUCCGCGUGUGCAACUAUUUUGCACCCGUUGUAUUUGAACAUAGAACCUAUCACACCCGAUCAUCACGUGGUGUCUCAGCAUGAAGAACUUUCGCAACGGUGCAUACUCAGGGAGAACACUUCUUGAUAAUUUAGUGAGAGAUCAUCUUAUAAUGCUACCAUCAAUCAAAGCAAGAUAAGAUGCAUAAAAGGAUAAACAUCACAUGCAAUCAAUAUAAGUGAUAUGAUAUGAGCAUCAUCAUCUUGUGCUUGUGAUAUCCAUCUCCGAAGCACCGUCGUGAUCAGCAUCGUCACCGGCGUGACACCUUGAUCUCCAUCGUAGCAUCGUUGUCGUCUCGCCAAGCUUGUGCUUCUACGACUAUCGCUACCGCUUAGUGAUAAAAGCAAAGCAUUACAUCGCGAUUGCAUUCCAUACAAUAAAACGACAACCAUAAGGCUCCUGCCAGUUGCCGAUAACUCGGUUACAAAACAUGAUCAUCUCAUACAAUAAAAUUCAGCAUCAUGUCUUGACCAUAUCACAUCACAACAUGCCCUGCAAAAACAAGUUAGACGUCCUCUACUUUGUUGUUGCAAGUUUUACGUGGCUGCUAUGGGCUUAAGCAAGAACCAAUCUUACCUACGCAUCAAAACUACAACGAUAGUUUGUCAAUUUGACUCCGUUUUAACCUUCGCAAGGACCGGGCGUAGCCAUACUCGGUUCAACUAAAGUUGGAGAGACAGUCGCCCGCAAGCCACCUAUGUGCAAAGCACGUCGGGGGAACCGGUCUCGCGUAAGCGUACGCGUAAUGUUGGCCGGGUCGUCUCGUCCAACAAUGCCGCCGAACCAAAGUAUGACAUGCUGGUAGGCAGUAUGACUUAUAUCGCCCACAACUCACUUGUGUUCUACUCGUGCAUAUAACAUCAACAUAAAUAACCUAGGCUCGGAUGCCACUGUUGGGUUUCGUAGUAAUUUCAAAAAAAUUCCUAUGCACACGCAAGAUCAUGUGAUGCAUAGCAAUGAGAGGAGAGUGUGAUCUACAUACCUAGUAGAUCGACAACGGAAGCAUUUGGUUGAUGUAGUCGUACGUCUUCACGAUCCAACCGAUCAAGCACCGAAACUACGGCACCUCCGAGUUUGAGCACACGUUCAGCUCGAUGACGAUCUCCGGACUCUGAUCCAGCAAAGUGUCGGGGAAGAGUUCCGUCAGCACGACGGCAUGGUGACGAUCUUGAUGCACUACAGCAGCAGGGCUUCGCCUAAACUCCGCUACAGUAUUAUCGAGGACUAUGGUGGCUGGGGCGCCGCACACGGCUAAGGAAUAGAUCACGUGGAUCAACUUGUGUGUUUCUGGGGUGCCUCUGCCUCAGUAUAUAAAGCACCAAAGGGGGGAGGCUGGCCGGCCACAUAGGGCGCGCCAGGAGAGUCCUACUCCCUCUGGGAGUAGGAUUCCCCCCCCCCCCAAUCCUAGUUGGAAUAGGAUUCGCGGAGGGGGAAAAGAGAGAGGGGGGCCGGCCACCUCUCCUUCUCCUAAUAGGACUAGGGGAGGGAGGGAGGCGCGCAUCCCAUCUUGGGCAGCCCCUUCUCUUUUCCACUAAGGCCCACUAAGGCCCAUAUAGCUCUCGGGGGGUUCCGGUAACCUCCCGGUACUCCGGUAAAAUCCCGAUUUCACACGGAACACUUCCGAUAUCCAAACAUAGGCUUCCAAUAUAUCAAUCUUUAUGUCUCGACCAUUACUAGACUCCUCGUCAUGUCCGUGAUCACAUCCGGGACUCCGAACAACCUUCGGUACAUCAAAAUGCAUAAACUCAUAAUAUAACUGUCAUCAUAACCUUAAGCGUGCGGACCCUAUGGGUUCAAGAACAAUGUAGACAUGACCGAGACACGUCUCCGGUCAAUAACCAAUAGCGGGACCUGGAUGCCCAUAUUGGCUCCUACAUAUUCUACGAAGAUCUUUAUCGGUCAGACCGCAUAACAACAUACGUUGUUCCCUUUGUCAUCGGUAUGUUACUUGCCCGAGAUUCGAUCGUCGGUAUUCCAAUACCUAGUUCAAUCUUGUUACUGGCAAGUCUCUUUACUCGUUCUGUAAUACAUCAUUCCGCAACUAACUCAUUUAGUUGCAAUGCUUGCAAGGCUUAAGUGAUGUGCAUUACCGAGAGGGCCCAGAGAUACCUCUCCGACAAUCGGAGUGACAAAACCUAAUCUCGAAAUACGCCAACCCAACAUGUACCUUUAGAGACACCUGUAAUACUCCUUUAUAAUGACCCAGUAACGUUGUGACGUUUGGUAGUACCAAAAGUGUUCCUCCGGUAAACGGGAGUUCAUAAUCUCAUAUAGGAACAUGUAUAAGUCAUGAAGAAAGAAAUAGCAACAUACUAAACGAUCGGGUGCUAAGCUAAUGGAAUGGGUCAUGUCAAUCAGAUCAUUCUCUUAAUGAUGUGAUCACGUUAAUCAAAUAACAACUCAUCGUUCAUGGUUAGGAAACAUAACCAUCUUUGAUUAACGAGCUAGUCAAGUAGACGCAUACUAGUGACACUUUGUUUGUCUAUGUAUUCACACAUGUAUUAUGUUUCUGGUUAAUACAAUUCUAGCAUGAAUAACAAACAUUUAUCAUGAUUAUAAGGAAAUAAAUAAUAACUUUAUUAUUGCCUCUAGGGCAUAUUUCCUUCAGAGUGGCGCCCCAGCCCACUUUGGGCUGGAUCCCUUCCUCAUACAGCCCAUAAGGCCCUCCGGGAGAGGUGGCCCCUCCGAGUGGACCCCCGGAACCCCUCCGGUGGCCCCGGUACAAUACCGUUAUGCCCCCGAACCUUUCCGGUGACCGUAUGACAACUUCCCAUAUAUAAUUCUUUACCUCCGGAUUAUUCCGGGACUUCGAACAACUUUCGGAUUACUGCAUACUCAUAUCUAUACAACCCUAGCAUCACUGAACCUUAAGUGUGUAGACCCUACGGGUUCGGGAGACAAUCAGACAUGACCGAGACGACUCUCUGGUCAAUAACCAACAGUGGGAUCUGGAUACCCAUGUUGGCUCCCACAUGCUCCUUGAUGAUCUCAUCGGAUGAACCACGAUGUCGAGGACCUAAUCAAUCCCGUACUCAAUUCCCUUUGUCAAUCGGUACAUUACUUGCCCGAGACUCGAUCGUCGAUAUCCCAAUACCUUGUUCAGUCUCGUUACCAGCAAGUCACUUUACUCGUACCGUAAUGCAUGAUCCCGUGAUCAACCACUUGAUCACAUUGAGCUCAUUAUGAUGAUGCAUUACCGAGUGGGCCCAGAGAUACCUCUCCGUCAUACGGAGUGACAAAUCCCAGUCUCGAUUCGUGCCAACCCAACAGACACUUUCGGAGAUACCUGUAAUGUACCUUUAUAGUCACCCAGUUACCUUGUGACGUUUGGCACACCCAAGGCACUCCUACGGUAUCCGGGAGUUGCACGAUCUCAUGGUCUAAGGAAAUGAUACUUGACAUCCAGAAAAGCUACAGCAAACGAACUACACGAUCUUUGUGCUAUACUUAGGUUUGGGUCUUGUCCAUCACAUCAUUCUCCUAAUGAUGUGAUCCCAUUAUCAAUGACAUCCCCAUGUCCAUAGCCAGGAAACCAUGACUAUCUGUUGAUCAACGAGCUAGUCAACUAGAGGCUCACUAGGGACACAUUAUGGUCUAUGUAUUCACACAUGUAUUACGAUUUCCGGACAAUACAAUUAUAGCAUGAAUAAUAGAAAAUUAUCAUGAACAAGGAAAUAUAAUAAUCAUUUUAUUAUUGCCUCUAGGGCAUAUUUCCAACAGUCUCCCACUUGCACUAGAGUCAAUCAUCUAGUUACAUUGUGAUGAAUCGAACACCCAUGGAAUUCUGGUGUUGAUCAUGUUUUGCUCUAGGGAGAGGUUUAGUCAACGGAUCUGCUACAUUCAGGUCCGUAUGUACUUUACAAAUCUCUAUGUAUCCAUUUUGAACACUUUCACGAAUGGAGUUGAAACGACGCUUGAUAUGCCUGGUCUUCCUGUGAAACCUGGGCUCCUUGGCAAGGGCAAUAGCUCCAGUGUUGUCACAGAAGAGAGUCAUCGGGCCCGACGCAUUGGGUAUGACUCCUAGGUCGGUAAUGAACUCCUUCACCCAGACUGCUUCGUGUGCUGCCUCCGAGGCUGCCAUGUACUCCGCUUCACAUGUAGAUCCUGCCACAAUGCUUUGCUUGCAACUGCACCAGCUUACUGCCCCACCAUUCAAAAUAUACACGUAUCCGGUUUGUGACUUAGAGUCAUCCAGAUCUGUGUCGAAGCUAGCAUCAACGUAACCCUUUACGACAAGCUCUUCGUCACCUCCAUAAACGAGAAACAUUUCCUUAGUCCUUUUCAGGUACUUCAGGAUAUUUUUGAUCGCUGUCCAGUGUUCCAUGUCGGGAUUACUUUGGUACCUUCCUACCAAACUCACGGCAAGGUUUACAUCAGGUCUGGUACACAGCAUAGCAUACAUGAUAGACCCUAUGGCUGAGGCAUAGGGGACGACACUCAUCUUUUCUCUAUCUUCUGCCGUGGUCGGGCAUUGAGCCAAGCUCAAUCUCGUACCUUGCAAUACAGGCAAGAACCCCUUCUUUGACUGAUCCAUUUUGAACUUCUUCAAUAUCUUGUCAAGGUACAUACUCUAUGAAAGACCAAUGAGGCGUCUCGAUCUAUCUCUAUAGAUCUUGAUGCCUAAUAUAUAAGCAGCUUCUCCAAGGUCCUUCAUUGAAAAACACUUGUUCAAAUAGGCCUUUAUGCUUUCCAAGAAUUCUAUAUCAUUUCCCAUCAACAGUAUGUCAUCCACAUACAAUAUGACAAAUGCUACAGAGCUCCCACCCACUUUCUUGUAAAUGCAAGCUUCUCCAUAAGUCUGCAUAAACCCAAACGCUUUGAUCAUCUCAUCAAAGCGAAUGUUGCAACUCCGAGAUGCUUGCACCAGCCCGUAAAUCGAGCGUUGGAGCUUGCACACCUUGUCAGCAUUCUUAGGAUCGACAAGACCUUCCGGUUGCAUCAUAUACAAUUCUUCCUUAAGGAAACCAUUAAGGAAUGCCGUUUUGACGUCCAUUUGCCAUAUUUCAUAAUCAUAGAAUGCGGCAAUUGCUAACAUGAUUCGGACGGACUUCAGCUUCGCUACGGGUGAGAAAGUCUCAUCGUAGUCAACCCCUUGAACUCGUCGAUAACCCUUAGCGACAAGCCGUGCUUUAUAGAUGGUCACAUUACCAUCCGCGUCUGUCUUCUUCUUAAAGAUCCAUUUAUUUUCUAUGGCUCGCCGAUCAACGGGCAAGUCAGUCAAAGUCCAUACUUUGUUUUCAUACAUGGAUCCUAUCUCGGAUUUCAUGGCUUCCAGCCAUUUGUCGGAAUACGGGCCCGCCAUCACUUCUUCAUAGUUCAAAGGUUCACCGUUGUCUAACAACAUGAUUUCCAAGACAGGGUUGCCGUACCACUCUGGUGAGGAACGUGUCCUUGUGGACCUUCGAAGUUCAGUAGGAGCUUGAUCAGAAGUAUCUUGAUCAUCAUCAUUAACUUCCUCUCUAAUUGGUGCAAGCACCACAGGAACAUUUGCCUGAGUUGCGCCACUUUCCGGUUCAAGAGGCAAUACUUCAUCAAGUUCUACUUUCCUCCCACUUACUUCUUUCGAGAGAAACUCCUUCUCUAGAAAGGAUCCAUUCUUGGCAACAAAGAUCUUGCCUUCGGAUCUGAGGUAGAAGGUAUACCCAAUAGUUUCUUUAGGGUAUCCUAUCAAGACGCAUUUUUCCGACUUGGGUUCGAGCUUUUCAGGUUGAAGUUUCUUGACAUAAGCAUCGCAUCCCCAAACUUUUAGAAACGACAGCUUAGGCUUCUUCCCAAACCAUAAUUCAUACGGUGUCGUCUCAACGGAUUUCGACGGAGCCCUAUUUAAAGUGAAUGCAGUAGUCUCUAAAGCAUAGCCCCAAAAUGACAGCGGUAAAUUGGUAAGAGACAUCAUAGAUCGCACCAUAUCUAAUAGAGUGCGAUUACGACGUUCGGACACACCAUUACGCUGAGGUGUUCCAGGCGGCAUGAGUUGUGAAACUAUUCCACAUUUUCUUAAGUGUGUACCAAAUUCUUGACUCAAGUAUUCUCCUCCACGAUCUGAUCGCAAAAACUUGAUUUUUCUGUCAUGUUGAUUCUCAACCUCACUCUGAAAUUCCUUGAACUUUUCAAAGGUUUCAGACUUGUGUUUCAUUAAGUAGAUAUACCCAUAUCUACUCAAGUCAUCAGUGAGGGUGAGAACAUAACGAUAGCCACCACGAGCCUCAACAUUCAUUGGACCGCACACAUCAGUAUGUAUGAUUUCCAAUAGGUUGGUUGCUCGCUCCAUUGUUCCUGAGAACGGAGACUUGGUCAUCUUACCCAUGAGGCAUGGUUCACACAUGUCAAAUGAUUCGUAAUCAAGAGACUCUAAAAGUCCAUCUGUAUGGAGCUUCUUCAUGCGUUUGACACCUAUGUGACUAAGGCGGCAGUGCCACAAGUAUGUGGGACUAUCAUUAUCAACCUUACAUCUUUUGGCAUUCACACUAUGAAUAUGUGUAGCAUUACGCUCGAGAUUCAUUAAGAAUAAACCAUUCACCAUAGGAGCAUGACCAUAAAACAUAUCUCUCAUAUAAAUAGAACAACCAUUACACUUGGAUUUAAAUGAGUAGCCAUCUCGUAUUAAACGAGAUCCUGAUACAAUGUUCAUGCUCAAACUUGGCACUAAAUAACAAUUAUUGAGGUUCAAAACUAAUCCCGUAGGUAAAUAUAGAGGUAGCGUGCCGACGACGAUGACAUCGACCUUGGAACCAUUCCCGACGCGCAUUGUCACCUCGUCCUUCGCCAAUCUCCGCUUAUUCCGCAGCUCCUGCUUUGAGUUACAAAUGUGAGCAACUGCACCGGUAUCAAAUACCCAGGAGCUACUACGAGUAUUGGUAAGGUACACAUCAAUUACAUGUAUAUCACAUAUACCUUUCGUUUUGCCGGCCUUCUUGUCCGCUAAGUAUUUGGGGCAGUUCCGCUUCCAGUGUCCACUUCCCUUGCAAUAAAAACACUCAGUCUCGGGCUUGGGUCCAUUCUUUGGCUUCUUCCCGGCAGCUUGCUUACCAGGCGCGGCAACUCCCUUGCCGUCCUUCUUGAAGUCCUUCUUACCCUUGCCUUUCUUGAACUUAGUGGUUUUAUUCACCAUCAACACUUGAUGGUCCUUUUUGACUUCUACCUCUGCUGAUUUCAGCAUUGCAAAUACUUUAGGAAUGGUCUUUUCCAUCCCCUGCAUAUUGAAGUUCAUCACAAAGCUCUUGUAGCUUGGUGGAAGCGACUGGAGGAUUCUGUCAAUGACCGCGUCAUCCGGGAGAUUAACUCCCAGCUGAGUCAAGCGGUUAUUUAACCCAGACAUAGUGAGUAUGUGCUCACUGACAGAACUAUUUUCCUCCAUCUUACAGCUGAAGAACUUGUCGGAGACUUCAUAUCUCUCGACCCGGGCAUGAGCUUGGAAAACCAUUUUUAGCUCUUCGAACAUCUCAUAUGCUCCGUGUCGCUCAAAACGCUUUUGGAGCCCCGGUUCUAAGCUGUAAAGCAUGCCGCACUGAACGAGGUAGUAAUCAUCAGCACGUGUCUGCCAAGCGUUCAUAACGUCUUGGUUCUGUGGGACGGGUGCGUCACCUAGCGGUGCUUCUAGGACAUAAUCUUUCUUGGCAGCUUUAUAGUUGCUGCCAUCGUCUUUCAGCUUGGUUUUCUCUAGGAACGCAUUGAAGUUGAGGACAACGUUGGCUAUUUGAUCUACAAGACAUAUUGUAAAUAUUUUAGACUAAGUUCAUGAUAAUUAAGUUCAUCUAAUCAAAUUAUUCAAUGAACUCCCACUUAGAUAGACAUCCCUCCAGUCAUCUAAGUAUAACAUGAUCCGAGUUGACUAGGUCGUGUCCGAUCAUCACGUGAGACGGACUAGUCAACAUCGGUGAACAUCUUCAUGUUGAUCGUAUCUUCUAUACGACUCAUGCUCGACCUUUCGGUCUUCUGUGUUCCGAGGCCAUGUCUGUACAUGCUAGGCUCGUCAAGUCAACCUAAGUGUAUUGCGUGUGUAAAUCUGUCUUACACCCGUUGUAUGUGAACGUUGGAAUCUAUCACACCCGAUCAUCACGUGGUGCUUCGAAACAACGAACUGUCGCAACGGCGCACAGUUAGGGGGAACACUUUCUUGAAAUUAUUAUGAGGGAUCAUCUUAUUUACUACCGUCGUUCUAAGUAAACAAGAUGCAAAAACAUGAUAAACAUCACAUGCAAUCAAAUAAUAAUAGUGACAUGAUAUGGCCAAUAUCACAUAGCUCCUUUGAUCUCCAUCUUGGGGCUCCAUGAUCAUCUUGUCACCGACAUGACACCAUGAUCUCCAUCAUCAUGAUCUCCAUCAUCGUGUCUCCAUGAAGUUGCUAGCCAACUAUUACUUCUACUACUAUGGCUAACGCGUUUAGCAAUAAAUUAAAGUAAUUUACAUGGCGUUUCUCAAUGACACGCAGGUCAUACAAAAAAUAAAGACAACUCCUAUGGCUCCUGCCGGUUGUCAUAAUCAUCGACAUGCAAGUCGUGAUUCCUAUUACAAGAACAUGAUCUCAUACAUCACAUAUAUAUCAUUCAUCAUUCAUCACAACUUUGGCCAUAUCACAUCACAAAUCACUUGCUGCAAAAACAAGUUAGACGUCCUCUAAUUGUUGUUGCAAGUUUUACGUGGCUGCAAAAGGGUUCUAGCAAGAACGUUUUCUUACCUACGUAAUAGCCACAACGUGAUUUGUCAACUUCUAUUUACCCUUCAUAAGGACCCUUUUCAUCGAAUCCGCUCCAAAUAAAGUGGGAGAGACAGAAACCCGCUAGCCACCUAAUGCAACUAGUGCAUGUCAGUCGGUGGAACCAGUCUCACGUAAGCAUACGUGUAAGGUCGGUCCGGGCCGCUUCAUCCCACAAUACCGCUAAAGCAAGAUAAGACUAGUAGCGGCAAGAAAGUUGACAACAUCUACGCCCACAACAAAUUGUGUUCUACUCGUGCAAGGAGAACUACGCAUAAACCUGGCUCUGAUACCACUGUUGGGGAACAUUGCAGAAAACAAAAAAUUUCCUACGAUUUCACCAAGACCCAUCUAUGAGUUCAUCUAGCAACGAGUGAUCGGAUUGCAUCUACAUACCUUUGUAGAUCACGCGCGGAAGCGUUCAAAGAACGGGGAUGAGAAAGUCGUACUCGACGUGAUCCAAAUCACCGGAGGUCCUAGCGCCGAACAGACGGCACCUCCGCGUUCAACACACGUACGGUCAGCGUGACGUCUCCUCCUUCUUGAUCUAGCAAGGGGGAAGGAGAGGUUGAGGAAGAUGGCUCCAGCAGCAGCACGACGGCGUGGUGGUGGUGGAGCAGCAGUACUUCAGCAGGGCUUCGCCAAGCUCGUGACGGAGGAGGAGAUGUGUUGGGGAGGGGAGGGGAUGUGCCUUGGAUGUCCUCUGCAGCCCUCCCCUCACCCCUCUAUUUAUAGGGGAAGGAGGAAGGGGGCCGGCCCCCUCUAGAUGAGAUCUACAGGAGGGGCGGCGGCCAAGGGGAGGGGGGCUUGCCCCCCAAGCAAGGGGGCGCCCCCCCUUAGGGUUUCCCCCAACCCUAUGCGCAUGGGCCCUAGGGGGAGUGGCACCCCAGCCCACUUUGGGGUGGAUACCUUCCUCAUACAGCCCAUAAGGCCCUCCGAGAGAGGUGGCCCCUCCUGGUGGACCCCCGGAACCCCUCCGGUGGCCCCGGUACAAUACUGAUACGCCCCCGAACCUUUCCGGUGACCAUAUGACAACUUCCCAUAUAUAAUUCUUUACCUCCGGAUUAUUCCGGAACUCCUCGUGACGUCCAGGAUCUCAUCCGGGACUCCGAAAAACUUUCGGAUUACUGCAUACUCAUCUAUACAACCCUAGCGUCACCGAACCUUAAGUGUGUAGACCCUACGGGUUUGGGAGACAAGCAUACAUGACCGAGAUGACUCUCUGGUCAAUAACCAACAGCGGGAUCUGGAUACCCAUGUUGGCUCCCACAUGCUCCUCGAUGAUCUCAUCAGAUGAACCACGAUGUCGAGGACCUAAUCAAUCUCGUACUCAAUUCCCAUUGUCAAUCGGUACGUUACUUGCCCGAGACUCGAUCGUCGGUAUCCCAAUACCUUGUUCAGUCUCGUUACCGGCAAGUCACUUUACUCGUACCGUAAUGCAUGAUCCCAUGAUCAACCACUUGAUCACAUUGAGCUCAUUAUGAUGAUGCAUUACCGAGUGGGCCCAGAGAUACCUCUCCGUCAUACGGAGUGACAAAUCCCAGUCUCGAUUUGUGCCAACCCAACAGACACUUUCGGAGAUACCUGUAAUGUACCUUUGUAGUCACCCAGUUACGUUGUGAUGUUUGGCACACCCAAGGCACUCCUACGGUAUCCGGGAGUUGCACAAUCUCAUGGUCUAAGGAAAUGAUACUUGACAUCCAGAAAAGCUAUAGCAAAUGAACUACACGAUCUUUGUGCUUUGCUUAGGUUUGGGUCUUGUCCAUCACAUCAUUCUCCUAAUGAUGUGUUCCCAUUAUCAAUGACAUCCCCAUGUCCAUAGCCAGGAAACCAUGACUAUCUGUUGAUCAACGAGCUAGUCAACUAGAGGCUCACUAGGGACACAUUAUGGUCUAUGUAUUCACACAUGUAUUACGAUUUCCGAACAAUACAAUUAUAGCAUGAAUAAUAGACAAUUAUCAUGAACAAGGAAAUAUAAUCAUCAUUUUAUUAUUGCCUCUAGAGCAUAUUUCCAACAAUGUCACUCUUGGUUCAUUGCACAUCCCGGUACAACGCCGGAGGCAUUCACAUAGAGUCAUAUUUUGUUCUAAGUAUCGAGUUGUAAUUUUUGAGUUGUAAAGUAAAUAAAAGUGUGAUGAUCAUCAUUAUUAGAUCAUUGUCCCAUGUGAGGAAAUGAUGAUGGAGACUAUGAUUCCCCAGAAGUCGGGAUGAGACUCGGGAUGAAAAAGAAAAAAAAGAAAAAAAGAGGCCAUAAAAAGAGAGAAGGCCCAAAAAGAAAAAAUAAUGAGAGAAAAGAGAGAAGGGACAAUGCUAAUAUCCUUUGACCACACUUGUGCUUCAAAGUAGCACCAUGAUCUUCAUGAUAGAGAGUCUCCUAUGUUGUCACUUUCAUAUACUAGUGGGAAUUUUACAUUAUAGAACUUGGCUUGUAUAUUCCAAUGAUGGGCUUCCUCAAAAUGCCCUAGGUCUUCGUGAGCAAGCAAGUUGGAUGCACACCCACUUAGUUUCUUUUUGAGCUUUCAUAUACUUAUAGCUCUAGUGCAUCCGUUGCAUGGCAAUCCCUACUCACUCACAUUGAUAUCUAUUGAUGGGCAUCUCCAUAGCCCGUUGAUACACCUAGUUGAUGUGAGACUAUCUUAUCCUUUUUGUCUUCUCCACAACCACCAUUCUAUUCCACCUAUAGUGCUAUGUCCAUGGCUCACGCUCAUGUAUCGCGUGAAGAUUGAAAAAGUUUGAGAACAUCAAAAGUAUGAAACAAUUGCUUGGCUUGUCAUCGGGGUUGUGCACGAUUUAAAUACUUUGUGUGAUGAAGAUAGAGCAUAGCCAUACUAUAUGAUUUUGUAGGGAUAACUUUCUUUGGCCAUGUUAUUUUGAGAAGACAUCAUUGCUUUGUUAGUAUGCUUGAAGUAUUAUUAUUUUUAUGUCAAUAUUAAACUUUUGUCUUGAAUAUUUCGGAUCUGAACAUUCAUGCCACAAUAAAGAAAAAAUAUAUUGAGAAUUAUGCUAGGUAGCAUUCCACAUCAAAAGUUCUGUUUUUAUCAUUUACCUACUCGAGGACGAGUAGGAAUGAAUCUUGGGAUGCUUCAUACGUCUACAACAUAUCUAUAAUUUGUGAUUGUUCCAUGCUAUUAUAUUAUCUGUUUUGGAUGUUUAAUGGGCUUUAAUAUACAUUUUUAUAUUAUUUUUGGGACUAACCUACUAACCAAAGCCCCAGUGCAAAUUGCUUUUUUUUGCCUAUUUCAGUGUUUCGCAGAAAAGGAAUAUCAAACGGAAUCCAAACGGAAUGAAACCUUCGGGAGAGUUAUUUAUAGAACAAAUGUGAUCCAGGAGACUUGAGUGGAUGUCAAGAAAGAAGCGAGGAGGCCACUGAAGGAAAUAUGCCCUAGAGGCAAUAAUAAAGUUAUUAUUUAUUUCCUUAUAAUCAUGAUAAAUGUUUAUUAUUCAUGCUAGAAUUGUAUUAACCGGAAACAUAAUACAUGUGUGAAUACAUAGACAAACAAAGUGUCACUAGUAUGCCUCUACUUGACUAGCUCGUUAAUCAAAGAUGGUUAUGUUUCCUAACCAUGAACAAUGAGUUGUUAUUUGAUUAACGAGGUCACAUCAUUAGUUGAAUGAUCUGAUUGACAUGACCCGUUCCAUUAGCUUAGCAACCGAUCGUUUAGUAUGUUGCUAUUGCUUUCUUCAUGACUUAUACAUGUUCCUAUAACUAUGAGAUUAUGCAACUCCCGUUUGCCGGAGGAACACUUUGGGUGCUACCAAACGUCACAAUCUAACUGGGUGAUUAUAAAGGAGCAUUACAGGUGUCUCCAAAGGUAGAUGUUGGGUUGGCAAAUUUCGAGAUUAGGAUUUGUCACUCCGAUUGUCGGAGAGGUAUCUCUGGGCCCUCUCGGUAAUGCACAUCACAUAAGCCUUGCAAGCAUUGCAACUAAUGAGUUAGUUGCGAGAUGAUGUAUUACAAAACGAGUAAAGAGACUGGUUGGUAACGAGAUUGAACUAGGUAUUGUAUAUCGACGAUCGAAUCUCGGGCAAGUAACAUACCGAUGACAAAGGGAACAACGUAUGUUGUUAUGCGGUCUGACCGAUAAAGAUCUUCGUAGAAUAUGUAGGAGCCAAUAUGGGCAUCCAGGUCCCGCUAUUGGUUAUUGACCAGAGACGUGUCUCGGUCAUGUCUACAUUGUUCUCGAACCCGUAGGGUCCGCACGCUUAAGGUUACGAUGACAGUUAUAUUAUGAGUUUAUGCAUUUUGAUGUACCGAAGGUUGUUCGGAGUCCCGGAUGUGAUCACGGACAUGACGAGGAGUCUCGAAAUGGUCGAGACGUAAAGAUUGAUAUAUUGGAAGCCUAUGUUUGGAUAUCGGAAGUGUUCCGGGUGAAAUCGGGAUUUUACCGGAGUACCGGGANNNNNNNNNNNNNNNNNNNNNNNNNNNNNNNNNNNNNNNNNNNNNNNNNNNNNNNNNNNNNNNNNNNNNNNNNNNNNNNNNNNNNNNNNNNNNNNNNNNNNNNNNNNNNNNNNNNNNNNNNNNNNNNNNNNNNNNNNNNNNNNNNNNNNNNNNNNNNNNNNNNNNNNNNNNNNNNNNNNNNNNNNNNNNNNNNNNNNNNNNNNNNNNNNNNNNNNNNNNNNNNNNNNNNNNNNNNNAAGGUGGCCGCGCGCCUCCCCCUCCCCCUAGUCCUAUUAGGACUAGGAGAGGUGGUCGGCCCCCCUUCUCUCUCUUCCCCCCUCGGGGAAUCCUAGUCCAACUAGGAUUGGGGGGGGAGUCCUACUCCCGGAAGGAGAAGGACUCCUCCUGCGCCCUCCUCCUGGCCGGCGCCCCCCUCCCCCUUGGCUCCUUUAUAUACUAAGGCAGAGGCACCCCAGAAACACACAAGUUGAUCCACGUGAUCUAUUCCUUAGCCGUGUGCGGUGCCCCCAGCCACCAUAUUCAUCGAUAAUACUGUAGCGGAGUUUAGGCGAAGCCCUACUGCUGUAGUGCAUCAAGAUCGUCACCACGCCGUCGUGCUGACGGAAUUCUUCCCCGACACUUUCCUGGAUCGGAGUCCGGGGAUCGUCAUCGAGCUGAACGUGUGCUCGAACUCGGAGGUGCCGUAGUUUCGGUGCUUGAUCGGUUGGAUCGCGAAGACGUACGACUACUUCCUCUACGUUGUGUCAACGCUUCCGCAGUCGGUCUGCGUGGGUACGUAGAAAGCACUCUCCCCUCUCGUUGCUAUGCAUCACCAUGAUCUUGCGUGUGCGUAGGAAUUUUUUUGAAAUUACUACGAAACCCAAAAGUCGCAUCCGUGCCUAGGUUAUUUAUGUUGAUGUUAUAUGCACGAGUAGAACACAAGUGAGUUGUGGGCGAUAUAAGUCAUACUGCCUACCAGCAUGUCAUACUUUGGUUCGGCGGCAUUGUUGGACGAGACGACCCGGACCAACCUUACGCGUACGCUUACGCGAGACCGGUUCCCCCGACGUGCUUUGCACACAGGUGGCUUGCGGGCGACUGUCUCUCCAACUUUAGUUGAACCAAGUAUGGCUACGCCCGGUCCUUGCGAAGGUUAAAACGGAGUCUAUUUGACAAACUAUCGUUGUGGUUUUGAUGCGUAGGUGAGAUUGGUUCUUGCUUAAAGCCCGUAGCAGCCACAUAAAACUUGCAACAACAAAGUAGAGGACGUCUAACCUGUUUUUGCAGGGCAUGUUGUGAUGUGAUAUGGUCAAGACAUGAUGCUGAAUUUUAUUGUAUGAGAUGAUCAUGUUUUGUAACCGAGUUAUCGGCAACUGGCAGGAGCCUUAUGGUUGUCGUUUUAUUGUAUGCAAUGAAAACGCGAUGUAAUGAUUUACUUUAUUACUAAGCGGUAGUGAUAGUCGUGGAAGCAUAAACUUGGCGAGACGACAACGAUGCUAUGAUGGAGAUCAAGGUGUCACGCCGGUGAUGAUGGUGAUCACGACGGUGCUUCGGAGAUGGAGAUCACAAGCACAAGAUGAUGAUGGCCAUAUCAUAUCACUUAUAUUGAUUGCAUGUGAUGUUUAUCCUUUUAUGCAUCUUAUCUUGCUUUGAUUGACGGUAGCAUUAUAAGAUGAUUUCUCACUAAAUUACCAAGAAGUGUUCUCCCUGAGUAUGCACCGUUGUGAAAGUUCUUCGUGCUGAGACACCACGUGAUGAUCGGGUGUGAUAGGUUCUACGUUCAAAUACAACGGGUGCAAAACAGUUGCCCACGCGGAAUACUCAGGUUAUACUUGACGAGCCAAGCAUAUACAGAUAUGGCCUCAGAACACGGAGACUGAAAGGUCGAGCGUGAAUCAUAUAGUAGAUAUGAUCAACAUAACGAUGUUCACCAUUGAAAACUACUCCAUCUCACGUGAUGAUCGGUUAUGGUUUAGUUGAUUUGGAUCACGUAAUCACUUAGAGGAUUAGAGGGAUGUCUAUCUAAGUGGGAGUUCUUUAAUUAAUUUGAUUAACUGAACUUAAAUUUAUCAUGAAACUUAGUACCUAAUUAGUAUCUUGCUUGUUUAUGUUUGAUUGUAGAUAGAUGGCUCGUGUUGUUGUUCCGUUGAAUUUUAAUGCGUUCCUUGAGAAAGCAAAGUUGAAAGAUGAUGGUAGCAAUUACACGGACUAGGUCCGUAACUUGAGGAUUAUCCUCAUUGCUGCACAGAAGAAUUACGUCCUGGAAGUACCACUGGGUGCCAGGCCUGCUGCAGGAGCAACGCCGGAUGUUAUGAACGUCUGGCAGAGCAAAGCUGAUGACUACUCAAUAGUUCAGUGUGCCAUGCUUUACGGCUUAGAAUCGGGACUUCAACGACGUUUUGAACGUCAUGGAGCAUAUGAGAUGUUCCAGGAGUUGGAGUUAAUGUUUCAAGCAAAUGCCCAGAUUGAGAGAUAUGAAGUCUCCAAUAAGUUCUAUAGCUGCAAGAUGGAGGAGAACAGUUCUGUCAGUGAGCAUAUACUCAAAAUGUCUGGGUAUAAUAAUCACUUGAUUCAAUUGGGAGUUAAUCUUCCAGAUGAUUGCGUCAUUGACAGAAUUCUUCAAUCACUGCCACCAAGCUACAAGAGCUUCGUGAUGAACUAUAAUAUGCAAGGGAUGAACAAGACUAUUCCCGAGCUCUUCGCGAUGCUGAAAGCUGCGGAGGUAGAAAUCAAGAAGGAGCAUCAAGUGUUGAUGGUCAACAAGACCACUAGUUUCAAGAAAAAGGGCAAAGGGAAGAAGAAGGGGAACUUCAAAAAGAACGGCAAGCAAGUUGCUACUCAAGAGAAGAAACCCAAACCUGGACCUAAGCCUGAAACUGAGUGUUUCUAUUGCAAGCAGACUGGUCACUUGAAGCGGAACUGCCCCAAGUAUUUGGCAGAUAAGAAGGAUGGAAAGGUGAACAAAGGUAUAUGUGAUAUACAUGUUAUUGAUGUGUACCUUACUAAUGCUCGCAGUAGCACCUGGGUAUUUGAUACUGGUUCUGUUGCUAAUAUUUGCAACUCGAAACAGGGACUACGGAUCAAGCGAAGAUUGGUUAAGGACGAGGUGACGAUGCGCGUGGGAAACGGUUCCAAAGUCGAUGUGAUCGCAGUCGGCACACUACCUCUACAUCUACCUUCGGGAUUAGUAUUAGACCUAAAUAAUUGUUAUUUGGUGCCAGCGUUAAGCAUGAACAUUAUAUCUGGAUCUUGUUUGAUGCGAGACGGUUAUUCAUUUAAAUCAGAGAAUAAUGGUUGUUCUAUUUAUAUGAGUAAUAUCUUUUAUGGUCAUGCACCCUUGAAGAGUGGUCUAUUCUUGUUGAAUCUCGAUAGUGGUAACACACAUAUUCAUAAUGUUGAAGCCAAAACAUGUAGAGUUGAUAAUGAGAGUGCAACUUAUUUGUGGCACUGCCGUUUAGGUCAUAUCGGUGUAAAGCGCAUGAAGAAACUCCAUUCUGAUGGACUUUUGGAACCACUUGAUUAUGAAUCACUUGGUACUUGCGAACCGUGCCUUAUGGGCAAGAUGACAAAACACCGUUCUCCGGUACUAUGGAGGGAGCAACAGAUUUGUUGGAAAUCAUACAUACAUAUGUAUGUGGUCCGAUGAAUAUUGAGGCUCGUGGCGGAUAUCAUUAUUUUCUCACCUUCACAGAUGAUUUAAGCAGAUAUGGGUAUAUCUACUUAAUGAAACAUAAGUCUGAAACAUUUGAAAGGUUCAAGGAAUUUCAGAGUGAAGUUGAAAAUCAUCGUAACAAGAAAAUAAAGUUUCUACGAUCUGAUCGUGGAGGAGAAUAUUUGAGUUACGAGUUUGGUGUACAUUUGAAAAAUUGUGGAAUAGUUUCGCAACUCACGCCACCCGGAACACCACAGCGUAAUGGUGUGUCUGAAUGUCGUAAUCGUACUUUACUAGAUAUGGUGCGAUCUAUGAUGUCUCUUACUGAUUUACCGCUAUCGUUUUGGGGAUACGCUCUAGAGACGGCCGCAUUCACUUUAAAUAGGGCACCAUCAAAAUCCGUUGAGACGACGCCUUAUGAACUGUGGUUUGGCAAGAAACCAAAGUUGUCGUUUCUGAAAGUUUGGGGCUGCGAUGCUUAUGUGAAAAAGCUUCAACCUGAUAAGCUCGAACCCAAAUCGGAGAAAUGUGUCUUCAUAGGAUAUCCAAAGGAAACUAUUGGAUACACCUUCUAUCACAGAUCUGAAGGCAAGACUUUUGUUGCUAAAUUCGGAAACUUUCUAGAGAAGGAGUUUCUCUCGAAAGAAGUGAGUGGGAGGAAAGUAGAACUUGACGAGGUAACUGUACCUGCUCCCUUAUUGGAAAGUAGUACAUCACAGAAAAUUGUUUCAGUGACACCUACACCAGUUAGUGAGGAAGCUAAUGAUAAUGAUCAUGAAACUUCAGAUCAAGAUACUGCUGAACCUCGUAGAUCAACCAGAGUAAGAUCCGCACCAGAGUGGUACGGUAAUCCUGUUCUGGAAGUCAUGCUACUAGAUCAUGAUGAACCUGCGAACUAGGAAGAAGCGAUGGUGAGCCCAGAUUCCGCAAAAUGGCUUGAAGCCAUGAAAUCUGAGAUGGGAUCCAUGUAUGAGAACAAAGUAUGGACUUUGGUUGACUUGCCCGAUGAUCGGUAAGCAAUUGAGAAUAAAUGGAUCUUCAAGAAGAAGACUGACGCUGACGGUAAUGUUACUGUCUACAAAGCUCGACUUGUCGCAAAAGGUUUUCGACAAGUUCAAGGGGUUGACUACGAUGAGACCUUCUCACCCGUAGCGAUGCUUAAGUCUGUCCGAAUCAUGUUAGCAAUUGCCGCAUUUUAUGAUUAUGAAAUUUGGCAAAUGGAUGUCAAAACUGCAUUCCUGAAUGGAUUUCUGGAAGAAGAGUUGUAUAUGAUGCAACCAGAAGGUUUUGUCGAUCCAAAAGGAGCUAACAAAGUGUGCAAGCUCCAGCGAUCCAUUUAUGGACUGGUGCAAGCCUCUCGGAGUUGGAAUAAAUGCUUUGAUAGUGUGAUCAAAGCAUUUUGUUUUAUACAGACUUUCGGAGAAGCCUGUAUUUACAAGAAAGUGAGUGGGAGCUCUGUAGCAUUUCUGAUAUUAUAUGUGGAUGACAUAUUACUGAUUGGAAAUGAUAUAGAAUUUCUGGAUAGCAUAAAGAGAUACUUGAAUAAGAGUUUUUCAAUGAAAGACCUCGGUGAAGCUGCUUACAUACUAGGCAUAAAGAUCUAUAGAGAUAGAUCAAGACGCUUAAUUGGACUUUCACAAACAACAUACCUUGACAAAAUUUUGAAGAAGUUCAAAAUGGAUCAAGCAAAGAAAGGAUUCUUGCCUGUGUUACAAGGUGUGAAAUUGAGUAAGACUCAAUGCCCGACCACUGCAGAAGAUAGAGAGAAUAUGAAAGAUGUUCCCUAUGCAUCAGCGAUAGGAUCUAUCAUGUAUGCAAUGUUGUGUACCAGACCUGAUGUGUGCCUUGCUAUAAGUCUAGCAGGGAGGUACCAAAGUAAUCCAGGAGUGGAUCACUGGACAACCGUCAAGAACAUCCUGAAAUACAUGAGAAGGACUAAGGAUAUGUUUCUCGUAUAUGGAGGUGACAAAGAGCUCGACGUAAAUGGUUACGUUGAUGCAAGCUUUGACACUGAUCCGGACGAUUCUAAAUCGCAAACCGGAUACGUGUUUACAUUAAACGGUGGAGCUGUCAGUUGGUGCAGUUCUAAACAAAGCGUCGUAGUGGGAUCUACAUGUGAAGCGGAGUACAUAGCUGCUUCGGAAGCAGCGAACGAAGGAGUCUGGAUGAAGGAGUUCAUAUCCGAUCUAGGUGUCAUAUCUAGUGCAUCGGGUCCAAUGAAAAUCUUUUGUGACAAUACUGGUGCAAUUGCCUUGGCAAAGGAAUCCUGAUUUCACAAGAGAACCAAGCACAUCAACAGACGCUUCAAUUCCAUCCAGGAUCUAGUCCAGGUGGGAGACAUAGAGAUUUGCAAGAUACAUACGGAUCUGAAUGUUGCAGACCCGUUGACUAAGCCUCUUCCACGAGCAAAACAUGAUCAGCACCAAGGCUCCAUGGGUGUUAGAAUCAUCACAGUGUAAUCUAGAUUAUUGACUCUAGUGCAAGUGGGAGACUGAAGUAAAUAUGCCCUAGAGGCAAUAGUAAAGUUAUUAUUUAUUUCCUUAUAAUCAUGAUAAAUGUUUAUUAUUCAUGCUAGAAUUGUAUUAACCGGAAACAUAAUACAUGUGUGAAUACAUAGACAAACAAAGUGUCACUAGUAUGCCUCUACUUGACUAGCUCGUUAAUCAAAGAUGGUUAUGUUUCCUAACCAUGAACAAUGAGUUGUUAUUUGAUUAACGAGGUCACAUCAUUAGUUGAAUGAUCUGAUUGACAUGACCCGUUCCAUUAGCUUAGCACCCGAUCGUUUAGUAAGUUGCUAUUGCUUUCUUCAAGACUUAUACAUGUUCCUAUAACUAUGAGAUUAUGCAACUCCCGUUUGCCGGAGGAACACUUUGGAUGCUACCAAACGUCACAACGUAACUGGGUGAUUAUAAAGGAGCAUUACAGGUGUCUCCAAAGGUAGAUGUUGGGUUGGCGUAUUUCGAGAUUAGGGUUUGUCACUCCGAUUGUCGGAGAGGUAUCUCUGGGCCCUCUCGGUAAUGCACAUCACAUAAGCCUUGCAAGCAUUGCAAUUAAUGAGUUAGUUGUGAGAUGAUAUAUUACAGAACGAGUAAAGAGACUUGCCGGUAACGAGAUUGAACUAGGUAUUGGAUACCGACGAUCGAAUCUCGGGCAAGUAACAUACCGAUGACAAAGGGAACAACGUAUGUUGUUAUGCGGUCUGACCGAUAAAGAUCUUCGUAGAAUAUGUAGGAGCCAAUAUGGUCAUCCAGGUCUGGCUAUUGGUUAUUGACCGGAGACGUGUCUCAGUCAUGUCUACAUUGUUCUCGAACCCGUAGGGUCCGCACGCUUAAGGUUACGAUGACAGUUAUAUUAUGAGUUUAUGCAUUUUGAUGUACCGAAGGUUGUUCGGAGUCCCGGAUGUGAUCACGGACAUGAUGAGGAGUCUCGAAAUGGUCGAGACGUAAAGAUUGAUAUAUUGGAAGCCUAUGUUUGGAUAUCGGAAGUGUUCCGGGUGAAAUCGGGAUUUUACCGGAGUACCGGGAGGUUACCGGAACCCCCCNNNNNNNNNNNNNNNNNNNNNNNNNNNNNNNNNNNNNNNNNNNNNNNNNNNNNNNNNNNNNNNNNNNNNNNNNNNNNNNNNNNNNNNNNNNNNNNNNNNNNNNNNNNNNNNNNNNNNNNNNNNNNNNNNNNNNNNNNNNNNNNNNNNNNNNNNNNNNNNNNNNNNNNNNNNNNNNNNNNNNNNNNNNNNNNNNNNNNNNNNNNNNNNNNNNNNNNNNNNNNNNNNNNNNNNNNNNNNNNNNNNNNNNNNNNNNNNNNNNNNNNAAGGAGAAAGGGGCAGCCCAAGGUGGCCGCGCGCCUCCCCCCUUCCCCUAGUCCUAUUAGGACUAGGAGAGGUGGCCGGCCCCCCUUCUCUCUCUUUCCCCCUCGGGGAAUCCUAGUCCAACUAGGAUUGGGGGGGAGUCCUACUCCCGGAAGGAGAAGGACUCCUCCUGCGCCCUCCUCCUGGCCGGCGCCCCCUCCCCCUUGGCUCCUUUAUAUACUAAGGCAGAGGCACCCCAGAAACACAUAAGUUGAUCCACGUGAUCUAUUCCUUAGCCGUGUGCGGUGCCCCCAGCCACCAUAUUUCUCGAUAAUACUGUAGCGGAGUUUAGGCGAAGCCCUGCUGCUGUAGUGCAUCAAGAUCGUCACCACGCCGUUGUGCUGACGGAAUUCUUCCCCAACACUUUGCUGGAUCGGAGUCUGGGGGUCGUCAUCGAGCUGAACGUGUGCUCGAACUCGGAGGUGCCGUAGUUUCGGUGCUUGAUCGGUUGGAUCGCGAAGACGUACGACUACUUCCUCUACGUUGUGUCAACGCUUCCGCAGUCGGUCUGCGUGGGUACGUAGACAGCACUCUCCCCUCUCAUUGCUAUGCAUCACCAUGAUCUUGCGUGUGCGUAGGAAAUUUUUUGAAAUUACUACGAAACCCAACAGCCACGAGGCAGGACGGCGCACCUAGGGGGUAGGCCCGCCCUCCACACUCGUGGGCCCCUUGCAGCUCCACUGACGUACUUCUUCCUCCUAUAUAUACCCAUAUACCGCGAAAACAUCCAGGAGCACCACGAAACCCUAUUUCCAUCGCCACAACCUUCUGUACCCGUGAGAUCCCAUCUUGGGGCCUUUUUCGACGCUCCGCCGGAGGGGGAAUUGAUCAUGGAGGGCUUCUACAUCAACACCAUAGCCUCUCCGAUGAUGUGUGAGUAGUUUACCACAGACCUUCGGGUCCAUAGUUAUUAGCUAGAUGGCUUCUUCUCUCUCUUUGGAUCUCAAUACAAAGUUCUCCUCGAUUCUCUUGGAGAUCUAUUCGAUGUAAUUUCUUUUUGCGGUGUGUUUGUCGAUAUCCGAUGAAUUGUGGGUUUAAUCAAGAUUAUCUAUGAACAAUAUUUGAUUCUUCUCUGAAUUCUUUUAUGCAUGAUUUAAAUAUCUUUGCAAGUCUCUUCGAAUUAUCAAUUUGGUUUGGCCUACUAGAUUGAUCUUUCUUGCAAUGGGAGAAGUGCUUAGCUUUGGGUUCAAUCUUGCGGUGUCCUUUCCCAGUGACAGCAGGGGCAGCAAGGCACGUAUUGUAUUAUUGACAUCGAGGAUAAAAAGAUGGGGUUUAUAUCAUAUUGCUUCAGUUUAUUCCUCUACAUCAUGUCGUCUUGCCUAAUGUGUUACUCUGUUCUUAUGAACUUAAUACUCUAGAUGCAUGCUGGAUAGCGGUCGAUGUGUGGAGUAGUAGUAGUAGAUGCAGAAUCGUUUAGGUCUACUUGUCGCGGACGUGAUGCCUAUAUACAUGAUCAUGCCUAGAUAUUCUCAUAAUUAUUCGAUUUUCUAUCAAUUGCUCGACAGUAAUUUGUUCACCCACCGUAGAAUUUGCUAUCUUGAGAGAAGCCACUAGUGAAACCUAUGGCCCCCGGGUCUAUCUUCCAUCAUAUCUAUUUUCUAUUUCUAUCAUAGUUUAUUUUUGCAAUCUUUACUUUCCAAUCUAUACCAUAAAAAAUACCAAAAAUAUUUAUCUUAUUAUCUCUACAGAUCUCACUUUGUAAGUGACCGUGAAGGGAUUGACAACCCCUUUAUCGCGUUCGUUGCAAGGUUCUUGUUUGUUUGUGCAGGUACUAGGCAAAUUUCGUGUUACCUCCUACAGGAUUGAUACCUUGAUUCUCAAAAACUGAGGGGGAAAUACUUACGCUAUUGUGCUGCAUCACCCUUUCCUCUUCAAGGGAAAACCAACGCUUGCUCAAGAGUUAGCAGAUGCCAAUUCAAAUAAUCAUCAAAAUAAUUCUCCUACACGCGUUAUUCAGAUGGAGAAGAAGCGGUUGGCGUGGACAUUUCGUUUCUUAUCGAUGUCCAAGAGAAAAGCUACUAGGAAGUUCGUCCGCGCGGUGGAUUAUAAGUUUAAGUCUGUUACAUGAUACGUCCAUUUUGUAUCAUGUUUUCUUACUAUUAUUUAUAAUGUUUUAUCCAUAAUAAUGCUUUUUGGAGUAAUUCUAAUGUCUUUUCUCUCAUAAUUUGCAGUGUACACACAAAGAGGGAGAAUUUCGGCAGCUGGAAAUCUUGACCUGGGAAAGCUACAUCAGGCUACCUAUUCUGCACAACUCCAAACAAGCUGAAACUUGACAAUGAUUUUUUAUGGAAUAUAUAAGAAAUACUGGAGGAAAUAACUACCAUAGGGGGCCCAUCAGGUGGGCACAACCCACCUGGGCACGCUAGGGAGCCCAGGCAUGCCCUGGUGGGUUGUGCUCACCCAGGCCCACCUCUGGUGCCCAUCUUCUGGUAUAUAAGUCAUUUUAACCUAGAAAAAAUAAGGAUAAGGCUUUUGGGACGGAGCGCUGCCGUCUCGAGGCGGAACUUGGGCAGGAGCACUUUUGCCCUCCGGCGGAGCGAUUCCGCCNNNNNNNNNNNNNNNNNNNNNNNNNNNNNNNNNNNNNNNNNNNNNNNNNNNNNNNNNNNNNNNNNNNNNNNNNNNNNNNNNNNNNNNNNNNNNNNNNNNNNNNNNNNNNNNNNNNNNNNNNNNNNNNNNNNNNNNNNNNNNNNCAUCGUCCUCAUCAUCACCAACAACUCUCCCAUCUUGGGGAGGGUUAUCUCCAUCAACAUCUUCAACAACACCAUCUCAUCUCAAACCCUAGUUCAUCUCUUGUGUUCAAUCUUGUUACCGGAACUAUAGAUUGGUGCUUGUGGGUGACUGGUAGUGUUGAUUACAUCUUGUAGUUGAUUACUAUAUGGUUUAUUUGGUGGAAGAUUAUAUGUUCAGAUCCAUUAUGCUAUUUAAUACUCCUCUGAGCAUGAGCAUGUUUAUCAUUUGUGAGUAGUUACUUUCGUUCUUGAGGUUACGGGAGAAAUCAUGUUCCAAGUAAUCCUGUGAACUUCAUAUGUGUUCGAUAUUUUGAUAUUAUGUAUGUUGUGAUUCCCUUAGUGGUGCCAUAUUUGAACGUCGACUACAUGACACUUCACCAUAUUUGGGCCUAAGCGAAUGCAUUGUGGAGUAGCAAUUAGAUGAUGGGUUGCUAGAGUGACAGAAACUUAAAUCCCAGUUUAUGCGCUAUUCCGUAAGGGACCGAUUGGAUCCAAAAGUUUAAUGCUAUGGCUAGAAUUUAUUCAUAAUACUUUUCUCAUAGUUGCGGAUGCUUGCGGGAGGGUUAAUCAUAAGUAGGAGGUUUGUUCAAGUAAGAACAUCACCUAAGCACCGGUCCACCCACAUAUCAAAUUAUCAAAGUAGCGAACACAAAUCGAACCAACAUGACAAAAGUGACUAGAUGAAAAUCCCGUGUAGCCUCAAGAACGCUUUGCUUAUCAUAAGAGACCGUUUUGGCCUGUCCUUUUGCCUCAAAAGGAUUGGGAUACCUUGCUGCACUUUUGUCACUACUAUUGUUACUUGUUACAAAUUAUCUUGCUAUCAAACUACUUUGCUACUUACAAUUUCAGCACUUGCAAACAUUACCUUACUGAAAACUACUUGUCAUUUCCUUCUGCUCCUUGUUGGGUUUGACACUCUUACUUAUCGAAAAGAGCUAUAAUUGAUCCCCUAUACUUGUGGGUCAUCAUUACAACAUCCAAUCAUCCAUAUAAUCUCUGUGUUUCUUCUGUUUUCUACCAGUCAUAUUUCAUAUGUGCAUCAGAGGAAAAAUGCUUUCAGCGGGCAUGUUGGAGUGCACAUACCAAGUUCCCAGAUUGCAAAUAUGAUCCUGGGCUCCUAGCCAUUAAUAUGUUUAAUUCCACAUUUUCUUCAUCUAAUUUCUAAAUGACUAGACAACCUGUUAUACUCUUAUAGAAUUAUGAGCCGCCCAAACCAUGUUUCUCUUGGUCUAAUUUCUAAAUGAUAAUGUGCAACAUCUAUCUCCUUGUGAACCUUUUUUUUCUUCCGACUGUAUCCCCUGGUGAACCUAUCUUACGAUAAGAUUUUUUAGGGCAUUUUUUGAUGAUUUUUUCCUAUAGCCCUUAAAUAAAAUCAAAUAAAAUCAAGUGCAACUCACAGUAAGUUUUCUGCUCCUAGCUAGUUGUAAAGAACAAGUUCAAUUCAGUCUGAUUUAGUUCUUGACAUGACCGUGCUGCCAGCAACUCCUUUUCUCUAGCUAGCACAAUAAUUGUACUUGUUUGAUGUAAAGGACAUAAAUACAAAGAAAUAAAUUGGAAGCUUAUUUCAAAUUAACUAGCUAGUGGUGUUUGUGAAGUUCAAGAAAAAUCUAGUCUUUUUCUCGACAAAUAAGUUGACAUGCAAGGAAUCAAUGAAUGUAUUUGCAAGAAAGCAAACAUAAUUAUCGAUAAAAUUGGUUGUGAUUGUCACUAUAGACAAUGGUAGUAGCUAAUUGGAACUAGAUACAAACCAAUAAAAAACAAGAUCUCAAAUCUCCAACCAAUAAAGAGUUCAACCCAAAUUUUACAAUUACACUAUUAUAUUUAAAUAGUGAUUAUUGUAAUACAUGGCUAAUUAAUUAAUGCACUAGGUUGCGCUUGUGACCAGGCAAGACAAACUUAUGAACUUGCAUGCAUGGCAAUCAGAUCGACAUCCACACAAUGCCGAUAUGAACAUUUUCUUAAUACACCUUUAUUUGUAUUUUAUUUCAGAAUUUAAACAACUAGUUUGAGCGGGUCACACAUGACGUUGUGUGACACUUUAUUUGUCACCGCUACAUUGACAUAUCCAUCGACUAAACAACGGUGAUCCAACUAUAUAUUACUAGAGAUCUUUUCUUAUCAGUAGACACCAACUCCGAUGCCAACGCCUAAUGGCACACUAGUGGUGGUUUCGUACAACGGCACAUUGACACUGCACAUUGUUGGCAGGGUACGGAGUGCAAUGGAAGUCAUCACCUCAAGCUGAGCUAUCUGGUGUGGCUGCAAAAAGGUACCAUGUGCCAAUUGUUGUUGUUGAGGUUGUUGCCCGAGUUGCUGCUGCAACUGCUGUUGGGGUUGGGAGACACAUUGGCCCAACUGUUGGGGUUGUUGUUGCUGAUAUUGGAUGAUACUCUGACCCUGUUGUUGUUGUUGUUGUUGCUGCUGCUGCUGCUGCAGGAUGAUAGAGUAGAUGAUAGCACGGAUUGACUCAUGGCGGGAUUGCUCGGGGAUUUGCCGCAACUGCUGGCAACAUUGUUGCUGCAUCACAUGGCAAAUGCUCUGCUGCAACAUUUGUGACCUAGCAAGACAUCGCUGCAUUGCCACAGGGAUGCACUGCUGCUGGAGGAAUACCUUGCAUGGGUUUAGCUGCUGCAAAACAGAUGGAUGAAUAACUGGUAUUUGUUGUUGCUGUGAAAAUGGUGGUUGUUGUUGCUGCGAAAAUGGUGGUUGUUGCUGCUGUGAAAUUGGUGGCUGUUGUGAAAAUGGUGGUUGUUGUUGCUGUGUAAAUGGUUGUUGUUGUUGUUGUUGCUGCUGCUGCUGCUGUGAAAUUGGUGGCUGUUGUGAAAACGAUGGUUGUUGUUGCUGUGUAAAUGGUGGUUGUUGUUGUUGCUGCAAAAAUGGUGGUUGUUGUUGCUGCGAAAAUGGUNNNNNNNNNNNNNNNNNNNNNNNNNNNNNNNNNNNNNNNNNNNNNNNNNNNNNNNNNNNNNNNNNNNNNNNNNNNNNNNNNNNNNNNNNNNNNNNNNNNNNNNNNNNNNNNNNNNNNNNNNNNNNNNNNNNNNNNNNNNNNNNNNNNNNNNNNNNNNNNNNNNNNNNNNNNNNNNNNNNNNNNNNNNNNNNNNNNNNNNNNNNNNNNNNNNNNNNNNNNNNNNNNNNNNNNNNNNNNNNNNNNNNNNNNNNNNNNNNNNNNNNNNNNNNNNNNNNNNNNNNNNNNNNNNNNNNNNNNNNNNNNNNNNNNNNNNNNNNNNNNNNNNNNNNNNNNAAUUGUGGUUGUUGUUGCUGUGAAAAUGGUGGUUGUUGCUGCUGUGAAAUUGGUGGCUGUUGUGAAAACGGUGGUUGUUGUUGCUGCAAAAAUGGUGGUUGUUGUUGUUGUUGCGAAAAUGGUGAUUGCUGUUGCUGCGAAAAUGGUGGUUGUUGUUGCUGUGAAAAUGGUGGUUGUUGUUGUUGCUGUGAAAUUUGCGCAACGGCACUUGCCGCCGCAAGAGCGAGGAGGGCAAAGACGAGGAAGGUCUUCAUUGUGGAUUGGUGUUAACUAGUGUUGUUUGGCUUUGAUGCUUGUGCUUGUGAUGAUCUUUAUACUUCAUGCCUAUUUAUAGUUGCCGGGACACCACCUCUUUUCCUUCUUUGCACCGGCUUUAAUAAUUCUGUUUGGAUGCAUCUGAAAUGAAUUUUUUGGUACAUUGUGUUGGGUUGCACUAGCUACAAAAGCGUACUUUUGGAUUCAUCAUCAAAGUUGCCUUUUAGUUGUGCAUAUGAUCAUACACAAAGUACAGAAACCUCGAUGUUUGGUACAUAUGACUCACCUUAUUAACUUUACAUGUCACGCACUUAUCAGGAUAGUAUCACUUUUGCAACCGAGUUUGGAACCUUGUAUAGGCUGUCAGCCGUAAACAAGAAAGGCAAAGUUUGUGUAGGACUAAGUUUGCAAUCGUGUGUGGGCUGUUAAGAUAUGCUCGAUUAUUGAAGUCUUGCGUGUGGAGGGUUCUUCUAGACUCGGUUGCUUUUUAUAAAACUAACUUUGUAUUUUCCUCUAAGAUGAUAAGAUGAACUGACGCCUACAGAGCAUGACAUGACUCAUCAAAUGCCCUUUACAUGUAAAUGAUGGUAGUUGCUUACAAGCUACUCCCACUAGCAUAUAUCCGGUCCUAACUCUAGACACGUCAUCAUUAGUUCCAUCUUCUGAUUUUUUGAGAUAAAUCAUCAGUUCCAUCUGUAUGUGAAGGAAUUUUUUUUGGGUGAAGGGAAAUGAUAGGUGGGGCUGGAACAGAGGCCCACAGCCUCGAGCGAGUUAUUAGGCCCAAUAUAAGAGUUGUGUGUUAGGCCACCAAAUUAGAAUUGGGCUAUAGUUUUCGGAGGCCUCAACGUCACAAGCCUAGCCCACACUCGGCCGAUCUGCAUCGUCUUCAUCUCCCCCUCCCCGUCCUCCUCGCCGGCCGGACCACUCGCCGGCGCAGCCUCUCCCGCACCCCGCCGCCCGCGGCUGCUCCACGUACGUGCGCGGCGGCGGAGGCGUCAGCAGCCUCCCUUCCAUGCUCAGCAUCUGAAGAAAGUCCGUCUUCGGUGCCGCGAUAUCCAAGUUAGUUAUAGCAUCCAGUCAUCUGUAUAAUCUCAGUAUUUAUUCUGUUUUGUACUGUCGUAUUUCAUAUGUUCGUCAGAGGAGAUGUGCUUUCUAGAGGCAUGUUGCAGCUGGCCGAGUCCGAGAUCUCAUUUCAUUUAUAUGGCCAUAGGCAGCGAUCAAUAAAAGGGCACUGGAAUUUAUCUUCCAACGCCACUGUUGUUCUAGCUCUCUGUCUUUACUUUUGCUGCUUCUGUUGUAUGGCUACAAAGUUAGGCUUCAUCUGAUUUUAGUUAGUUAAUCUGAUCUUGUUAACCUGAUAAAGAGAAUUCCACCCUGCCCUUUAUUCUGCUUCUGCUUUUCACUGUCUCACAAUAACGCAACAUAUUAAGCUCACCAAAUUGUAUCCCUCAAAAAUAAAAAUGCUCGCCAAUUUGUAUCACAUUCUCAUACAUGUAUUUCAUCGCGGAAUCACAGGAGAUUGUCAAGUUGUGUUUUACCAUAUCAGUGUAUCAUUUGCUCAUAUGAGCAAGAGAUGGUCACCUGCCAGCUUAUUUUGUUCAUAUCUGAGAUCGAUCAUGCCUCCAUUGUAUGGUUAAGAAGUUAGGUUUCAUCCGAUUUUAGUUUGUUAAGCUGAUCUCGUUAAACUAAUAAUAAGAACUCCAUACAGUCGUUUAUUCUGAUCUUCAUUGCCUCACAAUAAUAAGAGAACCUAUUAAGCUCGUCGAAAUUGUAUCUCAUACUCAUACACAUAUCUUUGAUCAUCGAAUAACAUAAAUUAUCAUAUCAGUGCAAAAGUAUAUAUCAUUUGUCCAUAAUCCAUAUGCACAAGAGAUAAUUAUCUGCCAGGCAAUUAUUCUUAUCUUUGAGAUCCGAUCCUGUACUCAAUGCUAAUUAGAGGUGUCAUUAAGACAAGAAAAUAACCACUAGCCCCCGGGUCUUCUCUCGUUAGCAGAAAGCAUGUGAUGCAUUCAAGUUUCAGUGAAUUCACGAAAACCAAUAUUGUGGUCUGCUCUCACCCUUGAGUUGAGGUAAUUGUUUAAUUUGCAUUCUUGCGACUUCUUGUAUUUGGAAAGAAAAUUCAUACUAUUUUCCGACUUGCCAAUGCAUCGUCACUUCUGAAAACCAAUAUUGUGGUCCUCCUUGUAAAUGCAUAUAAGGUACUUGAGAUGGAUUGCAUUCUGUAAGUGCACUGUAUGUGUGCUGUCACCCAACAAUGGAGGUAAUUGUUAAGUUUGCAUUCCUGCAACUUCUUGUAUAUAUCUGGAAAGAAACUUCUUACUAUUUGCUGAGUUCACAUCCAAUGUAUCUUUGCUUUUUUUUCUUUUUCUUUUUGCAACACAAUGUAUCUUCACUUUUGAAAAACUGCAUUGGAUGUACCGACAUAAAUAUAUAAUAUAAUGAUGAUCUAAUGGCAAAUUAUAUGGCCAUAGGCAGUGAUGAUCAAUAAGAGGGCACAUGAAUUUAUCUUCUAACGUAUGCAUCACUAUUUGUUUAGCUCUCUGUCUUUAUUUUUCCGCCGGCAUUGUAUAGUUAAAAGUUAGGUUUCAUCUGGUUUAGUUAGUUAGGGGGAUCUUGUUGUGCUCUCUAUCUUUAUUUUUGUGGCCUCCGUUGUAUGGUUAAAAAGUUAGGUUUCAUCUGGUUUUAGUUAGUUAUAAGCGAAUCUCUUUAAGCUCUCUAUCUUUAUUUUUGCUGCCCCCGUUAUAUGGUUAAAAAGUUAGGUUUCAUCUGAUUUUAGUAAGUUAAGCAGAUCUCGUUAAGCUCUCUAUCUUUAUUUUUGCUGCCUCAUUGUAUGGUUAAAAAGUUGGGUUUCAUCUGAUUUUAGUUGGUUAUAAGCGGAUCUCGUUAAGGUGGUAAGAAGAACUCCAUAUUGUCCCGCCUCACAAUAACAGAACCUAUUAACCUCGUCAAAAUUGUAUCUCAUACUCAUACAUAUCAUUCAUUUUCGAAUAACAUGAAUUAUCAUAUCAGUACAUAUAUCAUCUGUCCAUAUGCACAAGAGAUAAUCAUCUGCCAGCUGAUUAUUCUUAUCGUUGAGAGCCGAUCCUGUCCCUUCAAUGUUAAUUAGAGGUGUCAUUAUAAAAGACAAGAAAAUAACCACUUGCCCCUGGGUCUUCUCUCGUCAGCAGAAACUUGCCCCCGGUGCUAGGGUUGAGGGACCCCUGGCGUCGCCCAGGGGGAGGCGGCGCGAGGGGAGGUGAGCUAGUUGCUCGUGCGCGGCCGCUGAUUUGCUGCAGGUUUUGUGAUAUUUGGACGUUCGAUGUACAUUGAGAUAUUGGAUUAACUUUGUUAUGCCUAUGAGAUUUGUACAUUGAGAUAUUGGAGGAACUACCACACAUUUGCAAAGCAGCCAUGGCUACUAGGAUCAUGGUUUUGCUUCUUCUCAUGCUCCUCUCAUUCUCAGAGUCCACCACCCCUUACCAGGUGUUAGAUUUCAACACGGCAACCCAGAGUACCGAGGAGCUUCACCAAGCUAUGGAGCGGGCGUUUUGGCUCCUCUCCUUCCGGCGGUUCAUCAGGCGAAGUGCAUAGGAAGGCCAAAUUUGUUGUUGCUGCAUGCUUCUGUGCUGAAGUGGACACGAAGCUAUGGAGCGGAAGCUGAUGUGCUGAAGCAUUCUCUCGUCGUCUUGUUGACUGCACUGGCAGACGGCCUGCAAGCUCGCUGCAUCCCGGACGCGAAGGCCCAAGAUGUUGCUGUUGUGCUCUUCCACGACGCGGGCGAGGAGGAGGUACCCCGGCAUCAUCCACCGCAGGCUCCCGUACUGCAUGAUGGAGCAAUUGGGCACUGACAUCUCUAUUUGUCGAGGCAUAUAGUGCAAUCUUAUAUUACCCUAAAGCUUCCAUGUAUCUGCCGUUCGUCGGAGGGAGGAUUCAUGGCAUAUGUUAUCGUCCUGGUUAAUGUGGUCAUCUGUUAUCCAACCUUAAUCCUUACUAGAACCGAGAAUUACAUAGGUAAUGUGGGGCAUUGGUGGCCAUUACAUAUGUAAUAGCUUAAAUCGAUUGAGAGAGAAGUUUACUUGCGUUUAUACUUAUAGUAGUUCAUAUGAACAAUCCAUAAUACUUACUAAAAAGUACGAGGGUAACGCAAGAAUGAGAUCAGAUCUCAACAGGGAAAUGAAAUUAGCUCCUAAUCAGCCAAAUAGUGGAUGUCAACCAAUUUUUUUACUAACACGCAACUAAUGACAUACUCUACUGUAUAUCCAAAUAUGCCAUAUCAGACAUCGGAAAAAUGAUUUUAUUAUAUCUAUAAAAAUAAUGAAUAAUAGUUUCUUUUUGCGAAAAUGAUCUAACCAAUUAUAAAAGUACAUUGGAACUAUAAAGUAUCUCCAACACAAUAAAAAUUAAAUCGAGAUUCCGAAACCACUGAAUGACCAAAACUACCGCCAAAUUGAGCACACGCUGCUAUCGCCACUCACCUACCGGAGCAGACUUGACAUUGUCGAUGAAAGCUGGGAUGUCUUCAUGCACGUGCUGCUAAGGACCAGCGCACUGGAGCCGCAGUCGUUGCCAUGAAACCCUUGAAUAAAUCUGAGCUUGGUAGGAAAAUUAGUGACCCACUGAAAACGACAGCUCCAUUUUACUCGGCAUAGGUGAAGGCACAACAAACCGCAUCAACAGGUACAAAACAAAGGAUGUCCAUGGGGUGCCAUCCGGACCGCGCCACCGGCUCAUAGCUACAUCAAUGCCCCUGUCAAUGUGCCGAAACCAGCGGAGGCACGGAUCCUCCGAUGAGGAGAUGGUCAGGGCGAUGUGGCUGGGAUCUAGCCGGGGACGUGGGGCUAGGAGGCGGCUCACGGGGCAUCGUGUACUUUUGAGCCCUCAUCACAUGGCUCAGUUAGGCCAGUGAAAUCUCCUGAAUAGCGAGGGCUACCCUGCCUCCCCUUUGUGUACUUCAUCUCCUGUUCCGUGUCCCAAAGGGCCGACUAUACACUACUAGGGAAAAGCCUAGUAGUAGCGAGGGUUAAAUAGCUAGUAGUAGCACGGGCGCUCGCGCUACUACUACGGCGCUAUAGCUAACUUAUAGUAGUAGCGUGGAUGUGCCCGUGCUACUACUACGUCUGUUAGUAGUAGCGUGGGUACCACCCACACUACUACUAUUAAUUUCAAAAACAAAAAGAAUCUCGAUGUCGUGCGUGCUGUCAAUUAAUGGCAGCAAUGGUUCGAUCCAGCGACGACAGGGGUCGGCGGAGCUGCAGAAGGGCAGUGGUAGAACAGAUCCGGCACCGACUGCUGUAGAGGGCCCGGAUCCAUGGCCGAGCAAGGCAGCGGCAUGGGGCUCCUCUUUGCAACCAAGGCAGCAAGCUCCUGGUGGUCCAUGGUGAUGACCUGCACGGGCAAGGACAUGGGAUGGUGAGUCAAACCAGAGCGAGAGAGAAAAAGAAAAACGAGGGAGACAGGAAGGAGAUGGAGGUACCAGCAGGGUUGGUCGCCGUUGGUGAGGUGCUCCGGCGUGGUGGCAUGGAGAUGCGGGGAAUACCUGCGAGCUCCGGGAAGCCGGUGGCACGAGGUGGCCAGCCUCUUUUGACGCCAUGGAGGAGGAGGCGCGCAUGCAUAGGAGGUCCAUGUGAGAGCCUAUGGAGAGACGGGGGGAGAGGAAGGAUUUGGGGAGGAGAUGGGGAUUUCAGAGCUCUUCAAAAACCAUGUAGUUAGUAGCAGCGUGGGUUUAUAGCCCUCGCUACUACUAUCAACUUAGUAGUAGUGCGUGUCUAUACCCCUCGCUACUACUAUGGCAUGUCCCGGGAGGGGUAAAAACCUGCGCUAGGGUAAAAACCCGCGCUACUAGUAAGUAGUAGUAGUGAGGGGUAUAAACCCGCGCUAGUAGUAAGCGUUUGCCUAGCCUUUCCCUAGUAGUGAUACUGCGGUUUUGGCAAGAUUUCAAUCAGCCCUAAUGUGGUGUUUCCCAUCCAAUUUAGGUGUUAUUGAGUUUUAUGUGUUUUUAAAAAGAACUAGCCCUAUCCAGGUUCGUGGGUUGAUGACUGGUUAUUUUAAUUUGACUUCCCUUCAACCAAACACGACAUUUCUCUGCUUUUUUGGCAGGAGAUCAGAAACUAAACAUGAUUCUCUCCCAGCAAAAGAAGAAAAAACUAAACAUGAUCUAGAUUAUGUACAAUUACAAUAUCUUAUGUCGAUACACCUAUUUAGCAUUUGUGUGUCUAUUGUAAGAACUGAAUGGGUCAUUAAUAUAUUGAAUUGGGUCUACUCUUCGUCAUGCAGUUUUCGUUGCCCAACUACAAAGCAAUUCAUGCUAAUUUUUCUAUUAAACCAUAUGGUCACUUGUAUGCAAGUAGCCCUACUAUUUCACACAAUUUUGUUGUCUACUCACAUGAUAAACAAAUGAUAACGGCUCCUGAAUGCAUGCUUAACAGUUCACGCCUAUUACGUGCUUACCUGAAUGGAAAACGAUCUUAACAAAGACUGCAGUAUAUAUAAGUCAGGCCUAUAUAUAUGUACUCAAUCACCUGAACUGCCUUAGCUAGGAUGCAAAAGUGAGUGUUAUAUGAGAGGUUUCGAAUUUAUUUUAUGCUCUAUUCCGUUUCUAUCAAUCUGCUUGAAAUAUUGGAGGAAAACAAAAAAAAAACCUAUUUAGCUGCCAUAAUCGCGUGCUGGACCAUGAACAACACGUUUAUGACCCGCCUGCGUGGUUAUCAAAAUAUCUAUUAGUUUGCGUCCUUCCUUGCGGAGACAUUUAUGUUUGGAGAGGAGCAACCAUUUGAAUAUCAGUCUAACAGCUUGCGGUGGAAGCCUCGUUCAGGUUGUCCAACUGUUUCUCAUUAUAUCCCCGAUACGAUUGAUUCUUGGGCCCUCGCAAACCAUUACUGUGAGGUCACGCUUGGCAUUCCUUUCUUUUUCUCUAUUAGCCUCGAUGCGCGGCAUGCGCGAGUACUCCACAAGGACCUUUGCUGCUUCCAAUGCCACUUCCUCCGCGAGUACUCCCUAUUGAUUCUUGGGCUCCGCAAGUACUCUGCAAAGACCCCGAUCGUGUGGCACGAAGCAAAUGUGCCCACACGUCCUGGCCCAGCUACGUUAGUUACCCGCGGGAUGACUCUUUAGUUACCUCGGGGGAUGGCAACUUUAGUUAUCCGGGAUGGCAAAUAUAGUUGUAAAAGCAUGUCAACUCUCUCUGUUUUGGUUAACUAUAGUUGCCAUGUCUAAUUUAUGGUAGUUGCCGCGUGUAAUCAAACCAUAGUUGCCGUGUGUGAUAAACUACUUGCCACAUGUGGUCAAACAAUAGUUUCCAUGUGUGUUUACAUAAUUGCCACAUGUGGUCCAACCAUAGUUGACAUGUAUGGCUAAUCAUAGGUGCCAUGUGUGUUUACAUGGUUGCCACGUACGCACAACUGCAGUUGCCAUCUACAAACGAAUCAUAGUUGCCAUGUGUGUUUACCUAGUUGCCACAUACGUGCAAUUGUAGUUAUCAUCUAUCACUGUACGAGCGUCGUGUGGGUGAAGAGCAGUUCACCCACACACGAGUGGACUGGGUGGUGACUGUGUGCACGGGAACUAGUUCGCCCACACGACGCAGCUGGCAACCGCGCGCUGUGGGUCGUGUGGGCGAGCGCUCUAACGCCCACACAACACGCUAGGCCUACUGGCACUGAAAUUCCAAUAGAUUCCUUUAAGAUUCAUGCAAAACAUAACAGAGGGAGACCAACGCGUGUGGGCGAAGUGCAGACCUGCCACACGUGUGGGCGUUAUCAUUUUUCUUGUUGUUUUGAAUCGGAUAUCUAUGCAACUGUAAAUUUGACCCAAAUUAUAUGGACUGCUGCAAUCUGUCGUGGACUUGUGGUUCACCCCUGUUUGGCGACUCUUAUGGUGCACUCUGGUUAGUUUCUUGGUCAUCGCUUUGUAUUUGUUGCCCAGAUGAAAUUUGAGUUUUCAACCCACUCCAGUUUACAAUUGUAAUUAUGUGUAAUAAGUAUUUGUUUUCUUAUUUAUUUUCAUGGUAAACUCGAUUGGUCUCAUUUUCACCGUCUUAGAAGAGAUAAGUUUUAGGUGCCACAAAAAAAUAUACUCAGAUCCUUCCAUUUUUGCAUUUACUCGGUGUUGACACUCAAAAGUGGCAUAAACAUAAAUGUGGCUCAAAAGAGUGCUUAGCGUGUUGAAAGUUGCUGCUCGGGGUACUGAUCGGCCGGUUACACACCCAAGACCACCAGAGAAGGAGAAGUGUUCUCCAUGAAAAAUCUUCAUCUCGUCAAGGCAAAUGAUUUUGAUAUUUGAAUCACCUCAAUCCAAUGUCGUGUUCAAAUUUACAGCCAAAGCAGUGCAUCCCUGCCACUAAUAAAAAGUUUCAGCCGGCACCAAACACCCAUAUAGCAAUGUCGACAGAUUUGGAAGCCUGACUGUCCAGCAAAAGUACACUAUCUCUAGUAGAGGAGUGGAUGUUGAUACAAGGCAUGUCGUCUGUUUCAGUUGGUCGUCCGGUUUGCACGGCUUAAGAUGGUUAAGCAGCAGCAACAGCAGCAGGUGAGGCUUUCAUGUUGGAGGAGGUGCACAUGUUGAAAAUGUGAUGGUCCUAUGAGAAACGGGUGACGACAGACAUUGGCAGUGCUCCUGGUGCUGAAAAUUGUAUGUCUGCCUGUGGAGGAAUUUCAGUUUCAGAUUCGGUGGUUUGAAACAGAUUUUGAUUGCUUCGAAUAAUGUACUAGGUUUUCAUCUUCAGAUUGUAAUCAAUCAGCUUGGUUGAACUUUGACCUCUAUCUUGUUUAGAUACUUGUAAUGUGAAUUUAUUAUCAGCUUCAACAUUUCCAAGGUUUUGGAGAAGCUAGGAUACUCAAGUUUGUGAGCAUUUAUGUCUAAUUUUAGUUUUGUUACUUAGUUGAGACAUUGUCCCGUGCAGAUGCUUGUUAGACCGUAAAAUUGACUUCCUGGAGUAAUAUUGACAGCUGAGAUGGGAGCCGCUGGUCUCAGACUCCUUGUUGGGGAGCAAGUUGCAAAAGUAGAUAACAGAGUAAUAAAAAGAGCUUACUGAUCACUAACAUGUGCUCUGCUUGUACCAUUGUUAUGUUUAGGAGAUGGAGGCCACGGAAGGAAAGCUUGUUUUUGGCGUGACAGGUAGAGAGGUUUGGCUGGUGAGGUGACGAAGAAACUGAAGAUUUAGAACAAUUAGUAGCUAUGUAUGUGGCGAUGUUAGGAUUUGGUGCGAUGUCAGUUUGGUAUUAGGUCCGGAUAUUCGGCACACCUUUUUCAAGGGGAUAGGAGUAGCAACAUGUGUUGUCUAGAUGGUGGAUUCAGGCUGACUGACGUAUUACUUUGUAUGUUCUUUGAGAAUAAUUAAUAAUAUGGCUGCAUGCAUCCUCCAGAUGCAGAGGCUGGGGUUUAUCCUCCUUAAAAAAAAUGUAUGUGGUCGUCUGGGAAUUUUUUGCUGUUCUAUUAUGGAUUUGAUUUCAAUAGAGAUAUCUUUCAUGAGCUCGUUUAGCAAGGAAUCGUGUUUUGUUUCAGUCUGUAAGCGCUCCAUAUAUACUUCUUGCAAAACCAUGCUUCCCUGCAGGUACAGGGUCCACAUGGCGACCCUAUGAUGGACCUGUCCUCAAGUACGUACGGUGAGUAACGAAUCAAAACUCUCAACACAUUUAGUACUUUGCUGAUCUCAUGUUAUUAUGCAUCUGACUCGAGAGGCUAUUUAUUGUCAGAGGCCUUGACGAACAAUGUGAAUGAUAGUAUGAUACCCAUGGAUGGAUCUCAGGAACUUGGCGGCAGAUUUGGAAGCUCGACUGUUCAGGCAGACUGUUUCAGGUGGUCGUUUGGUUUGCACAGUGUAAGAUGGUUAAGUAGCAGCAGCAGGUGUGGCUUUCAUGUUGAACGCGAUGGCCCUAUGAGAAACGGGCGAAGGCAGACAUUUACAGUGCUCUCGUUCUAAAAACUGUAUGUUUGUCUAUGGAGGAAUUUCAGUUUCAGAUUCAACUGCACCGAACAGAAUUGUCCUUCAUCUAUACUCAGAUAUGUGAGCUAUCUUUAAUGUAUCUAGUAUUGGUAUUGUUAUUUGGUUGAGAAGAAAUCGGCCUUUAACUUGUUCAAGAAACUUUUUCAACUGUAAUUUUUAUCUGUUUCAGUGCAGAUAGUAGGCCUAUAAUGCUGGGUUACUGUGGAGUUGUUGGCGGGGUAUAUUCAUCCAUUUUGCAAUAUGAACUAGGUUUGGACUUGUUGAGAAGCUUUCCAGCAUUCUCUAGAUUGGAGCCUGCUGAAGAAUGUGAGUCUGCUAGCUAGGGGAAUAAUUGCUUCUAAAACUGUACUGAACCUGCAGUUGCUCUAGAUCGAGAAUUGUUAGGGCCUGCGGCGUAGGGUGAGAACCCGGCGUCGAGUCGAGUCGAGCAUAGCUGCUGAGUCACAUCAUUUAGAUUUGGUUGGCUGCUGGUCAUUUGGGUGGGUGUCUACAACAACAGGCAGGGGUCGGCAGUUCAGUGUCAUGGCCGCUUAUGCCCAGUAGUGCUCUCUAGAUAUCCGAUUAACUUCCACCAUAUUUCCUCUCAAGAUCAUUUUUUUCUUCCCAACCUACUGAUAAUAUGUUCAAAUUUCAGUAGCCACGGGGCGGUUGGGUUUGGAAUGUACUCUAAAAAUAUAGAGUUGCGCUCUUGUAUUACAAAUGUAGAAAACGAAUGGAGUACAAAGUUGAAACACUUAUCUUGAAAAGGACUCAGUACAUAUUUACGUAGCCAGAGAUCGAUUUUUGAGAAACCCAUUUCUUGGUGAUGUUUUCUGCGCAAUUUUUUUUUCAGAUUUGUGCUUUUUUUUUACUUUCUCAUAGUUUUUGUUUGCAAUUUUUUAUUAUGGCGUUUCUGCAAGUUCUAUCGACAGGAUGGUGGGUAAGAGCAAGGGGGAAAAGGCUGCAGCAACCGCAAAAGAAGACGAUGUUAUAUCCAGGAAGCGCCGACAAACUGUUCCCAAGAAAUUCGAAUCCCCCUUUGCAUUUGACAAGCCCAGCAAGCGAACGCACGUGGUACUAAGCCAUCCGGCAACACUACCGCAACUAGAGGUACCGUUACUAGCUAACUUAGUGCUUAAUUUACUACCAUUUUAUGUACUCACCGUUCUUGACGUUCGUAAUUUAUCAUGCAGCUCUGUUUAGUGACCAUGACGUGGAAGGCUCUGUUAAGGACGAUUUGACACCGGAACUCAUCGAUGCUGCUGUUACAUUUGUGGAGGCAGCUGCUUGGUCUGAGAAGAAUAUGACAAAAAGAGUUUACUACAAUGAACGUGGCACCUCUGUGAUUGUGGAGAGUAUACGACCGGUACUUGACCAUACAUGGCCAGCGGAUGACGUAAGAUCUAUUACCAUGUUCUGCUAUUUAAGUGCAUAAUCUAGGUGUCACGUAUGAACAUAAAAUGUUCUAUUAUUUUACGCAGAUUAUCGAUGCUUACCAGACACAUUUGGCUCUACGCAUUGGUCAUGAUCGGCACCUCUGUCCAGCCUGGAGGUCCAAAUACCUUGUUGAUCGUGCUAAGGCAGGAGACAAUCCUAAACCGUCGAAAAAGAACAUGGAUAGUGCGCUGAGCAGAGCUGGAGCAGUACGUAGGGUUCUGGACGAGUAUACCGUCCGUGAUAAGGUACAAUAUGUUAUUACUAGUUCAUUAACACUCAUUUUAACAAGCAUAAUUGCAUCUGAUUACAAGUGUGUUCCACAUUUUAGCCGUUUAUCCCGUUGAACGUCGGCAAUACACACUAGAUCACCGUGGUGAUGCACAACCGCAAGAAAGAAUUCCGAGUUUUUGAUUCGCUCUAUCCUGUCGAGUUCUCUCUCGACACUGUGAAAGCACUGGUACUCUCCCCAACAUUGAGCAUUCUUCAUAUGAAAUGUCAUAUGGUUUCUCACUACUACUUUCUUUGAAAUAGCGACUAGCAAUAGCAAUUGAUAUUUUUUCGUCAAGCCUAUAUAUAUGAAGAAUGUCAGAGUUAGUCCACGGAUCUUCUUGGAGUGAGGCAAUCGUGCCCAUUGCUGUAUCAGAGUUGUCAUCCUCACCCAUGAAUCAGUUUUGUCCAUGCCUAGAAUAUCUAUGGUUAUUUAGAUGUGGAAAUUUACCAGCGGUUCUAAAUCUUCCUCCCUCCUUAGAGACCAUACAUAUUUGUUGUUGUAGUAGUAUUCAAGUCCUAUCAUGUCAGUUGGAUGGGCUCCAGAAACCACAAGUCACUGUUUCCAUAAAUUCUCCAGAGCCAUCAGCAGUAGCAGCAGCAGGAGAGCAUUCACUUCCUCCUCAUCUUGAAUAUCUGAAUAUAUGGUCCUGUGAUAGCAUGUUGGGGGGGAUCCUCCGCCUGCCCACAUCCCUCGAGACGCUGGAUAUUAUGGGCAAUAGUCGGUUGACGCCGCUGGAGUCAAUGUCAGCAGAGCACCCCCCAUCGUUGGAAACCCUUUCUCUUUUUGACUGCACUACCCUGGCAUCCCUGCCAAAUGAACCACAAACAUAUGGGUCUCUCAAAAAUCUUACAAUAUUUGGCUGUCCAGCUAUAAAGAUCCUCCCUAGAUGCCUGCAGCAACGACUGGACAGCCUUGACUACAAAUGGCUAGAUGCCCGUUAUGAAGGUAUGAUGCACAUUUCUCUAUCUAUGCCACAUAUGACCAACCAAAGUAGUCAUCCAUCCCAUCGCAGUCAACAUAUUUGUUUAAAGUUUUUUCUCCAUUGUUUUAAUGUCACGAGGUAGAAAUUUGCAUGUUACAUUACUUUGUACAUGCUUGUUCCCUGACCUCAUUUGUGAUAUCAAUGUGCAGUAAUGGCGUUUAAACCGAAUACAUGGAAGGAGAUACCAAGACUAUCCCGUGAGCAGAGGGAGGCCGCUCGAGAAGCCAGGCAACGCCAGCGAAUAGCAAGAUUAUUCCGUGUGUAGGGCAUGUAUUUUGUUUGUUGGCUUCAAAUAGUGUACCAGGUGAUUGUUAUGUGCUUGGUUGGACUUUGACCUGUAUCUUCUUCUUCAGAUAUGCUCCUAAUUGUAAUGUGAAUUAGUUCAUCUCCUUAAAACAUUUCCCGGGUUUAUGCCUCCCUGAUGGUUGCUCUGCUCUGCUAGCUAGGGGAAUACUGACUUGUAAUUGCUUAUAAAACUGAACUGUACAGCAGUCGCUCUCGAUGGAGAAUUGUUGGGGCCUGUGAUGCUUGGCAUUGAGGCGAGGGUCGCUGGAUUUGGUUCGCUGCUGCUCCUUUGGGUGGGUGGGUGCAACAGGCAGGGGUCAGCAGUCUACUGUCAUGUUCGCUGUAGCUCACUAAUGCUCUAGAUAUCUGAAUAACUUGCAUCAGAGUUCCUCUGAAGAUGAAAUUUUUUCCCUCAACCUGCUGAUUUGUGCCUCACACUUGUGAGCUAGCUAUGUACGUAGAUCUAGUUCUAGCGUCGUCACCUUGUUGACAGGGCCGCCCGAGGCGGCCGGAAUACCACCGCCGUUGCCUCGAUCUUUGCCGGAUGGAAGCACAGGGGAGUUGCAUCUGGCGCAUCCGCGAUCUCCCGGCAUCCUAGCGGCGCGGGGCCAUUGGGAAGAAAGGGAGGAUCGACGAGAUCGGACGGCGCGCGGAGCGAUCAGCCGCACGGCGUGACCAGUCUAGGAGAGGGAAGAUGGGCACAAUGGGCAGGCGAUCUUGUCCGACGAGACGGAUCCGGGCGUUUGGAUCGACGGACGGCUUCGAUUCACACCGCACUCGCGGUGGCUGGUUCUUCUCGAUCUGGAGAACGAUAUCCUCGCCGGCGACUAUCUACCGGAAGGUGACACGAUUAAGGUAGGUUUGAAUUUCAAACUUGAUGCUUUUGACGUCAUUGUUGGCGAGCGUGUGCAGCUGGAUUUGUGAACGAAGACACCAGCGAUGAUUGAUCUGACGGAACCGGCGGUACAUGCACGACCGGGUGGACGUUUUUGGGCACUCUUGAAGAGUGACGACGAAGAUCAGGUGGACAGCCACGUCCCCACCGCCUCCACGGUCACCGGUCAGGGUGGACACGGUCCGGGCCGGUCCGGUCCCGGUCCGAGCUGACGUUUGGACCGGCCGCCGGCGGUCCGGGCCAGACCGGACCGAGCAGCAUCACGGUCCUGAUUUCAGGGACCGGACCGGCGAUGAAGAAGCCCGGGCCGGACCGAGCGGACCGGACAACGAUCAUCGGCGGCGACUUGCACGGGUGCAGCGGCGAGGUGUAGGACGUGCGCGGGUGCCGUGGCAAGGAAGGUGACAUGCGCGAGCGCCGGUGUCGAGGUGGGUGACGUGUCGUGGGAAGUGCGUGGGCGCCGCGGUUCUUUGCCAUGAACGUGCACAUGUCUGUUUAUUAGGGCAUAUACAAUGGUUGAUAAGAUAGUCUUAUCUUAAGUCUUGCAUGUAAUUUAGAGAUGACAAAAAAAUAUGUCUACAAUGGGUUAUAUCUUAGUCUUAUCUUCAAUAACUAGCAAUUCCUUAAAAUAUGGUGAGACAAAUUGUGCUAAGAGAUCAUCACUUGUCUUAUCUUAAAUAAGAGAAGACAAGCCUUUUCUUACGAGAUCUCUCUCCUCCACCUCACCAUUUAUCCUAUGUGGCACUCUUAAGAUAGCACCAUUGUACAUGCCCUUAGCAGUUUUUCUGUUGCAUGCAAGUAAUCUAUCGUGUGCAUGAGCCCACGAUUUCUCGUGUGCGGGCCUUUCGUGAUUAGCGGAUCAAAUCGGACGUGCAGUUAGGGCAUGUAUAAUGGUCGAUAAGAUAGUCUUAUCUUAUGUUUUGCAUGUAAUUUAGAGAUGACAAAGAAAAAUGUUUACAAUGGGUCAUCUCUUAGCCUUAUCUUCAAUAACUAGCAAUGCCUAAAAAUGUGAUGAGACAUAUUGUGCUAAAAGAUCAUCUCUUGUCUUAUCUUAGAUAAGAGAAGACAAGCCUUCUCUUAUGAGUUCUCUCUUCUUCACCUCAUCAUUUAUCCUACGUGGCACUCUUAAAAUAGCACCAUUGUACAUGCCCUUAAUCGUCAAAUGGUGACGUGAUUUUUGGAUCAAACCCUGUUUCUCUAGUACUUUCAGUUUUCUGUUUUGACUGAAGAAAAGGAAACAGCGCCAGGGGAUCGUGCGUGACGUGAUUAUAGGAAGCUGACGGUAUAAAAUCUAGCACUUCCAAAACAAGACUUGCCUGAUUUGUUGGACGAGAAAAUCACAGCCCAGCGUUUCUCCCACGAUCUGAAAAUCACGGCCAAGCGUUGCGUACGUGCGUGCGUGCUGUGCUGAAACUGUUGCCAUGAUCGAGAACUCGCGAACGGCGGCAGUGCACGCACAACAGCGACGGCGAGCGGCAGAAAGAGGCUAUGGGGCACGGGGAGGAGACGAAGGAAGGACAGGGAAAGCUCGGGGACACGGUGGUUCACCUAGGGGCUGCCGGUGGCCGCGACGACGAGGAAGGGCAGCAACGAUGACUGUGUUUCUCGGUCCGCUCGGUCGGCUUGGUUAAAGACCGGACCGGACCGACAUUUUCUCGGGCCUGAUUUGGCAGACCGGACCGUCUAAUUUAUCUAGCGGGCCAGGACCGAGCAGGCCAAGACCGAGCGGGCCACGAGCAGGCCGAAAAGCCCGCUCGUUACGUCCACCCUGAGUCACCGGAGUGCCUAUUGCCUCACCGGAGGUUCGUCCAUUGCCGGCAACCAAGCGUACAAGCGAUCGGCGUCGUUCAAAAAUUUCAAAUUCCAAAUCAGUUAUGAAGCCGUGGAUCGGCCCGAUUCCUAAGGUGAUGAGAGAACCUGUAACUUUGUCUGAUUUUCUGCCGGAUAAUUGGACUCUUAUCACGAGGAAGAAGAACAAAGGCAAUUAUUGCCGGCCACCGCCGCUGCCAAGAUCGCCGGUGGUGAGAUCCGCGAACACUGUUCGAGCGGCCAGAUGGGCUCGUUUGAAUGCGGUAUUGGGUUGUGGGCCUGAACUGGAUAUGGUUUUGGGUGUGGCGACGGUCCUGGGUUCUCAUGGUGCGGGCGAGGCCCAACCAGAGGCCCAAGCCUCGCGCAGCCCAGUGCAGAUGUGCGUGCAUGAAUCACCGCCAACAGUCUAUCCCACGAUUGUAUCUAGGGCUUCGAGUCCGGGAUUUCCUUCGUUGGGCACGGGAUGGGCGAGGAGGAUCUCACCUGCCGCCGGCAUGGCUGGUCGCGGUCAGCCGCCACCCAAGCGAGGGCCACCUGCCGCUGUCGCCCCGGUUACUGGCGGAGUUGGUCAUGGCGCUCUGCCGACCAACGCGGCGGGCGCGGCCGCCCGUGCAGCACCGUCUGCGCCGCCGCUGGUGGCGUGGGCCACGGCGCCUUAGCUUCUGGCCAGGCCAACACGACUUCUGCGACGGGCGCGGUCGGACGUCCAGCCCAGGGCGGUGGUGGUGGACGGGGUGUUGCACUCCCUCCCAGGCCGACGGCAAUGGGACCGGUGGCAUCUGGGGUACAGCCUCGCGCCGGGACUGCUCGAGGUACCCAGCCGUCCGAGCGACAGGGGGCCAUUGCUUCCAAGACUAACAUGCACCAGCCGGAUGACAUGGCGCAGCCACCGACAGCCAAGGUGCUGGCCCUAGGAAGGGGUCGUGGCGGGCAAGGGCGUGACGGAUACACUGGUUAUAGCAGAGAUUCUCAGAACUACAACCGAUACAGUUAGUGGGGAGAUGACGUCUAUGAUGCUUAUGGUGAGGGGCUGCACCGUGGAUCUUCCUCCGGUGAUGGCCGUGGUUACAACCGGUACAAUCCUGAUAACACUGGACAUUUUCAAGGUCCACCUGGUAAUUUUGUGGAAGGUGUCGCCGGACCCAAGGAUCAAUUCCGAGGUGGCUAUCGUCGCGGUGGGAGAGGGAGACGACCUCCACCACCUCGUCAAUACCCACCGCCACCACCGCCGGCUACAGAGAUGCCUUCAGAGGAGGAGCUUGAGCAUGCAGCUGAGGGGGUGGGAGACACACCCACGUUACCCGCGGUGGCACUAGACACGGUUCGGGCUCUCGCAGCAGUGAAUGUUCCGGUGACUACAGGAGGUGUUAAGUCUAAGGAUGGUACGUCUGAUAAAGGGUCGGACAAAGCGGAGGGCGAAAAGCUCUCUAAAUGGGCAAUUAAAAAGAAAAAGCUGCCCUGUUAUAGGUGUGGUGAACCGGGUCAUUUUGUAGCAGAGCUUUGUGAUUACUGCCUCCAUUCCCAGCAUGUGACCAGGGAAUGCCCUCUCCUUUCCGGUCCUAAGCCUGGCAUUAAUAUAUUUGGGGUCUGCUGUAAGGAGUUGAUGUUCUUUGAGACCCCGGAGGUGGAUCCUCUACCACAGAUGAUUGAGAGUUCCUUCCCGGCAGUCAUCAGAGUUACUAAUGGACAGUUGACUGAGGCGCAGAUCGUCAGACAACUACGUGAGCUUGUGCCGGGUAAUUAUCAGUGGCACCUGGAGCAGUUAGAAGGUCAGUCUUAUAAGGUUGACUUUCCCACUAAAGAGGAUCAGAUGCAUGUUCUUAAGUGGGGUUUAUGCAGAGUUACGAGCACAAACAUUGUUAUCGCUUUCGACGAGUGGAAGCAGGAGGAUCCUGAGGGUACACCUUUGGAGAAGGUGUGGGUUCGUUUUUAUGGUGUGCCACCUAAAUAUGUAAAACAUUUUCUGAUUGCUUGGAGUUUGGGUGGUUUGAUUGGUAAGAUAGAAAAGGUGGAUAUGCCUUUCACUCGUGCACAAAACGCGGCGAGGCUUUUGGUCAGUGUUGUGAGCAUUGAGCACAUACCAGAUGUAGUCAGAUGGACACAUGCUGGAGUUACUUAUCUCUUAGAGCUCGAGAUUGAGGAUACUGCAGUUUCCGAGGCUGGAGAUGGGACACAAGACAUGGAUACUACUGAGGGGGCGGCGCACCCGGGGACCAGGAGAAGGGGCCCGAUGACACUAUGCCGGAGUCGGACAAGGGGCCUGCUACACAGUCUGAUAAGGUAGACAGUUCUAUCAAAGAGGCGCCCCCGUCCACCACUCCGAUGAACAUGCUUUGCUUUGGUUCUUUUGUAUCGAGGUCCGCUCCUAGCCGGUUAUGGAGCACCAGGGUCGAGACAGAUGACCCGAUAGAGCUUGAGCUUCCACCAGUGCCGAGUCGAGUCGGCAAUGUGUCGACCACGGAGCCUACUUCUGGUGCGACGGUGGGUUCUGUUGGGAUGGCCGCGGUUUUGGGAGACCUCAUGGGCAGGAGGUCCACCACACCCAGAUACCACUGCCUGACCUUUCGCCAGCGGGAGGGGCGCCUGGAAAGGAGAUCCACGGCGCGUUUCCCAAUUCCACGUCUCCGGUCGAGUUGGGGGUGAGAUGCGGGCAGAAGUCCCGUGUUGUAACCCCUCCGCAGGUUGGCACCGAGCAGGGCGGCCGAGGUACGACGACUUCCACGGCUGAUAAGGGGGACGAGAUCUGUGAGCAGGCGGCUCCAAGGUCCUUUGUCCCCUUGUCACCCACACCGGCAGUUCACUCCACCACGCCUCUUCCUCCUUCACCGACGAUACGGGAAGGGCGUGGGAGUCCUGACCGCACCCCGCGCGAGAGGACCACGGAGGACCUCAUCGCUUUUGGUGGGAUUACGGAUCCGGUGUCGGCUGGCAGGCGUGUCAGCAACCGGAUCCAGGGACAGCCGGAUGCGGAUGACUUUCAGCUAGUGCGGGCCAAGAGGGCUGCCAUGCUUCGUCAUGCCGAGACUACUGCAGGUACGUCAUUUGAUAUAAGUUGUUCAAUUUUACACUUCUCUGAGAAUGAGUUAGUUGAUAAGGCAAACGACUUAGGCAUUUCUUUGGGAUCAAAUGAUACCGAGGUCGUCAAAUCCGUCAAUGAUCUUUUAGACAUGGAAGCGGAGAGGGCUUCUGAGAUCAUUCGUAAUCUUGCCUCUAUCCAACCUAUGAAUGACAAUGACAUGAAUAGUUUAGGAAUUAAUGAUCUUGCAAAUAUCUGCAAUAAUCUUUUGCCUAGUGUCGAGACUGAAGAUGAGGAGGAAGUUGAGAACACAGAUAUAGUAGCGCCUCUCUUGACGGAGGAGGCAGUGUCUGUUAUCGAUAAUAAUAUCGUUCCACAGGGUGUUGGGG